rnacentral:lncRNA from 1 species
CCACAUCCAAAAGCAGUUUUUUUUCUGCCGAGGCCGCCGCUGAUGGCCUGAUAUGAUAGGAACUUGAAUGCACGAUUCAGUUAUCGGGUCGCCCUGAGCCAUCCGAAAUGCUUCCAUCAAGUAGAUUUGCCCUAUGGUUGACGGCAGGGGUAACUUAAUUCAAGCCAUGCUCCUGUCGGCAUGGACAAUAGUGUUGGAGUAGCUUAAGAGCGUGUCCAAUUUAUUAAUGAGAUGGUAUAAUACUCGAAUGUCAAAAGGCGUCCAAAUUCUGUUCAUGGUUGCUCAUGGUGGUCUCUCGUUGGUUCCAGGUGCUGAACGACGGCCGCGCCAACUGCACCUGCUCCGCCGGCAAGCUGCUGCAGGACCAGUUCACCAGUUAGCCGCCGCCUUUUCUCGGUGCGAUGCGAUGCGAUGCAAUGCGUGGCCAUGGCCGCAAGGCCUGACUGACGCCUCCGCGCCGGCAGCUCGCUUUCUCCUCCUCGUUGAAGUUGAAAUAGUACCAGUGUACUACUUGGUUAUUACAUAUAGUUUUACAUGAGGAGGUAAGCAUCGUAAACAAGGAUGGAUAUAAUAUGGAAUUGAAAUGAGAGUAGUCUGUACAUGCAAGUUCAUUAGCAGGCAGAGCAGGACCCGCAAUGUUAUAGUGAUAGCUGCAAGCUCAAUUAGAGUUGGUUCUUGGUACAACACAAGGCGUGGUGACAGUGUGUCUUUGUCUUGCCCCGUCGUUACACCGCGUACGUACUACCAGCACAUGCAUGCACCCAAUCCAAUCCGAUGCAUUGCGACUAUUGUGUCUGUCUGGCUGCGUACGUGCAGCGGUGCAGGCAGUGUCGUCCAAAUGCAUUUCCCUUUACGGCAAGCCUGCGGCCUUAUUUAACAGCAACCUGGUCGAUCGUCCUCAUGUCUCUCGUCCAACAAUAAUGGCAUCGUGGACUAGGAGCAUCGCCUCCUCGAGCAGGCGCCUAAGCCCUUUACCAGUAGAUUUUUGCGACACCUACUGCUGGUUUAUACAUUUUCACGCGCCAAACAGAAUUUUAGGUAGGUUUGUUUCGAGCAGGAGUUUGUGGGUCGAAUGGACCCGAACACAGACAGGUUCAGUGAACAAUACAUGUACGAAUUGUCCUGUCUCGAGCUGUAUGUAAAACCGCACGCCUCAUCCAUCUAUGCACCCCAGAAAACCGCGGGCGCUUGCGUGGCGACUCUAGCCUGUUUUCCCACGUCGAUCCGUCGCGUGCACGGCGGCGGCGGCCUUUCGCGUCCGGUUCCUGAUCCGCACUUGACGUCGCGUCGAACGGAUCGAUCGACAGCCUGGUCCCGCCUGCCGACCUGAUCUGGCGGGGGAUCGGGGUCGGGGGUCACACUCCCGGAAGUCCGCUUCAAUUCGGGACCUCAAACUCUCAAAGAACGGCGAUGGAGGUAUGGAACGAACCGCAAAGAAAAGAAACGGCGGCGGCCCCGCGCGCUCGCUUGCUUUUCUCGUCGCUUCCGUUCGUCCUCGCUGCUGCCGUGCCGUCCCCGUCGUACCAAUGCAUAUAUUUGGCGGCUGGCCACGCCGCCGUGCAACGGUUUUCUCUUGGCCUUGUUUAGUUCUCAAAAAAUUUUCAAGAUUUCGCAUCACAUCGAAUCUUUGGUCGCAUACAUGAAGCAUUAAAUAAAGAUAAAAAUAAAAACUAAUUACACAGUUUACCUGAAAUUUAUGAGAUGAAUCUUUUGAGUCAAGUUACUCCCCAUGAUUGGACAAUGUUUGUCAAAUAAAAACGAAAGUGCUACAGUGGCCAAAAAAACCAAAAUUUUGCCAACUAAACAAGGGCUUUGUUGAUCGCUUUCCCCGGUGAUCAUCAUCGUGCAAAGGAAAGCGAAAGUGCAGCAUCAGAGACAGAUCUACAGUGGGCACAAGGGCUGAUUUUUCUGGGUUAGAUUUGUGGCAGAACCUCCUGAAUUAAUUGGCCCACAUGCACCCAUCAUUAUCUCAAAGACUUCUGAUCGGCGUGCACGAGUUCCAAAUGACUCAAGAAGUCUGUCGGGUGCCCUCGGAGGACCCCGAAUCAUCCACGUUUUAACUCAUACAGGAUCAACAUGGAGUUACCACAACAUUACAACAUUUGUUACAAAAAUAACUUACAUCAGAGUGCGGAAGAUUUAUAACUUAAUUUACAACAUAUGAUGAAGUACAAACUUAACUAAAUUUUUAAAAGGUGUGUAGAGUAGCGAAAGCAUCCUAAGUGAAGCUUCUAAGGUAGGAGAGGUGGAUAAAUCACGUCGCGCCCACCGACAUGACCUCCAUUAGCAGUCUAAGUCAGCACCUGCAACAGGGGUUAUAAAACCCUGAGUACGAAAGUACUCAACAAGACUUAACCGACUAGAAAAGAGGUGAAGACUCAGAUAUGCAGGCUAUAGGGAUUCAAGGUAAAGCUUUAGCAAGAUCAAAGCAUUUCUUUUGCAUAAAAGCUUACUAAGAGUAAAACCUACUUUCAAGUUUUAACUCAAGAUCAUCAUUUAUGACUAAUCAAAACUAUUAUCAAACUUUCAUAAGUAAACCAUAUCUUUCUUAUACCAAGAUUCACUUAUUACUACGAUGAUGGUACGAGGAUUGAGGCUCCAUAUCCGAGAAAACACGGCGAUUCGAAUCGAUUAAACCCAGCUGGGGAUUCAGUACCACACGACAUAUGUAGAACUUAAUCUUGCAUAUGUCAACCUUUUCUAUAGAUCCUCCCAUACAAGAACGGGUCCAGCGUCACCCGAGAGUACAGUACACCACCAUCCUACAGCCAAUCUAGAUGUUUCCCGGUCAUCUCAGAUCCGUAAGGUGGGUACACGCUACUCUCGCCAUCUCUCCACUCCCAGUACGCGGUUAGCCGUUCUCAAGUAUCGGAAUAGCUAUAGGUAAGGCUUACCGCCGCAUGUGGGCUGUACUCAAAGGUCUCAAUCACAACAGGCCAAUCAACGGUACGGUCCUUAAUCGACACAGUUGGAGACACUACUUUAAGACUCCAUUCUUAAAGCAAGUCCACCGACCGGUCUCAAGUUUAAACAUUAUUAACCAUAAAAGUAUUCCACAACAACCCUUCAAGCUUUCUCAUUUGAAAACCUAUCUAAUAAGCAGGGCUAAGCAUACUAAGCAUUUUCAUAAAGCAGGUAUCAAGGUUAAUAUGGAAAUCAUCAAGGUAGAUAAUGCAGCAAAUAUGAUUCACUCAACUCCUAUUCACCUAAUGCAUCAUAUUAACUCAAGUGAUAUAAAUAACUUUAUGAAAAUACAAGGAUAGGGUUUAAUGUCCGGGGCUUGCCUUGACCGGAAGGGAAGUUCGACAACUCAGCAAAACCCGAAGGAUCCACAAACUCGGAAGCAACCCACUGAGGAUCAGAUUCCUCUGGAGCGUAGUCUACACGUAGAAGUGCAUAUGCAUGAUUAAUGAGAUGCUCAUGAUAUGAUAAAGACAGGUUACAUGUUCUUGGAUGAUAACAACAAACAUAACUACCUCGAGUACAACUUACCUUCAUGGUAUAGAAAUAAACUAAUCUAGCUAUCAAAACAUAGAUUACUUCUAAGCAAAUUUUAUCAUCUUCAUUAAGCAAGGUUGUGUAGCUAUCAGACAACAAAGAUUAUUUAUAUGAAAUAAUCUAUAACCAGGGAGCAUAUCAUGCCAAGUACCCACUGGUUAUCAAUCAAUCCCAAAGAUCAAUCAAAACCUAAAAUGAUUAGGCUUUCUAUUUAUCUUAAUAAACUCUUAAUUAAAUAUUAAUGACAGUAAUUAAGUAUUAACAUCAAACAAUAAUUAAGUGCCAAAGGUCAUUAAGAUUAAUGACCUCAGGUCAUCACACAAUUCCAAAAUCACUCAAAUUCUAAUUUGGAAAUUAAGUUACUCAUUAUUUAAGUAAAGGCUAGCUAAAAGCAAACAAUUCUAUUUGCACACAUAACCAGGACAGCAGCAUAUACACAACUUCAUUCAACCAUAAUUAGAGAUACAAGCAUCCAACAAAGGUGAUAUUAGGCUUUCUGGAAAGCUUAUAUAAUUUUCUACAACUUUGUUAUUAUCUUCGAGAACUGAUUUAAUAGAUAAAAUAGCCAAACAGUAUGAAUAAACAAUUCUGUCCAGACCUUGGACAGAAUCAGACAUUAAGCUUCAUACAUCUAUAACCAGAGUUCUAGAUCACCAAAAUUCAUGAUCCAUAACAUUUUGGAAAGCUUAUGAAAAUUACUACAAUUCAUCUUUUAUCAUGAAAGCAUAAUUCAUAAGUUUAGUAGGUUGAAAUUGCACAACUACAGAAACUGAUCCAGGAUUUGACAGAAAGAAACCAUUUCUGAAACUUAAAUUUAAACAGGCAUAACUCAGAAACUAUAGGGCCAAAUGCCACCAAAAUUUAACACCAGCUAGAUACAUGAAUUCUAUACAACUUUGUUAUAGACAAGUUUCAUAUCCAACAUUAUUUACCUAGAGCAAUUCAUAAGGUUCCAGAAAUUGUCGAGAAACCACUAAUAUUUGAAUUAUAAAGAAAUAACAUUUUAUUUAUGUUCCAAACUUGAACCUGGGCAAAACCCAGCUUACUAACAGUUGUAAUACAUCAAAUAGAUACUAGAAAACAUCAUGGUCAUCCCUAAAUAAAUACCUUUCAUGUCUUUAUUAAUUUAUUUAGAUAAAUAGACAAAGUAAUAACCAUAUAUCAAAAGUACACAGUAAAUUCUGAAAAAACUACAGAAGCUCAUAUAUGCUCUCCAAAGUCUACUGUAUAAAUUUCAUGCCAUUUGGAUAAGUAUAGCAAUUUCCAUGAAAAAGAUAAAUUUCCAUCACAAUGAAGCAUGUAACAACAAGAUAAAUAAGAAAAUUGACAUUUUCUACAAACACAUAGCUAAAUUAUGUAUCUAUAUGAUAUAACAACCUCAUAUAAAGGCAUAGGAACCAUAUUUUACAUUUAUUUAUUUUUAGUUUAAUUGUAAACUAUUUAAUAAGCACUAAACAAGAUAAAUUAAUAACUUAAUCAUAUGUCAUCCAAUGAAUCUAAAAACUUAACCACAGCACACACACAUAAUCAUUAGCCUACCAUAAAAGUUUCAUCUUAAAAGAAGCUAUACAGCAAUAGAUAUGAAUUUCUCCCUUUUAAGCAUAAUUAAAAGACAUAAUUCAUAACUAAUUAUUUUACUAUAAAACAUAGUCAGUUCCAUAUUUUUAAUAAAAACUAGACAUUUCAAGGAGCACAACAAAAUUUGGUUCACCAAAAUUGGAGCUACCAAACUCUAGAUAUGAAUUUUCAAAGAUUCAACAAAACAUCUACAAACAAGUCCUUAUAGCACUAUUCACCUGAGUCACAGUCUGUGCAAUUAGACCCCUGGAGAACUUCCAAUUGUUGCGCGUGGUCCCUGGUCGCGAACUGAAAACAGGGGAGCUCGUCGGAGAUCGCGGUUUCGGCGUUGGGGUGCUCGUCGGCGGCAGAGGAGCAGCGGAGGAGCUUGCCCGGACUAGUGCGCACCUGCUGGUGGCCGUAGCUUGUCCCGCAAUGGCUCGAGGUGGCCUGGCCACGUUGAGGUGCUCCUCGGCGGCGUUUUUGGCCUGAGUGGAGGAAGAACGGACGUAGCCGGGGAUAGAAAUGGUUAGAGCUUGCACCAAGGGGCGCAAAAACUGGGGUUGAAAUUAGGGGUUUUUCUUAGCUAUUCCCUUACCACCCUCCUUAGCUAGGGAUUAAACAACUAUCACAAGCACGAUAAACACACUUUAAUUCCCUAAGCACAAUCAACCAAAAUAAACUUAUUUUUAAGUUGAUGCAUAAUGAUGUGCUUAACAAUUAUGCUUUGCAAUGCUUAUGAUGACAUGAUCCAGUUUUAGUAUUCGUAACAUCAGGGAUGUUACAGCCCUUCCCCCUUAACGAAAUCUCGUCCCGAGAUUUUCAGGGUACUAAAACCCGUGGGGUUAAGUAAUGGAAAAGAAAAUGUGUCAAGCACAUUAACUUCUGAGAAGUUCAUAAAACAAUUACAAUUGGUCCGAGAAUUACAACUAAGAUCAACAGAAUGUUGUAAUCAAUAAGAAUGUUAGAGAAUUCAUAAGAAGAUAUGGAUCUCCAAAUGAGCUUCCAAGGAGAAUGAAAGCACACUAACUGUAGACUAUAGCGGAGCAUGACCAGAGAUCCCGAUGUUUAACGAGCACCUAGUAGUAUUUCCUUAUGGCUGCAGUCCACAGGAGACUACAAGGUUCGACGCUAUAACGUGAUCACGGAUCAUGGUACCUACUAUAGAGUACGGUUACAAUAGCUUUCAAUGACCUAUGUUGGUUAUCCAAGUCAAGGGUUUUAGGUAAUUUCCACAAAGAUAUGGGCAUGGGUUCCCAUGAUAGGGCUCAAAGAGCGAGGGCACCUUAGUUGUGGGGCUAUAAUGGAUCAUGUCCAUAACCUCGAUACCUGCACGCGCCCAGUAGAAAUUUGUGUCAUCUGAACACACAAAAGACUCUAGGUUCCGACGCGGCACCGUGGUCACGGGACAUGGCACCACUAUAGGGCACCACAACAAUAACCCAUGUCUCACAAUCCCAAGAAUGUAACUGAGAUCAAAAGUCGAUCACAAUCACAAGGUGUUUAGGGAACUCAAAAGGACAAAUUUGAAUCCCUAAGGAGUGUCCAAAGAAUGAAACACCCUAAUUGUGGACUAUAAGGGAUCAUGAUCAUAUACUUUGAUAACAAUGAGCGCCCAGCAGUAUUUCCUCAUGGUCAUGAGCCAUAGGAGAUCCCAGGUUUUGACAUUGUUACCUAAGUCACAAGUCAUGGUACCUUAAGAGAACACAAUCAUAGUGACAUUCAAUCAACAAAAAUGUUGACAAAAGAUAUCAAGGAGGUAGCAUGUGUCCGAAUUAGAUGAAAUCAAGGAAGGUCACAUGCAUAACAAAUGAAUCAAGGAUUAGGAUCUUAUGGAGUAAAAGAUUAUCAAUCAGUUAACGAAACCUGGUACAUGAUGAGAUUCAUCAAUAAAACAGCUAUAACGAAUAAUAACUGUUUUUGAAGCAUAAGGAGGGGCUUUUAAGUAUCAUUAUAUUGUCAUGUUAUGCUUGAUAUGCAAUAUGCUCGUCCUAUACGUCUUUACAACGUUAGCUAGGAGGUAACUACUUAUAUAGGGCAUACUUUAUACAUUAUCUUUAUUGCUCUGGACGGAAUGUUGCAAGACUUUUGACAAAGCAUUGUUGGAGUAGUUUGAUUCUUCACUCGGCUUGUUGAAGAAAAAUUGAAGUCCCUUUCAAUGCCUUCUAUUUGAGUCGACAGAAAGUCUUCGUAGAACGGGGACAGCAAGCAUAAGAAAAGUUAAGGAGCAUUUAUAAGUCGUUAUCCUCAAAAACUUUUAAUUUGUAAAUUCCUUUUGAAGUUUUUCACAAGUAAUGUUGCAGAACAUCCAUGUAUGAGCUCUGAUACCAGCUGUGGCAGAACCUCCUGAAUUAAUUGGCCCACAUGCACCCAUCAUUAUCUCAAAGACUUCUGAUCGGCGUGCACGAGUUCCAAAUGACUCAAGAAGUCUGUCGGGUGCCCUCGGAGGACCCCGAAUCAUCCACGUUUUAACUCAUACAGGAUCAACAUGGAGUUACCACAACAUUACAACAUUUGUUACAAAAAUAACUUACAUCAGAGUGCGGAAGAUUUAUAACUUAAUUUACAACAUAUGAUGAAGUACAAACUUAACUAAAUUUUUAAAAGGUGUGUAGAGUAGCGAAAGCAUCCUAGGUGAAGCUUCUAAGGUAGGAGAGGUGGAUAAAUCAUGUCGCGCCCACCGACAUGACCUCCAUUAGCAGUCUAAGUCAGCACCUGCAACAGGGGUUAUAAAACCCUGAGUACGAAAGUACUCAACAAGACUUAACCGACUAGAAAAGAGGUGAAGACUCAGAUAUGCAGGCUAUAGGGAUUCAAGGUAAAGCUUUAGCAAGAUCAAAGCAUUUCUUUUGCAUAAAAGCUUACUAAGAGUAAAACCUACUUUCAAGUUUUAACUCAAGAUCAUCAUUUAUGACUAAUCAAAACUAUUAUCAAACUUUCAUAAGUAAACCAUAUCUUUCUUAUACCAAGAUUCACUUAUUACUACGAUGAUGGUACGAGGAUUGAGGCUCCAUAUCCGAGGAAACACGGCGAUUCGAAUCGAUUAAACCCAGCUGGGGAUUCAGUACCACACGACAUAUGUAGAACUUAAUCUUGCAUAUGUCAACCUUUUCUAUAGAUCCUCCCAUACAAGAACGGGUCCAGCGUCACCCGAGAGUACAGUACACCACCAUCCUACAGCCAAUCUAGAUGUUUCCCGGUCAUCUCAGAUCCGUAAGGUGGGUACACGCUACUCUCGCCAUCUCUCCACUCCCAGUACGCGGUUAGCCGUUCUCAAGUAUCGGAAUAGCUAUAGGUAAGGCUUACCGCCGCAUGUGGGCUGUACUCAAAGGUCUCAAUCACAACAGGCCAAUCAACGGUACGGUCCUUAAUCGACACAGUUGGAGACACUACUUUAAGACUCCAUUCUUAAAGCAAGUCCACCGACCGGUCUCAAGUUUAAACAUUAUUAACCAUAAAAGUAUUCCACAACAACCCUUCAAGCUUUCUCAUUUGAAAACCUAUCUAAUAAGCAGGGCUAAGCAUACUAAGCAUUUUCAUAAAGCAGGUAUCAAGGUUAAUAUGGAAAUCAUCAAGGUAGAUAAUGCAGCAAAUAGGAUUCACUCAACUCCUAUUCACCUAAUGCAUCAUAUUAACUCAAGUGAUAUAAAUAACUUUAUGAAAAUACAAGGAUAGGGUUUAAUGUCCGGGGCUUGCCUUGACCGGAAGGGAAGUUCGACAACUCAGCAAAACCCGAAGGAUCCACAAACUCGGAAGCAACCCACUGAGGAUCAGAUUCCUCUGGAGCGUAGUCUACACGUAGAAGUGCAUAUGCAUGAUUAAUGAGAUGCUCAUGAUAUGAUAAAGACAGGUUACAUGUUCUUGGAUGAUAACAACAAACAUAACUACCUCGAGUACAACUUACCUUCAUGGUAUAGAAAUAAACUAAUCUAGCUAUCAAAACAUAGAUUACUUCUAAGCAAAUUUUAUCAUCUUCAUUAAGCAAGGUUGUGUAGCUAUCAGACAACAAAGAUUAUUUAUAUGAAAUAAUCUAUAACCAGGGAGCAUAUCAUGCCAAGUACCCACUGGUUAUCAAUCAAUCCCAAAGAUCAAUCAAAACCUAAAAUGAUUAGGCUUUCUAUUUAUCUUAAUAAACUCUUAAUUAAAUAUUAAUGACAGUAAUUAAGUAUUAACAUCAAACAAUAAUUAAGUGCCAAAGGUCAUUAAGAUUAAUGACCUCAGGUCAUCACACAAUUCCAAAAUCACUCAAAUUCUAAUUUGGAAAUUAAGUUACUCAUUAUUUAAGUAAAGGCUAGCUAAAAGCAAACAAUUCUAUUUGCACACAUAACCAGGACAGCAGCAUAUACACAACUUCAUUCAACCAUAAUUAGAGAUACAAGCAUCCAACAAAGGUGAUAUUAGGCUUUCUGGAAAGCUUAUAUAAUUUUCUACAACUUUGUUAUUAUCUUCGAGAACUGAUUUAAUAGAUAAAAUAGCCAAACAGUAUGAAUAAACAAUUCUGUCCAGACCUUGGACAGAAUCAGACAUUAAGCUUCAUACAUCUAUAACCAGAGUUCUAGAUCACCAAAAUUCAUGAUCCAUAACAUUUUGGAAAGCUUAUGAAAAUUACUACAAUUCAUCUUUUAUCAUGAAAGCAUAAUUCAUAAGUUUAGUAGGUUGAAAUUGCACAACUACAGAAACUGAUCCAGGAUUUGACAGAAAGAAACCAUUUCUGAAACUUAAAUUUAAACAGGCAUAACUCAGAAACUAUAGGGCCAAAUGCCACCAAAAUUUAACACCAGCUAGAUACAUGAAUUCUAUACAACUUUGUUAUAGACAAGUUUCAUAUCCAACAUUAUUUACCUAGAGCAAUUCAUAAGGUUCCAGAAAUUGUCGAGAAACCACUAAUAUUUGAAUUAUAAAGAAAUAACAUUUUAUUUAUGUUCCAAACUUGAACCUGGGCAAAACCCAGCUUACUAACAGUUGUAAUACAUCAAAUAGAUACUAGAAAACAUCAUGGUCAUCCCUAAAUAAAUACCUUUCAUGUCUUUAUUAAUUUAUUUAGAUAAAUAGACAAAGUAAUAACCAUAUAUCAAAAGUACACAGUAAAUUCUGAAAAAACUACAGAAGCUCAUAUAUGCUCUCCAAAGUCUACUGUAUAAAUUUCAUGCCAUUUGGAUAAGUAUAGCAAUUUCCAUGAAAAAGAUAAAUUUCCAUCACAAUGAAGCAUGUAACAACAAGAUAAAUAAGAAAAUUGACAUUUUCUACAAACACAUAGCUAAAUUAUGUAUCUAUAUGAUAUAACAACCUCAUAUAAAGGCAUAGGAACCAUAUUUUACAUUUAUUUAUUUUUAGUUUAAUUGUAAACUAUUUAAUAAGCACUAAACAAGAUAAAUUAAUAACUUAAUCAUAUGUCAUCCAAUGAAUCUAAAAACUUAACCACAGCACACACACAUAAUCAUUAGCCUACCAUAAAAGUUUCAUCUUAAAAGAAGCUAUACAGCAAUAGAUAUGAAUUUCUCCCUUUUAAGCAUAAUUAAAAGACAUAAUUCAUAACUAAUUAUUUUACUAUAAAACAUAGUCAGUUCCAUAUUUUUAAUAAAAACUAGACAUUUCAAGGAGCACAACAAAAUUUGGUUCACCAAAAUUGGAGCUACCAAACUCUAGAUAUGAAUUUUCAAAGAUUCAACAAAACAUCUACAAACAAGUCCUUAUAGCACUAUUCACCUGAGUCACAGUCUGUGCAAUUAGACCCCUGGAGAACUUCCAAUUGUUGCGCGUGGUCCCUGGUCGCGAACUGAAAACAGGGGAGCUCGUCGGAGAUCGCGGUUUCGGCGUUGGGGUGCUCGUCGGCGGCAGAGGAGCAGCGGAGGAGCUUGCCCGGACUAGUGCGCACCUGCUGGUGGCCGUAGCUUGUCCCGCAAUGGCUCGAGGUGGCCUGGCCACGUUGAGGUGCUCCUCGGCGGCGUUUUUGGCCUGAGUGGAGGAAGAACGGACGUAGCCGGGGAUAGAAAUGGUUAGAGCUUGCACCAAGGGGCGCAAAAACUGGGGUUGAAAUUAGGGGUUUUUCUUAGCUAUUCCCUUACCACCCUCCUUAGCUAGGGAUUAAACAACUAUCACAAGCACGAUAAACACACUUUAAUUCCCUAAGCACAAUCAACCAAAAUAAACUUAUUUUUAAGUUGAUGCAUAAUGAUGUGCUUAACAAUUAUGCUUUGCAAUGCUUAUGAUGACAUGAUCCAGUUUUAGUAUUCGUAACAUCAGGGAUGUUACAAGAUUUCUGUGCAGAAAAUAUAUACUCCUACGUAUAAGCUCCUUGCUUUUGGAAACGAUCGUGAUUUGAUUGCAUAGAUAGUCAGAUAGAUAUAGAUCGUGGGCACCAAGGACACCAUGAUGGAAAUUCCCUACUCGUUCGUGUGUCGCCCAGCUGAGUAUCAGCUUGCACGGUCAGCAGCGAUCGAUCGGUCACAAAAGCUUGAAGAGAUGUCCCACCAGCGAUCAAUCAAGUAUCCGCGAUUUGCUGUUAGCUACUAGCACGCACAGGUUUGUAUCUCUACAGUCUGGAGACUGACACUUCACACUUGUAGAUAUAGCAAAUUUAGACGACACGAGACAUUACGGAGUGCAGAACGAAAUGGGUCGAGCGGGCAAGAUCGACACAGAUCAGAGGUGGUCAGAAGUGGUAUCACAUAAAGCAAGCAGAUCCUUUCUACUUUCUGCCGUCCCUCGUGGUUUCGUACGCGCAUUCUUCAGAUAGGCGAAUCGGCGGCCAUGCUCUAACGGCUUCCGUUCACGUUUAUAACCUUGAUGAUGAGUCUUUUCAGUAGAGAGUGCGGUCUGAAUGCACAACUUUUUUUAAGGCCGUCCCCGAAUAGCUUACGACGUGAAUAGCGAAAAAGUAUGAGAGAAAAUAGUCAGAGUGAUAAACAAAUAACUGAUCUAUUUCACUUAGUUUAAGAAUUUGUGAAAAGAACAUGUGGGUCAAAUAAUAUAUAGAAAGGAUAAAAAUAUAUAAAAUAGUCUUUAUUUUUAUCUCUCACGUCUAUGUCAAUGUAGCUAAUAUCAUUGUAGACGUCCUAAUAGCUUCCUUUUUAAGGAGUAGUCAUCAUCGUACGAGUAGACAAGUAGCAUGGAGAAGAGUGUACAUUUUUGCUAAGCGAGAGUCCAAGUCAUGGGUUAUGGGUAGCAUGUGUUGCCCUGUCACGGUGUUGGUAGCGUUUGUAUGUGUGUCAUUGCUGAGGAGACAGUACAGAUUUUUGUCCAAUCUGUUAUGAUCUAUUUUUAAAUUAAAUUUUCUUUUGGCUAGAAAGCACAAUCGGGAUUUAGAUCCGAUCUAUUACUAUCUUUUUUUCUGUCUAGUUUAGAUCUAAUCUGAUAUUUUUCCUUGAGGGUGUACUUGUUUUUUUUACCUGACUUUGGUUCUGCGGUGGACUUGUUUUCUCCGGUCAAUAUUUUUAUACACGAGUUUAGUUCUACCACGUGAUCGAUUCUGUUGGGAGCAUUUUAGUUGUAUAUAGAGAGAGUUACAUGAGACAUACACGAGAUGAUACAUGAGACGUACGUGAGAUAGAGUCCUAAGCGGGAUGACAUGAUGAUGUGAGAUUGAGUCUUAGGUUGAGAUGAUCGAGUCUUACAUUUUAUAUAUAAGAUCUUGAAUAAUGAAGGCCUCAUAUAGCAUGAAACGAAAUGUACUAGAUCAAAAUGACGCUAAGGCCUUGUUUACUUGGGAAUUUUUUUCGUAAAAUUGCUACAGUAACUCUUUUGUUUGUAUGUAACAAAUAUUGUCCAGUUAUAGACUAACUAGGCUUAAAAGAUUCGUCUCGUAAAUUUCGACCAAAUUGUACAAUUAGUUUUUAUUUUCGUCUAUAUUUAAUACUUCAUGCAUGUGUCUAAAGAUUCAAUGUGACGAGGAAUCUUGAAAAAUUUUGGUUUUGGGGAUGGAAGUAGACAAGGCCUAACUUGUUAGUGAAGGAUAGCGUUGCCCGGGUUUGAUCGGUUUGGUGGCGGAUUUGAGUAGAUUGUGGAGGGUUUUUAAUUCCCCUCGAUUCCUUUCAAUCACAUUUCCCUCCAAUCUCCUUAAGUAGAGGAUAAUCAAACAUAACCUACAAAGGGGCCAGCGAGGUUGAAAAGAGGCAUGCUCCAAAAUGUUUGGCUGCAGCCCUGCAACGCGCUGCUAUGCUAUAGUACUUUUAACACAGUUGCUGCUUAUUCCUGCAGUGGAACACCCUGUUGUAGAUAAGCUCAGUGUCAUUUACCCUGUGUACUAAGUUUCUCUCUCAAAAUAAAGACCAACGAUUACUUUGGGAAGGUGGGAACAGGUGGUUUGAGAUACCGUAAAAUUUUUUUUAAAAAAAUUCAGAUUUAUUAUCACAUCGAAUCUUACGGUGCAUGAGCAUUAAAUAAAAAUAAAAAUAAACUAAUUAUACGAUUUGUAUAUACUUUACGAGACAAAUUUUUUAAUUCUAAUUAGUUUAUAAUUAGAUAAUAUUUAUUAAAUAAAAAUAAAAAUACUAUUGUGUGCAUUUUGCAAUAGGAAUGCAGCACCGGCCCACCGCGCUUGCCGCUCGGCCAUUCAUCACGUGCCGAAAUGGAGCCGAAGGAUGCAUGCGUAGGUUGACGUAGGAGCAGCCGAUCCACUUCGGCGCACCGCACACGACCCGACCAACCCUCGCGCGCCCAUUCGCGGAAAUGGGGAGCAUCUGCGCACGGCUGAUCAUCAUGUGCGGCGGUGGGGGUGGAAGUGGAAGCCAAGCCGGCCAACCUCGUUCGCGCUGCUGCGGGCUGCGGUGGCCGGUGGUGGUGGGUGCUCCGAAUCAUUGCCGUUUCCGUGCUCCCAGUCCCAGGACCACGGCACGGGCGCACGGCAUCGCAGUAGUGCGGCGACCGUGCCGGCUCGCAAGGGGCCGGGCAGCGGCGCGCGGGCCUGGCCGCCUGGGAGCUUCGGGUGAGCGCGCGGGGAGGGAGGGAGGGUCGUCGUCGUGAGUGAGGCGUGACCACCACAGUGCGAGUCCGUCCAAAUGCAAUCGAUGCGUGGGGCUCAGGCAGUCAGGCUGACGCUAGCUUUUACUUCGCCACGGUUGUUCCAGCGCAGCGCAACCGGCGGCGGUCGGUCGGUCGGUCUGGGGGCUCGGUACGGCCGGCGUUCUACGAGUGCACGGUGGGCGGUGGCUACACCUGCAGGGACAAGCAUGAGCACUAGAAUCUCACCUUGCCUACCGCGCACUGGCCAGGUAUGUGGUAGUUGAACAGGUUUUGUUCUGAGGCAGACAAACAGUAGUACAGUAGUAGCUUCAUUCGCGUUGAAACGCACAAAGUGGUAAGAAUCAUAAGCGUGCCACGAUGGAUGAUCAAGAUGACUGAGAAAACCACUGCAAAAGAAGCAGCAGUGGAGGCCAGAUAAAAGAGGCUAUAUGUCUCGUCUUCGUCUCUGCAUGCAUGCUGGAGGCAGCACUCGGGCAGCGAACGAAGUUGCCACGUUCGACCACGACCACCACCGCCACCAACAACAUCCAUCCCAACACGCACGCGACGAUGCACUGCUAGGCGUGGCAGCUUAAACAGCAGUAGCACGCACAAGAGCUGACCACAAUGCAAUGAAGACCCCCCUCAGGCUAUGCCGGGUCUGAUCGGGGAAUGUCGAUUGCUGGAUGGAUGCAGUGGAUCGUGCUUGGCGAUUCGACCAGACGAGAGCGUGAUGCGGCGGUGCCUGAAAAAUCGCCAAUAAUGCAUGCAUGCCUCCACUCCUGUUCUCCACCGUAGGGAUUCUGCAUGUGCUGAGAUCGAGGUUGCAGGCCCUUAGGAUUUGGGGAAAUGAAGACUGAAGAAAAGAAACCUGUGCAUUGAACAUGGAAGAUCCACCCUUUUCUGGAAGGAAAACCCAAAGUUAUUGAAACCCUCGACUUUGAACGGUAAGUAUUCCCUUCCACCGUGCUCUCUGAAAAGAAGUCUAAGUUUCAGAAAGCGCUAUAGCUAUCUCGGCAACAAAGGUUGUAUCAGAUGGUAGUAGUAUUGUGAGAAACAUUCUGAUCGCCCAAAUCCAUGACAACCGGAAGAGAACCAAGUAACAAUAAGAGUAAAAGAAGGCAAAAAGAUGCAGUCCAGCACGAUGCUGAUUCAGGCAUCCACUACCACCUCCCACCAGUUGAUUUGAUUAUAGGACUUCGAACUUCCUAGCACUAUUCAGGCAUCAUUUCGCCUUACCCUUCUCUAGGUGUAGCCUGCUGCUCGAUCUUAACAAAUUUUUUUGAAAAAUAGACACCGUAACACUUUCAUUUUAUGUGACAAAUAUUGUCCAAUCAUAGACUAACUAGACUUAAAAGAUUCGUCUUGCAAAUUACAGGUGAACUGUACAAUUAGUUAUUUAUUUUAUCUAUAUUUAAUGUUCUAUGUAUGUGCCGCAAAAUUCGAUGUGACAGAAAAUUUGAAAAAAAAUUAUAAUUUUUUUUGAACUAAACAAGGACUUAGGGAACGGAAUAACCCAUGAGCCAUAAAAAAAGGGCUUCCCUAAUUUGCCCGUGGACAAUGAGUGAAAAAAGGUCUACGGAAUUACUAUUACUAAUCUAAACAAGGCCUGAAUGAAAAAGGUCUACGGAAUUACUAUUACUAAUCGAUGUCGAGGUAUAUAAGUACAUCAGUCAGUUGGCAGCAACAGUUCUGAUUGAUAGUGGCCAUGCCACCAAGGAUUGACCACGUUGUCGACUUGUCGUACACUGGUACUGUCGUAGUGGCGUGUGCCUGCCUGGGCCUAUGGAGCCGAGGAGAAUCCGGAGGCCCAUGGCCAUGCGCGUGUGGGGCUCGGGCCCGUCGACGCCGCGAGACAGUGCUGCGUGCGACUGCGGCGUCGCUCACCUUCCACUCAUCGGCUCUUGGACCGGCCACCUUCCUACACGAGCCUAGGCACGUCUAGACAUUCCCCUCAAAAAAAAAAAGAAGGCACGUCUAGACAUUUUCAAGAUGGUUUUUCGUACAACGACAUCAAGGUGGAGAUGAUAUCGUCGUUAUGGAAUAAUUCCGAUCUCUUUUAUAUUUUGUUGUAGUUGGAUCUGACCACGAUGAAAGACUAGUAGAGAGAUUAAAUUUCAUAUUAGUUUUCCUUAUCCUUCGGUGGCGGAAAGAAGAAAAAGGAAGACACAAUAACAAAAGAAGUUUCUUAACUCCACCUUUAGCAAUGUUGUCAUCGUUCGUUGGACAAUCAUUUUUAUGCCUUUUGCCGAAUAUUUGCCUUGUGCGGUCAUCCAUACGAAUUGUCAUACAUGUUUAGAUUUAAGAUUUGGAGCUAUACAAAGCGUGAGUAUAAUUUAAAUGAUUGGUUUGUGGAUAAUGUGUUCGAGAGUGCUUGUAAUAUGAUGUACUCAAUUAUAAUCUAAUAAAAUUUUUCUUUCAUCUAAAAAAAGAUAGUUUCUAAGCAUUUGAUGUGUGCAUAAAUUUUCUUAACUAAAAAAAUAGAGGAUCUAUGGAUCUAGAGUUGGACACAAAGAUCCAUCAAAGAUUCAAAGAGCCCAACCCACUUUAUCCAUCCACCACCUCCUAGCCACAAGCACCAUGCUCCUCGAUUCCAUAAUUUUAUAAACUCAAUAAUAUGGUGGCCAAGAUGGUCAUGAGCCUUGCCAUAAGGAGAGAGUAUCUUGUUAAGAAGAAUGACAAGGGACUAAGCUAUCUACCUCAUGCUAUACUUGGCAAAGUUGACUUGGUGAGUACAUAAGUUCAUGUAUGACGGGGCCGCUAAGCUAAAAUCACAAGAUAUAAGAAAUGUACUCAGAAUGUCCACGUUGUAAAAGUCUAUAACUUCCGCAAAUAGUAAUCACAUGCAAAGGCAAUAUGAUAAGUUCAAUGGCGCUAUGCUUUCAGUGGCAGGUGAUAGCGAGGCGCUUGUGGUGACUUCGUCAAUCUUGAGAUUGGUCGGUCCAACUCGGUUCUUUGAAGGUACUCAUAGGGGUAGGAUGUGUGUGCGUGCGUUCAUAGGGGUGAGUGCGCGCUCGUGUAUAUGAGUGUUUGUGUAUGUAACUGGGUUUCGCAAAGAAAGAAAAGGUAAUAAAGUUAUCUCAUGAGCUUUUCCAAAGAUCUUUUCCCCCAACACAUGGUGGCUUCAAAAGAAGGGUAAAUAGAUUAUAAGUGAGUGAACUGUCCAUAUGAUACCCUAAGGGUAGUCCAGUGUGUCAUCGAUUUUCCGCUGCAAAAAUUUAAUUGUGUCAGAGAGUAAACGUCGAUAAUGUAGAAUUCAAGUUGUGAAAAUGGCAGCAGAGGACGUCAACUGAAAAAGUCUAUUUUCUCUCUCUGGAUCUCUCAACGUGUGGCUGGGCAUGCACUAUCUGAAGACUUGUGUUUUUUAUUCGCUAUGGUUCAACGCAUUUGUAGGAUGCGAUUUUGAUCUACACGCAUGGUUCGAUUCCUAUAAUGUAUUGUGUUUGGUUUUCUAGCCUCAUGAUUCAAUUUGGCUCAUCAACGGAGCUGCUCUAAUAAAUCCAUUGGAUAUUGAACUAAGUACUUUUACUAAGUUGCUGAGACAUAGCAAAUUGUGUUCCUAUAUGAUGCAAAUAUCAACGGGAGCUAGUGAGACAUCACAAAGGAAAAAGAUUAAAUAUUGAAGAGAUACAUGCUUAACUUUCUGUACCAAUGAUUCAAGAAUACAUAAAUGUCUAAGUUUGUGGUACAAGUGCAUAGCUCAAUUCAAAUUACUACAAUUGUCAUUGAGAAUUCUCAUGAGUCAGUUAAGUGAACCAACAUAGGGAAACUUAGCAACUCAUCAACAUGAUAAGAGAGAGCCUUGAUUACUUAUCUAGUUGUGAUUUCUAGUAAACAUAUAAGAUGAUCACAUCUGUAGAGGAGGUUUGUUAUUCUAAACUAAGCAAAUGCAUGAGUUUAAGUCUAUAAGCAUAUAUAAGUCUGGGUGUUAGUAAAAAUCCUAAUAAAAAUAAAAACAAUAGGCUAUAAAAGAGACUACAAUUUUGAAUGUGACAUAAUUGGAGUUUUGAAAAGUUAUGGUUUCGAAUUCUCAAUAGAUUGAAAAUUUAUGUCCAAUCUUAAAUUAAACGGUGGAAAAGUUUUUUGUCUUAGUACUUUACUCUAUGUGCUAUACAUGAGUUUUUUGUCGCCCAAUUUAAGUACAAAAGAUCUUGGUGAAGUCUCUAAUGGUAGUAAGAUGCACUUAUACAUGACCAAAUAAGUGUUAGGAUUAUCAUAUAAUACAUUUGGUUAAAAUUUUAAGUGAUGCUGCAUGUUCUAUUUUGCACAAUGUAGUAAGUUUGAUUAUCCUAAAAUAUCCAAGUUAGAAUCAAUUGAGGAGGGAGACGUUCCUUAUACUUACGCUUAAGUUGUGGUAUUAUUUGAAGUAAUGGCACAUCAAUUGGCGAUGCCAAAUAUAUUGAUUAAAAAUUAUGUUGCGAAAAAGCCAAAACCAAAUCAUUGAGAAAAAGUACUAAACUAAUGGUAGCAUGUGUGCUUAUUUGAGACUUACCACUUAUCUCAUCUAGAAAUGAGCAAAUCAGCAUGGGUUUUCGGUGAAGAGUCUCUAACCGGAUCUAAGAUACAAGGCCAUAAUAAAUAAAUAAACGCUAUAGGUAUAGGUAUUACGGUGAAAUUUGGUUUGGUUAAGGGGUUUUAGCAGCGAUGGAAGUGGGUAAACACACAGUCAUUGCUGGGCCAACCCCAGACGUACUUAGCCCACGAAACGGCCAAAGCCGGCCCAGCCCACGGUGUAACCCUAGAUAUAUAUAUGCAGCAGCAGUGUUGCCGCAUCCACAUCCCCGUCCCAGUCGGUUGUCCCUCCUGCAGGUCGCCGCCGCUCGCUCUCUCUCUUCCCUGACCACCGCGCCACCGCUCCCCGAGUCUCGACAAACCGUCUACGCGACCGGCGCCCCUCCCUCCCCUUCGGUGUCGCCGUCUGCAUCCUCCUCCGGUCUUCCCAAGGUGAGUCCCGACCUAAACCUAAUUCACAAAUUAUGUAGCAGUAAUUAGAAGAUCUCGACUUCUCGAGAUCGAUUCGGUAGGAGGGUUAUAUGUUAUAGAUGCGAAUUCGGUAGGAAGGGCCACAUGUUAUAGAUGCGAAUUUGCUCUAUGCGCAUGACCAGGAUUGUCUAGAUGCAUAAUAUCUGGUACUAUUGUCACGUUCUUUUGAACUGAUGACAAGGUUAGGUUGAACUGAUGCAUAUCUGAAAGACUUGAACUGUAUAUUCUAGUUCGUAUCCUGUAUCAGCAAAUAUUAUAUCAUUUUUUUUCAUUUGUGAACAAUCCAAUUUGGGCUGAACCUUGUAUUCGGAUAUGAUCUAAUGACAAGUGUUUACAUGUAUUAUAAACUUCGACUAUUUUGAAUUUUUUUUGGGAGUGCAUGUGUACCCCCAUGUCGUCUUCCCCUGCUAUGCUGAACUUUUAUCUUCUGUUUCAUAGUCACUGGUUCUGUAAAGUCAUUUUUAAGGAUUGAUUCACUAUGAUACUCUUCAAAUUUGUACUCAAUUUUUUUUACUUUUGUGUCAGCUCUGCCUCUAGUUUAAUGCAGCCUCCACUAUUUCUUCUGUUUUUAUAUUAAUUAUUGCUCAUUCUUGGUGUAAUUUUUGCAGAGCUUGAUUCUCGUAGAAGCUAAAGCAGCAGCCGGAACCAUGGCAUCCCGUUUCUGGGGACAGGUACUUGCUUUCUUUCGCGCAAUGAUACCAGCAUGCCAGUAUAUUCAUGAUGUGCAUUCUGAAGUAAUUGAUCAAAUUGUUGUUGAUGCAAGAAUCUGACACUUGCCUGGUCCUUUGCAACUUCAGGGGGAUAGUGAGUCUGAGGAGGAGGAGGAAGAAGUCGAGUCAGAACAGGGCAGUGAUAGUGAUGAUGAUGGAGGCCGUGGUGGUGCAGGACGCAGUCUUGGAAACCGCUAUUUGAAGAACCAAGAAGACGACAGCGAUGAGUCUGAUACAGGGCACCGUGUGAUCCGCUCUCUGAGGGACAAGCGCAAUGAGGAGAUGAGAUCUAUUGUUGAUCAGAUGCGUAAUGCAAUGAAGAUCAAUGACUGGGUUAGCUUGCAGGAGAGUUUUGAGAAGCUUAACAAACAUCUUGAAAAGGUUGUUCGUGUCAAUGAAUCUACUGAGGUUCCAAAGAUGUAUAUCAAGGCUCUUGUGUUGCUGGAGGACUUCCUUGCUGAAGCCCUUGCAAACAAGGAGGCCAAGAAGAAGAUGAGCAGCAGCAAUGCGAAGGCACUGAAUGCGAUGAAGCAAAAGCUCAAGAAGAACAACAAGCAGUACGAAGAACAGAUCCAGAAGUGCAGGGAGCAUCCAGAGAGUUUUGAUGAUGAACCUGCGGAUGAUAAAGAUAUGGAUGACGAUGAUGACGAUGAUGCUGAUGAGAGUGAUGCAGAGAUUGAAGAUCCUGAUAAAAUAGCUAUGUCAGAGUCAGAAGAGGAACCUGACGAAGAUGAUGAUGACAAGGAUGGUUGGGAAAAGAAGAGGAGUAAGAAAGAUAAGCUAAUGGAUAAGCAGUUCUUGAAAGAUCCAAGUGAAAUCACAUGGGAUAUUGUCGAUAAUAAACUCAAGGAGAUUGUAGCAUCAAGGGGAAAGAAAGGUACUGGAAGGAUAGAGCGUGUUGAGCAGUUAACAUUUUUGACCCGUGUGGCCAAAACACCAGCUCAGAAGCUUGAAAUCCUUUUCCAUGUGAUUUCUGCGCAGUUUGAUGUCAACCCUAGUCUACUUGGGCAUAUGCCAGUCAAUGUGUGGAAGAAGUGUGUCAAUAAUAUGCUGCUUGUGCUUGAUAUACUCCAGCAGUAUCCUAACAUUGUAGUAGACACCUCAUUUGAGCCUGAUGAGAAGGAAACUCAAAAGGGUGCAGACUAUAAUGGAACUAUACAUGUUGUUGGUGACCUGGUUGCAUUCCUCGAGAGACUGGACUCUGAAUUUUUGAAGACCUUGCAGUGCACAGAUCCGUACACAAAAGAUUAUGUUCAGAGGCUUAGAGAGGAACCCCUGUUUUUGGUUGUUGCUCAGAAUGUCCAAGAUUACCUUGAGAGGGUUGGGAACCUCAAAGCUGCUGCCAAGGUUGCACUGCGCCGUGUUGAACUGGUUUACUACAAACCCCAAGAAGUGUAUGAUGCAAUGAGAAAACUUGCAGAGCAGCCUGAGGACAGUUUGGAUGAUGAUGAUGCAGAGGCUGGUGAUGAACAUCAGGCAAUAGAUGACAACAGAGGACCAUCACCAUUUGUUGUGAUUCCAGAGGUUGUGCCGAGGAAGCCUACUUUUCCAGAGAGUGGUAGAACUUUGAUGGAUGGAUUGAUGUCCUUAAUUUACAAGUAUGGAGAUGAAAGGACCAAAGCCCGUGCAAUGCUGUGUGACAUAUAUCACCAUGCGAUCUCUGAUGAGUUUUCAGUGGCUCGUGACUUGCUUUUAAUGAGUCAUUUGCAAGAUGGUGUUCAGCUCAUGGACAUAUCAUCACAGAUUUUGUUCAAUAGGGUCAUGGCCCAGUUGGGGCUGUGUGCUUUCAGGGCUGGUUUGAUAAAUGAAGCCCAUGGAUGCUUGACCGAGCUCUACUCUACUGGGAGGGUGAAAGAAUUGCUUGCACAAGGUGUGCAACAAAGCCGAUACCAUGAAAAAACUCCUGAACAGGUAAACCUCUAUGCAACUCAUCCUUUUUUCUUCUUGUAAAUGCUGCACACAUAGCCCCUAAUCACACAAGCAAAACACUAGUUGGAAAACUUUGUUUGUGUCAAUUGAUAAUAUUUGCACAGUAGUAUCCCCCUCUUGUAUCUGUUAAUUAUUUAUGUUUCUGUUGCUUUUUUAAUACGAUAUUAGAAUGUUUUUCCUGUUUUAUGCAGGAAUUCUGACCCAUAUCACAAAAUUUUACAUUUUCUAUAUUGGCCUGUACUUAUGUUUAUUACACAGAUGUAGUUCCUUUAUGCUACUUCUAUUUAACUGUAGACCACAAUUGGCGUAGUUUUAUACAAGGAAAAGAUGAUUGUUUUGUUUUGGUUCUAUCAGUGCUAAUGAUGUACCCACCCUAUCACUGCAGGAAAGACUUGAGAGGAGAAGGCAAAUGCCUUACCAUAUGCAUAUAAACCUGGAACUUUUGGAAGCCACACACUUGAUUUGUGCGAUGCUGAUUGAAGUCCCCAAUAUGGCUGCCAGCACUUAUGACAAGCGGAGGCCUAUGAGCAAAACAUUCCGACGGCUUCUUGAAGUGAGUGAAAGGCAGACGUUUGUUGGGCCACCAGAGAACGUGAGGGACCAUGUAAUGGCUGCCACAAGAGCCCUCAACAAGGGUGAUCACCAAAAGGCUUUCAGUGUCAUUAAUUCACUGGAGAUCUGGAAGCUUUUGAGGAACAGAGAUCAUGUUCUUGAGAUGCUGAAGCUUAAGAUCAAGGAGGAAGCUCUUAGAACCUAUCUCUUCUCAUAUUCGUCUUGCUACGAGUCCUUGAGCCUUAACCAGCUCACCACCAUGUUUGAUCUCAGCGAGCAGCAUGCUCACAGCAUUGUUAGCAAGAUGAUGAUGCAUGAAGAGCUUCAUGCUAGUUGGGACCAGCCAACAAAAUGCAUUGUAUUCCACAGUGUGGAUCAAACUAGGCUUCAGGGGCUACUAUUCCAGAUGGCAGAUAAGCUCUCGGUCCUUGUGGAGAGCAAUGAGAGGGCAUACGAGGCAAGAACUGGUGGUACUCUUGAGGGAGUGCCGCCCAGGCGCAGAGGUGAUGGUCAGGACUCAUCCAAUAUGGGGAAGUGGCAGGAGAACUUUGUCUCAUCACAGGGGCGGCAGGGUGGUGGCAAUCGGUUUGGAUACUCUGGUAGAGGUGGAGGAUCUGGUCAAAGUGGUGGCCACCAGAGGGACAGGGGCAACCAGGGUUCCCGUGGGGGUUACGGUGGCGGUUCACGGUUUCAGGAUGGAAGGGGUCGCAACCAGUCUGGUUCAUCAGCCAGAGGUGGUGAUGGUGGUGCUCGCAUGGUGAACCUAAACAGGGUUGGUAGAGUUUAGGUGUGAUAAUUCUCAGCUGAAGGAAGCCCGAAGUUCUACUAAAGGCCAAGUUUUGAAGCACUGCUUUUUCCAUAAUUACAAACUUCUGUUCUAAACUCAGUCGUUCACCUAUUUGCUCUAUUUCGUUGUAGCCUUUAAUUCAAGGGUCUAGGAAAUUGAACUAAGGGUUUGGGUACUCUGGUUUGUGUCGUGGGAGUGAGACGAUGCAUUCGCUCCUAUAUUUGAUAUCUACUUGUUACUCUUGCUAUAAUGCUAUACUUUUCGUAUUUGUGUUUACCCUGCGCUGAUUUGCUUAUUGCUUGUGUAUGUUACAGUUACUCGAGUUAUCAUGAGAAUUAGUGGUGGCUAAAUCAUAGGUUUGUGUGAUUUAGUUAAUUAGUUCUGGUAACUUUAUGCUGUGGUUAGAGGAACAUGCGGUGGCCUAUCCUUUAUUUUGUUUCCUUUGCGUGAAAUGGAUCGAGUUAAUUUAUGAUAAGUCUAACCAGUACUUUUUUAUAGUUCGCGGAAUGGAAAGAAAUAAUCCAUGGUCCGGAUCAUCUCGUGCCAGUACAAGCAUGAGACGUGGUUAUUGUCUAUGAAAAUUGUGGAACGAACACAUGACAAAUGUGGUUUUUUUCUAUGAAAAUUGUUGAAUGGAAUGAACUCCACAUCGGUCAAGAAUGAGGUGGGGUUCACAGGACCAAACACCACCUUAGUUAUUUAUUCACACUACUAAACUUUGAUACAAAUAGAUUGUUAACACACCACUAAACUUUGGUACAAAUAAAUUGUUUUUUGGUCACACUAUUGUGCAUCGUCGCCUUUUAUUCCCCUAUUAUGCAUGUCGAAUCGAGUAAAAAUGUUUUCAGGGGAAAGAGUAACCUACGAUUGGUUAAAGCAUCUCUUAUAUUGGUUACAUAGGAUGUGUAUGGUUAGCAGCUAGUCUCGUCAUUACUUCCUUAAGCCAGUUUUUGAAUGUUUGGUUACAUAAACUAGGCUUGGGGCCUGGUUGGAUGGGCCAGCCGUACUGUUGGAGCCCCAUCCGCCCCUCCCCAUUCCCCUCCGCCUCCGCGCAGCUCCGUCGCCGCCAUGGCGCUCUCUAAGCCUUUCCUCUCUCGCCUCCUCCCACUUCCCCUCCGCCUCCAGCCGCAGGCCUGCAUCUUGUACCAUGUCGUGGAGAUAGACGCUGCCUCAGACUGGUUCCCGUGGCGCGCUUCGUCGUUGUGCUCUCCGACGGCGAGGGAGGCACCGCGCUCGACGUCACCGUCAUGUGCGACGAGCGGUACAACCACGUCCGGGAGGUCAGCCUGCACGUCGAGGAUGCGGAUGGCGCUGGCGUCAAUGGCAGGGACGGGCUCGCCGCCGCCGCCGCCGCCAAGGCCACGCCCAGGCGACGCGGGUGCGGGGAGGACGCGACCAGGGAAAGGUACGAGGACUUCAUCAGGGGGAAGAGGGCGCGCAAGGAGUGGAAAGCCAGGCACGAGGGCAUCCUUGACCUCUGCUGCUCCGGUGUUGGCGCCGCCGCAUUCCUUGGCUUCUUGGUCAUGCUCAUGUUCCGGUGAGCCCUCGUCGUCCGCGUGGAGCCCCCUCUCUCCCAAGGCCCCGCGUCGCAGCGCGCGCUGGGGGAUCCUCGCCCGGCGUCGAACCCCAACGUGCCCAAGAUCUCGGAGCCGGCCUCGGUGCUCUGGGUGAAGCUUUGACCUGCACCGCCGACGACUGCGAGGAGCCCCAGUGGCUAGUUGCGCUCUGCAGCGCCAUGGGUAAGGAGGCCAUCCAAACACAUAGUACAUGCAACCAAACAAGUUCACCUCGGCUUGCUAAGGCCAAGCUUAGACUAGCCUGGCUUAGUUUAGCUAGCCAGGCUUGUAUUGAAAACGAACCAAACACACCCAUGUAAAACAAGUUGUCCAAUGCUAAAGGAGUAUCAUGAGAACUGUAGAGACUUAGGCGAUAUAGUAAGGUGGCGGAUACAUUUAGGUCAAGGAGUGAGCUACAAUAUGUUCAAGCACCUCUUCAUAUUCCUUUUUAUUUGUCAUUCUCACUUAUUGAAAAGUUAAACGUAGUCAACUUUGACCAAAUAUUUAUAUUCAUACUACAUAAUUAGUAUUAUUAGGUAAUUCAUUGAUCUAUUUUUAUAACAAACUUAUUUGGAGACAUAAAUGUUGUCCAUCUAGUCGAAGAAUUACCUUUCCUUUACUUAUCCAGUCGAUGAAUUACUUACUAUAAGAUCGUUAGAGAUGCUUAUCCAUGUCUAUCCAUAGCGAUCAUGUUUGCCAAAGAUACGAGGUAUAUUUCUUCUCCAGCUACUAUCUAGUUUCUUCUCCCGCUACUCUAAAAUAAAUCACUUAUCUACAGAAAUUACUUAUUAUAAGCUACAUAAAUAAAUAACUUAUUCGAAUAUUUCCCGAGUGUUUAAUCAAUCCCCAGGCUACUUUUCCCAUAAAGAUCAGAUGAGACCUGUAUGUCUUGCUUUGUACUUAGUGUUCGCAGUGGCUCUGGAAAUUUAAGAAAAUUUGACCAAUAUGUAACGACGGAUAAAAAAAGGGAGAGAGUGUAUUUGUCAUCAUGAAACAAGUUGUCCAGUAGAUUUUGGAAUGCCAAGAUAUAGGUAGAUCAUGUCAAUAUUACGUUUUCUUGUAUUUAUUCCAAAUAUAUCUUACGUUUUCGAGAGUGUUGGGCCAUUUCGACAGCCUGUAAUUUUUCUAACUCUAAACUCCAACAAACUUGAGAUUGGUGGGUGCUCCACCAAUUUGGUAGAUCUCGUAGGGGCAGAUUAAGCAAAUCCCUGGUGGAGCCAGAAGUGUUUGACUAGAAGAAUUAAAUCUAGAUCUAUUUUUUUGUGGAUCUUAAACUGGUGGAGCUCUACUAAACAGGCCAUAGUCUAUAGGGAUUCAGUAUGUAAAAAGGGCCCAUACGAAUGCCUUCUAAAGAUGACGGAAAAUUCUACUUUCAUGCUGCACCACGGGCAGGGCGCCACACUUGCACCUGUGACAUGACAGUGGCAAAUCCAAAGAGGCCAUCAUUCAGAAUGGCAUAGACAGAAAAGAUCAACAUUUGUGAGCAAAACAUGAAAUAAAGAGUACUAAAUUCCACAGCAACAUGAAAGGCAAACAUUACAAAGCUGUCUGUCUGUAGAAGAUUUGGAAUCCCUGAACUUUAACAAUUGAGUUCUUAUCCAUUGGGCUCUAAGUUGCAAUAGCAUUAUAGCUCUUGAAAGAAGGUUCAUGUCAGCUGAUCAAAUUGUGACAAAACAGCGAAAAGGAAUCUGAUCAAGAGAAUGCUGGAAACUUGGCACAGAUCAAGGAAAGAGUUAAACGAACACAUGCAGUCAAGCACUAGUUGAUUCAAGGAUCCAUUACCAUCCACCUUUUGAGUUGUAUGAUCUUCAGGCACUCUUUUUCCGAAACAUCAGCACGAGACUUGCAGAAUGAGUUUAUUAGAAGCAAAAAUUUACAUGGGGGAAAAAAACCAAAACCAAAACCAAAACCAAAAGAGCAGAAAAGGGGGCAAAGGGGCAGCUCGGAGUGAAAGGGAAGAGCCCCUCCACCAGCAACUACUAGCUAACCCUAAACCUGGAUAAACAGCUACAUACAGCCAAAACCACUCGAACCACCCAAGCUUGAUAAAAAACCCAACUCGAAAGGGCCGCCAAGAAUGCCCUAUGUUGUAUCAUUUGCAAGCAGAAUUGGUGCAAUGUUUCUGGGAGCUGAACCUUCAACCCAAGAGCAUAGCCAGAACGGUGCCAAAUCCCCUUUACCCGCUGACAAUUGUUGAAGCGAAAACCAAAUUCCUGUCCAUUUUAUCACAGCGCACAUACAUUUGUGCCCAAGCUCUCUCUCUAUUUUUCCAUUUUGUGCCACAACCAACAUAAUUGCAGUGCCCUAGCAAAAAUCUCAAGGUCUUUAAUUCCCAAGCCACCUUUCUCCCUGGAGAGAGUUACAAAUUCCCAUUUGAACAGGCAGUGACCGCCACUGACAUGCUACGGAUCAUCCCCCUUGUCCUUCUUCAGACAUUCUAAACAAUGAAGUUCUACAGGCACUAUUCAGACAUCGUUUUACCUUGCCCUUCUUCAGAAAUAGUUGAACAGGACAACUCUCAACUUGUUCUACCUACUAACUGUGGGUUGAGUACAACCCGAUUCAACCACAGAGUAUUCGUCCAUCAUGAGGACAUCAUUAAAUAUUGCCUACUGGCAAUGAGAUAAUAGCCAUUUUUGUCUACAUGACUUAUAAUGGAAAAUGAUACAGAAGCGGGGAAAAAAAAUCAAAAUAAAGUAAAGAAAAGGUUAUACUUUUGCAAAUCAUAAGAAAAGAAAUCUUUGGAACUUCCAGUACAAGCAUGCAUAAAGGUCACAGAGCUUUGAUAAGCUCUUAUGAUUAUUCCAUACAUUGUUAUUUUCAGGGUAACUGAAUAUUUAAAAAGCAGCCCUAAAAGGAGCAUUAGCUGGUUAAUACGCUACUUGAUUUUAGCAAAGAAAGAACCUUAUUAGGUUAGGUCUGUUUAACAUAGCUUCAGCAGUAGUAAAUACACAAAAUUGUUUGGGCCAAAUUGUUUAUACCUCGUCUUGAAGAUCAGUUCAGACAUCUUUUCCCAAUCAUGCAAGAAUGCAAAUAUCUUGAAUGACCUAGCGCCCACUUUUUCUCUCUUAGUACAAACACAAACCAAUGUGUUAUUGCACUAAACAAUUACUAAUUCUCGCUAACUUUUAUGCUCACACGCAACUCCAUGAAAUGUGUCUUGCACAUAUUAAAUUCUAAGAGAUCUAUGGCAAAGAAUCUAGGACCCUGAAUUUCUCAAUAAGACCAAUUAUGUUCAUUCUUCAUUGGAUAAUGCACAUAAGGCAUAACAUAUGCGCCCUCUAAAACGAAACACUACCGACACUGAUCUUAUCCAAUAAAACACUAUUUGCCUUCCAUGGAAGUUUCAUCAUGCUCAAAGUAUCAAACCUUGAAUAACCUCAUAGUCCUAGCCUCCUAGGUCCAAACUCAGGGCAAAACAAUUACCUUCUUUUCUGUUCAGGAAAUGAACAAAAUGUUAUUCAGGAUUACUAUUACCAAUGGAAGUAAUUUUGCGAGCCUGGUAAAAGCAAAGAGAUCUAUAAUAACUUCUGACAACAUCCCAUUACAAAUGGAUUCAGUAAAUGUGCCACACAUCACAUAAUUAUGUUGAGGCAAUGCAAGCCGCAGUGAUCACUAGCUCGAGUUUUUUCAAGGAAACAGGCGAACCUACAGAUCUUUCCAACAGCACUUCCUGAAUUGAGGAAUCAAUUGAAGACAACAUAAACAGGGCGUGCAAUCGGAGAAGCUGGAACCUACUAGAUCAGAAGUAGAGCCCCAUCUGGACGUUCUUCUCCACGAACCCGCACUUGGCGUAGAACCCCUUCAGCUCCGUUGUGCAGUUGAGUAUAACCUUGUAGCACCCUCUCCCCCUAGCGUGCUCCACCAGGCGGUGCACGAGCCGCUCCCCGAGCCCCCGACCCCUCGCGGCGGCGUCCACCACCACGUCCUCCAAGUGGCCCACAAGGCCGCAGCGCCGGAUGAACUUGCGCUCCACCAGCAUCGCCCCCGCGCCGGCGAGGCGGCCCGUCGCAGCGUCCUCCGCUACGAGGAUCAGGUGAUCGGCGCCCAGCGCAGCGAGCUCAGCGAAGCGCGCGUGGAAGGCUUCCUCUGAGAGGGGCGGAGAGGGGGAGAGCUGCGCGAGAAGGUCGCAGAACCCCUUGGAGAGGUCGGCGAGCUCGAGCGGCCGGAUGAUGUACGCAUCCCCUAUGGCCUCCACUCCGGCGCCGGCGCCGGCGCCGGCCCCGCCCUCCGCAAGAGCGUGCGGCUGUUCCAUGUGUCUACAGCAGGAGGCGGCUCUCAGAUGGAGAUCACAAAUACGGGCCUCACUCUCGAUCCAAUAAGCUAAUGGGCCAGAAGAUGGACCGUUUUUCAACUGGGCCCAGAUAUUUGCCGAUGAGAUCCAAAACUAACCGUUCAAAAUAUAUAUUUUUAUUUUUUUUGAAAACCGAAAAGAAAAAGAAAUUGAAAGCCCCGCCCAAACGCACAAAAAAUCCCCAACUCAAAUUCCAAUCCCCAAACGGCCAAACCCUCUGCAGUUCCUCGCCAUGGUCGCCGCCGCCGUCGGCGAGGCGACCCCGCCCCCGGACCUCCCACCCUCCCGCGUGUCCGUCUCCUCGCCCUCGCCUUACCCCCGGCGCCGCUGUGCCCUCGCGAGCCGCUUCCGGGAGCCGGCGGCCCCGCGGCGGCACGCGUGGGUUUCCCUCCAGGGUCGCCUUAUCGGGGCGGAGGAGGCGUCGUCUGCCGCUUCGGCCGCACCGGGCCUUCCCCCGGAUGAGGCGGUAGCGUGGGAGCUCUUCAGCCCGCUCCAUCGCGUGCUUCUCGUCGCCACUGUCGCCGCCGCAUCCUCCCGGUCCCACGCCGCCCGCCGCAUCGAGCAGCUACAGCGGUCGAUUCAUCUUAGGGUUUGGUUCUGUUGAUCUCCUCGAUCGUAUUCGUAUCUAUGUCUUGAUCGAGUAUUUGGUGACCAUUCCGCGAAUAAUGUUUUUGGUGUGCAGGAUGAGGUGCUGGAAGGCAUGCAGCAGAAGCUGGAUGAUCUGCUCGUCGAGAUGAGCUCCCUACAACAGCAGUACGUCAAGUGUGACAGUUACAUUUCCGAUGAAAGGGAGACGAAUGAGAUUGCAGGCAGCAAGAAUAUAGGAGACGGAGAGGGAUCUAGAUGCUGUGUGUGCACGAAGCUAGAGGUUGCUGCCACUCCUCAGAAGGCAAAGGUAGCACUUGUUGACUUAUUGCUUUUUUUCCUUAAAAGAAGAGGAUCUGCUUACUGAAGAAUAUGCACCAAUUGUGCAGGAUCUCUGUGGCACAGACGAUGCUAGGAGUGAUAUGGUUGAUAGGUCUAGUCUAUCUUCCAUGGAUCAUGAAGAGCGCCGUAUGUCAGACCUCUCAGACUUCUGCUGGAGUGUUGUGUCAUCAGUUGAUAACCAGAUAAAUGGGGAUAAUCAGGUAGAUAUGCUUGUACUUUUCUGGGGCAAAAGCAUUUUCUGUUGUUUUGUGUGAAAUUUUAUUUCCACGCAUCUAUUGUUCACAAUACUUGAUUGUAUCCAUGUUACAAUUGUCGACAAUGCAUUCCUUUUGGCCUUUUGAAGUUACUAUAGGGGUUCUUUGAUCAAAGUUUACACACUCUUUUUCUUAUCCUCAAUUGUGUUGUGUGGUGAUAGCAUUCUAAAUUGUGUCCAGCUAAGUUUCCUGGCAGCAGAUCAACAACUGUACAAUCUUCAGAAGGAAUGUGAAGAGAAAGAUGCAACCAUCAAGGAACUAGCUGCAGCGGCACAUGCAUCUAGUACUGCUGAUGCGAAGGUUAGAAUCUCAAUACUUGUCAUUGCCAACAUUUCAGGUAAUAUACUAUUGGAGUAUUGAUAAACUCUUCCUGUUUGGCAUGUAGAGAAUUGCAGAGCUGCAGGAAGUUCUUAAAAGGAAAAACAUGGUGAUCUCUAAAUUGAAGAAAGACAUGGCUGCUCUGAAGCAUAUGGUAAGCAGUUCUUCCAAGUCCUUACUGAUCCUUUGUGGUCAGGCAAAGCGUUGACUUCUUAUGUUCUUUGAUAGGUUGUUGAACUGUCAAGGGCUAAAAGGGCAUCUUCUGCCAUAAGUCCAAUCUGUACUGAUCUGCCAGUGAUGUCAAACAAUGUUCUGUAUGAUAUGAGCAGUUCUAGCUCAUCAUCAGAUUCUGAAUCUCCGGUUGCACUAAGAGAAUACCUUGAUGAGCAUCUUGUUGAUAGCACUCCAGGAGAUGGUUAUUCCAUAGGGAGUUGUGAAGUAUCUACAGCAAAAGCAUCUCUUCCAUCAAAAACUUCAUUCGUUCACAAGCUGCGCUCAACUAGCCCUUUAAAAGAGAUUCACAUUAACCCAAAAGUAGAAACAAAUUCAUUUGGCAGACAGAAGCAACCUACAUCCUCUAAUGGAGAUUUUAAAAGGAUUAGACGACAAAGUCAGCAAGAUCCAAGGAAUAAAGCUACAAGAAGAUGGAUGUAGAGUUUAUCCAUCUAGAAGUCAUUACCUGAUUGGUAAACUUGUCACUUGUGCAUUAAAUUGACCUGCUGUUCUUAUCCUAGCAAAGCUAUGAAACAUGUUUGGUUCAGUUAAUCUCUGUAUAAGUACUCUAAUGUUUACUUGUUUUAUCCUGCUUCUCUUCCUUCAUCAUUGCCAUUGCGGCUUCUAUUCAUCACUAGUUUAAUCAAAUUAAACUUCUUUUUAAAAGAAAAAGGAACAUGAUAAACAUAAAUUAAUCCAUGGAGAUUCUACUUUCAGGAAAUACUGAAAUAAUAGUUUACUAUGUCCUGAGGUUCAAUUCCCUGAUACACUAUAGAUAUUGUUGUUCCUGUUGCUUCUCCCCCAAAUCAAUUAGAUGUUUCCCAAAUACUUUAGGAUGCCACAUAUGUAGAUGGAUUGUGCAUGCACCUUUUUUGUUUAUUAGGGAAUUAUUUUAUAUUUCAGUUAGUGAUGCUUGCUACUUGAUAUACUGAUAUAAUUCCAAAGUGUUUAUUAUAUAUUAUUAUCAUUAUGCUGUAACAGUCAGAAGUUCAAUUCCCUCCUUGCCGCAGCAAAUGCAACAUCACUUUUUUUUAAUUGCGUUACAACAAUGACCAAUCUAUUCUCUUUCCAUUUCAGAUUUGGAGAAGAUGAAGUUGAUAGAUGUUAUCGAUUUUGGUUGAUGAACUUUCCAUGAUGCUUCCUGGCUUCCAGUUCUUUCUGGUAAAACAGUAUGGCUGCAACUUGCAUAUAUUGUAGUCUUUAAUAAAGUUGCCUGUCACUAGAUGGACCAUAUCGGUACCUUACCUAGCUUCAGCGUUGGAAUCUUCUCCGAUGUAUAGAAUGUCAUUUGGAUCUCAACAGUCAACAUCUCCCUUCUCUUGAAUGUAUCGGUUAAAUUUAAUAGUGGACUAAUUUAUCCUGCAGAAUCUUGGAAUUCGUACUUGCGAAAUAGUUUACCAUUCUUUUGAUUGUUUAGAGUGCCUCUGAAGUGCCGCCCUACGGGGUUCCUGCUUCCCUGUCAGCAGAUCACCAUCUUACAGAUGUUAAACACAGUUGGACACAGUCGACACAAAAGCAUGUAGUUUAUUUCUCCAUGCAUAAUGGGCGUAGCUAGGGUUUCAAGGCUAAGACGGUCCAACUUCACAUAAUUUAUUUUAUUUAAAACUGAAAAUUAAACAUGCCAGCAUACAAGUAUAAGAAUCGCUGAAGCACAAUACAAACAAAUUUAAAGGCCUGAAGGACAUCUUAAAGUGAGAAGUCAAGUCUGAAAUUUGUUUAAAGCAGCUUACAUGCCUACAAUAUCGACGUACCUACAAGGCCUUAGAUCAAAAUGCUAGGAAAUGUGCACAAGGGGUAAUUUGUUCAUUGUGUGGCUUCGUCACCACUAUAUGUUCUAUGUCACAAGGGUUAAUUUGUUAAGCAGUGCAAUUUUUGAAUCUCCUUUGAUGCAAGACGCAAGAGAUAGGAAAUGUGCACUUCAUCAAGCAGCUGCCCUGGAUUUUUGACGUUGUCAUGAACUUAUACUCGCUGCUAUGAAAGCACGCGCUAUUCUUGUGAAUAUCUGGAUCGCUGUAUCUUGAUAGCUUUGACAAGCUUGAAGUUCACGUUGUCCAGAGCCGUCGGGUGAGGUUGGGAGCAAUUCUCUCAAUGGAAACCUUUGGUAGAAGCUUCGGGGGUGUUUGUGACUGCUCCGCUCCAUGUUUUUUAGCUUCGCUCCACGUUUUUUAGCCAAACAGUUUCAGCUACACGCACUCAGUUCGAGGAAAAAAGGUAGAGUUGUGAGAGCACCACUCCACAAACUCCAGUUUUUUGUGGAGCUGCUCCACAGUGGAGUUUGUGGAGCAGUCCCAAACACCCCCUAUAAGGCCUGUUUGCUGUUUUUUUCUGGAGCAAAGAGAGACUUUAUUAGCUAGCCACAGGCGGAUUACAAUCGGCAUUAAGGAAGGUCCAAACACACGCAGAGGCUUGUCCUGAUCAGGCUGCAAAAUGUUAACUACGUCUAGCUAGUAACGCUUAAACAUUUGUUACUUGAUUGCAUUGUCUCUCUACUUGGGUACACUUCCAAUCACUUAUCAGCCGAACCAAACCUCUCGUCUCAUUGGGCCAAUCUAUGGCCUGUCCACCUGUUUGCAGCUUGUACGGAUCCUGGCAGAAUUUCAGCGUUAGAAACUAGAGGCAGGAUCGGUGAUUCAUAUGUAUGGAACUACGGAUCCGAACAAUGAACGCGAGAUGGAAACAGAACUCUUGGACGGUUGGACCAGCGCUCUGCCGGCAAUUGCUAUUUUUUUAGUAUAUAUGUAAAAAAACAAAGCAAAAAGAGGUCUUUGUACGAGCAUGAGCACGAGUUGAUGACUGACCUGAAAAGGACCCGAGAUGGUAACAAAAUGGGGACUGCUAGCGCCCGGACGUCCGGCGCCAGCAACGCGUUCGGACGCCGAACCCACCACCCGCGCCACCAUAAAGAAGAAAAAAAAGAAAAGAAAACUUCACCCACCCCUAACCAACUCACCCCUUCCCCACUCGCCCCGCACAGAAGAUUGUUUCUUGUCCGCUCCCUUCCAACCAACUCGCCCCUGCGCCACUCGCCCACACGGAGGACCGCCCUUCGUCCGUUCCCUGUGCAAGGAGUCCGUGCCCCACCCCACGAGCAUGGGAUCCGCCCCGCCCCUCGCCUUGUCAGCCCCUAGUAAAUCUACCUGCCGCUAACUCGUCCCUACAGCCUGCCUCUAUACUUGACGCUGCAACACAAAUAUGCAUGAUAGUGCAACAACACAUGACAUACUGCUACAACAAACAAGUUGAAGUAGCCGAAACAUCAUAAACAUAGUAUUACAACAAACAUCGAACAAUUGUUGCAACAAUAUGCAACAACUAAUACAACAGUGCAGAUUGAAGUAUUGGUUAGAACAGCUGAAACACCAUAAACAUAGUAUUACAACAACAACGAACGACUGUUGCAACAACAGGUAACAACUAAUACAAUAGCAUAGGUUGAAGCAUUGGAUGGAGCAACCGAAACACCAUGGACAUAGUAUUACAACAACAUUGAACAAUUGUUGCAACAAUAUGCAACAACUAAUACAACAGUGCAGAUUGAAGUAUUGGUUAGAACAGCUGAAACACCAUAAACAUAGUAUUACAACAACAACAACGAACGGCUGUUGCAACAACAGGUAACAACUAAUACAAUAGCAUAGGUUGAAGCAUUGGAUGGAGCAACCGAAACACUAUGGACAUAGUAUUACAACAAUAUCGAACAAUUGUUGCAACAAUAUGCAACAACUAAUACAACAGUGCAGAUUGAAGCAUUGGAUGGAGCAACUGAAACACCAUGGACAUAGUACUACAACAACAACAAACAACUGUUGUAACAACAUGAAACAAACUACUACAACAUACAGAUUGAAGCAACUGAAACAUCUCAAAAACACAAUACUGAAACAACGACUGAAACCUACUGCAACGUCUAGAAAGAACCAUUGCAACAAUGACAAAAUCUGAAGCUGAGAGCUUGCCGAAAAUCCUAUCAUACUGCAACAUCACCUGAAAAACUGAAAAUAACCACCAUUACAACACGCGAGAGCACUGAAUCCCAAGAGCUCGCCGGAACCCUAGCCAACACAUCUCAUAGAUCUAGACCCAGAGGAAGAGGAGAAGGAGGAGGAGCAGAGGAGGGCCUAGAUCCAGAUCCACAAAAGAGGAGGGAGGGAAAAGGAAGAGGGAGGCCUCAGAUCCAAAUCUCUCCCCACCUACCUCGUCGGAGCCGCGCCGUUCUCUCCAUCUCCGGAUGCAUGGAGGUUAUGAGAGCGAGGGAAAAAGGGCAGGGAGAAAGGGAGCUGCGCCGCUCACUGGAUGCUACCACCGUCACGCUCUACUCCGGUGGCUUCGAGGGCGCGUGGGUCGCAGCGAGGAGGGAGGGAGGAGCGGCUCGCCAUUGGCGCGGCAGGAAGUGCGGACGCAUGGUGGGAGCAACGAGGAGGGAGGGAGGAGCGGCUCGCCAUUGGCGCGGCAGGAAGUGCAGCCGCAUGGUGAGAGCGGCGGGGCGGCAGCGAGACGAGAGAAAAGAGUGGAGAGGAAAAAAAUGAGUGGAUAAGAAGGCAUAGAGGAGGAGCGAAAUGAGUGGACAGCAACGUCCGGACUGACGGACGUCUUAAGUAUAUCAUUACCGUAACAAAAUCCAUCCACGAGGCGCUGCAUCGCUCACGUAAACUGCUCACCGUUAAGGUCGCGGUCCACACGCCCUGGGCCCCGCAUGGCAGUCGGGUGAUGCGCGCGCGGGGUCGGCUCGUCAGUCGUCACCACCCCAUCAGAUGGAAGCCGGCGCGCGCCACUGGAUGCCACGCGAUUGGUCGGGUUCGUCCACCGUGACGGGCUGAUGGCGAUUUGCCCGCCGCCCCCCUUCUUUAAACCUCCCGCACCGCGCAGCGAGAAAAGAGAGGCUCCCCAGCGGUCCGCCAGCGCCCGUGGAGGUGGAGGCCGUGGACCGGAGCGAAUAGAGUACGAGGAGACGAGAGGAGACCGAGGAAUCUCGGAGCGUGCGCGCUGCCGAUCGAUCGGGGGGAGGCUCGAACCCCGCCGCGCCGGCGGCGGCUCCGAGAUCCCGCCACCACGAGCGGAAUCCAGCCUCACUGCCUCAGGUGUGUCACGGGCGGCACGUGGGGGCGCGUCCCCGGCUCGAUAAAAGCAACCGAGCCGAGGGCGAUCCUUUCUCUGGGGUCUGGACUCUGCAGGGGAGGGGAGGAGCAGAGCAGAGCCGGGAGCCAUGGCGGAGGUGGGGGAAGGGAGUAGGAGGCGGCGGGAGGCGGAGGCGCCGGUGGUGGCGCUGGAGUGCGUGGCGGGGAGCUCCAAGGCGGAGGAGUGGGGCGGCGGCGCGGGCGUCGUGCAGGAGGGGGACGUGGUGGAGGCCGUCCGCGUGGGCCGCGGCUCCGUCGGCGGCGGCGCGGCGGCGCUGGAGCUCGAGGCGCCGUUCAAGGGCGGGCGCGCCGGGCUGCACAAGGCGCUGCACGCGGCGUUCAAGCGCGGGGACACCUCCGUGGAGGUGCGCGUGCGGGGCGGCAGGGAGCUGCAGGCCUGCAUCGUGCCGCACCAUGCCAGUCCCGGCGCCGGCGGCGGAGGCGGCAGGAAGCAGUACGUUCUGCGGUCGCUGCACGACCCCAACUACUUGCUCGGAUUCGUCGACCGCCUCGAGAGCGAGUGCCUCGUCUUACAAGGUAACCGACCACGGACAGCUCUGUUCACCGCUCUGAGCAACUGCUCUGCUUCUUCAUAGUUGCUGCAUCUGACAUACAUGAGUGAGAGGAGAGGGGCGCCUCGGCCAUGGCGAUCGCUGGUCGCUGGCACCUGUGCCUCUGCGGCUACGGUACGGCGCCUGGAGCUAGAAGCGCAAGAGGGCAUGGGACUAUGGGAGUCAUGCCAUCAGCCGCGUCCAUCUCUCUCGUCCUCGUCCCCUUCCAUUCUCUCUCGCCUUGACGCCUCCUCUUGUGAAGAAUGCUCUGCCUACUUGCCUAGUGGUCGUGUGGUGGGCCGGUGGCGCCGUGUCUGCUUCAAUUAAGCACAGUAUUGCAUGUCUGAUGCUCCGCACGCGUCACAUGUGAAAAGACAAACUUCUUGUUAAAUCUGAAGUUUAAAUUGGACUGAGAAUAUUCUGAUAAGCUGAUCUUUCAGUGCAUUGUUCCAGGCGUUAUUCCUUUUAUAAAUGCUGAUAUGAGCUAUUUUCCUCUCCUUUUCACUCAUCGAGAGAAAACUGAGGAGGUCAUGGCCAUCAGUGUCAGAUUGACAGCUACAUAACAAAAUUAAACGUAGCUAAAGGAUAGAAGUAUAUGUGAACUACGGAGAAUGGAAGAAAGACGUUUCCGAAAGAAUGUCAUGUGCGUUGCUGUCAUAGAAAUAGGUCGUCGUCUAAAUGUUAGUCAAUUCUUUCUUGUAUACAUUGUAAUUGUCACUCGUUUUCUCGUCUCAUCUGGGGUCUACUCCACUAUUGACUUCACCUAAAGGUCGUUAGACUUGCUUAUUAUUUUAUGGCUUCUUGAUGAUUUUUUCCCCCAUUUUUAUUUUCUCCUGGAAAAAGAAAGUUUGCAUCUACAUCUACAUCAGACAUGAAUUUGGGACGUAAGAGUUGAGAAGGAGAACAACUAAGAACAUGUUCAACAGAUUACUUAUGACAUCCCUGAUACCAAAAAAUUUCAAUAUAAGGGAUUGUGGUUACUCCAACAAAUUACUCAUCAUAUCCCCGAUAAAAAGUAUAAGUACUCCCUCUAUCCCUAAAUAAAUAGAUUACUAGAGUUGUAUAAGUCAAUUUUUUUUAAACUGACCGAAUUUCUAGCAAAACCCGUAAAGAUUUACAACACCAAAUUAGUAGCGUUAGAUAUACCAUCGAAUAUAUUUUCAUAAUGUGCUAAUUUUAUGUCAUAGAUUUUGUUACUCUUUCCUACGAGGUUAGUCAAACUUAAGAUAAUUUGAUUUGCACGGAUUCUAGAAAUUGAUUUAUUUGGGGACAGAGGGAGUAGUUCUCUCUCAAAUGUAGAAGAUCCAGAGAAAAAGAAAAAGAUACAUUACUAAUAAUAGGAGAUCGCCUAUAUAGACUUUUAGGAGACGGAGGAUCAAUAAUCUGUUGGAGAUGCUCUAAAUGGUUUCAAACUAAUCAAUCCUCAUUUUCAUUUGAUCUGGAAUCAGAAAUUUUGUGACUUGCAUCUGUAUAAAGUUGAUACCUGUGAGCAUUUUCAUGUAAUAAUGCCUAGCUGGUCUUCUUACAUGCUUCUAACUGCCUUUCUGGCUUGCUUCUGAAUUCUGAUCACAGAUGAUGAUGCUUUAAUUCCUGAGUACAUUUCACAUACAAUAUGAGCAUGCUUGUUUGUUUGUGGACUUUGAACUUUGUACAUAAAUGAAAUUUACAUCCCUCUCUCCAUGAAGGAAUGAGGAGCACAAGAGUUGCAUCAGCCUUGAGCAAGGCACAACUCCAGGAUGGCUAUGUCGCAUACCCAUGGGACAAGAAGAUGCGUGACAUGCUGCGCGCGCCCAACUCCAGCUGCUACUUCUCGAUACUUGUCCUGCCCAAGGCUCAGGACAACAAUGCUUGUCACUACGAGUCCUUCGAUGAUACCCUGGCGCAUGCCAAUGCAUGGUUCUGCUCUUCGCAGGCCUCAGGGAUACCCAUCGAUCUCAUGAAUGUGCAGAGUGAAGCUCUUCUCACCAAGGUGCAGACACAAGCUCUUUAAUUCAGACAUCUCACAGUGUAGAUUGGCUGUUACUACAAUGAGACUUCAAUUAGUUUAAAUCUUCUGACAGUAUUUAGAUAACUAAGCCUAGAAACUGGGCAAUCAACUUGUUCAAAUCCUCUCACAUCGUUUCAUAUUUGAAAUAUUCUACUCACAGUUUUGUCUUUGCACUGUCACAUUCUGAAACAUGCAGAUAUCUGGAGAGACAGCGUCUGCAUCUGUGAAUUCAAGUUCAUUAUCUGAUCUGUCGAACGUCACUAAUGCGACGCUCUACGGUUUUGAAGAUUACCAUGGAGUGGAUAUUGGUGUGGUAAAGGCAGCACGGCUUUGGUAUAGCUGCAUAGGAGGAGAAUUGGAGCUGGAAAUCCCACUUGUAGAAGGUGACACAAGGCUUGGCUUUGCCAUCAGCCGAACUGAAGAGGUCUUGUUUUUACUUUUUACUAGCACUCUACACAGUACUCACAGUUACUAUGUACUACUUCAGAAGUUAGAAUCAUCCAUGGAAUCUGCUGACAUGGUUGUUUUUGUUAGGGUUUUAUCUACAUAUCAUCUGUAGUCGAAGAUGACAAGGAAAGUGAGGCACCAUCAACGCGGUCUGGGCUCUGUAAUCUGUUCAACCGAGCCAAGGAGGCAUCAAAACUGCUGAUCAUCUCAAGGGUGUCCAAUGAGAAGGUCCUACCUUGGAUGAUCUCCAGUUCAGGGACAGUCCGUUGCUUCGACACCAUUUCCCUCAGCCAGAAACUUUCCUUGCACCGCCUCGCAGUGCGCCCCAUCCAGCUGCAUUUGCUUGCUUGGGAGAAACCUUCUGGUCCAGCAGAGAGGAUCAUGUGUUCACCGAAACUACCCCCGCCUUCAACUCUGCUCCCUCAGCUACAGCAAAACCUUGUGCAGACCAUUGAAGGUAGAGUAGAUGUUGAAGAGGAUUAUGUUGUGGAUUUGUCGUUUCGGCUCGAUGAUAUCUCAUUUGAGAGCAGCUGGGUAUGAUUCCAGGUUUCAGUUUUGUCAUAUAGGCAUCUGAUGUGCAUAUGUAUGUUUUGAUCUUGUCUAGCUCUCUACGGUAGUGACGCUCAGUUUUGAGCUGCAGAAAUGCAGAUGCUGGCUUGAAUAUUUAUUGGUUUCUAGCCAAAUCAGGGAUGAGGCUUUCAUGACAUCUGGAAAAAAUAUCUUGUAAUGGAACAUUUUUUGUUGAUCAUAACAUAACAAUGGAGUAAUCCAAAUCUGUUGGUCAAAGAAAGCUCAGACUUCACUUUGUUAGUUGUUUACUCCAAAUCUACAGCAAACAUGCGGUUCAGCACCUGAAGUUUCUGCACCUUUGGCUCAAGACACAAAAAAAAGAAGAAGAUGUUACACGUGGAAGUUGACACCACACUAGCUGUUGGUCAAAGAAAACUCCAGAAUUAUGCUGCUGAUCUGGUUGUGAGGACCCUGCACUUAAGCACUCUAUCUUGCACGUAAAACCCCGGCAUCACCAUGAUCUUCACUUGACAAGGACUCUGCACCUGCUGCCUGUCAUGUAGGAUGUCUUCCAUGUACAUCUCAUCAAAUGCGCGGCCGUCUUGGAUGCGCAGGAUCGUCAGCGGCGGGCCGAAGGAGAAGGCCAGCAGGUGGAGCAGCCAGACGCACUUGGCGGCGACGAAGAAGCACUGCAGCAGCUGCUCGGGCCACGGCCGUGACCAGCCAAGCGUCGCCACCACGCUGCUCAUCUUGCGGUCGCAGAAACGGCUGAAGUCCUCGCUGUAGUACUUGGUGCCCUUCCGCAGAACCUCGUUCCAGCUAAGGUUGCGCAGCGCCACGAAGGCGGCGAAGCUCUGCCGGCGGUCCUUCGCCGGGUCGAGGCACCUCGGCGAGCCGUUCCGCUGGAACGCCGGGUUCUCGAAGUCCUGGAACAUGGCCUGGUUCAUGAUCGCCUCGAGAUGGUACAGCACGGCCUUGGAGCAGUGCUUGGCAGCGCUGCCGAUGAGCGCGAGCUGGUACGGCCGCAGGAGCAGGUUCAGCUUGUCGGACAGGCCGUCGCUGGAUUCUUCGUUCACCUGCUGGAUCAGCGCCUUGCAGAGCUGCUUCACAGAGAGCCGCGCCUCCGACGCGAUCUGCAAGAAGCCUUCCACCAUCACCUCGUGGCUCACCGGCAUCGGGAGCUCUCGGCUUGCUUCGAUUGAUCUCGUCGAUCUCCGGGAGACGGACGGCGAGUUGGUGGCCUGCCGCAGCGCCUUCUUGAGCUCCGAGCAGUACGCUUCCACGCUCACGAGCUUGGUGGCCAGCUCCCCCAGCGACGACCUCACCUCGGCAGCUUCGCGCAGCGCGGCGUCCCGGUGCGCGAUGGCCUCCGCGAGCUCUUUCUUGAGGGACUCGAGAGACAGCGCCCCCCACUCGGUCAGCAGCUGCGGCAUGUUGCCGCGCUCGAUGGCCGUCGGCGACGUCGUCAUCUCCGGCGGCUUGGCUUUCUUCCUCGACUUGGGGAAGAGCCACGACAGGAUCUGCGGCGGCCCUCUUUGCUUCGUCCGCGAGUGCGCCGACGGGGGCGGCACCCUGGUGCUGCUGAUCGUGGCGGGCCGGAACGCGUUGCCGCACGUCGCCGGCGGCAGCUUGAGCUCGGAAGUGUAGGCCGCCCGGCCGGUGGACGCGAGGAAGCGGUCGGCCGACGGCGCCGAGUGCAUGAAGGCGGGGUGGAUCUUGUACGCCGCCGUGCCUCUGUUCCGAAGACGGUGGUCGUUGGAGGAAGGGAAGAGCACCUCGCUGUUGGAGGACGAGAAGGCGUGGAGGCCGUCGUAGUCGGACAUGGCCGCGUCGUCGCUUCCGCCGUGAUCCAGGGCGACCCCGGUCCAGUUCUCCGACCGGCUUCGGUUGUCCUGGCAAAUGUGGUUCAACGCAACCGCAGCGACGCGCUCCUCAUCGUCGUAGGCCUGGCCGCGCCCGGUAAGCAAGCAAAGCAAGAGACGCCAUUGUCAGUUACAGUGAGCUCGAGGCCUUGAUCCAUAUAGGUAACACGUGUUAAGAAGCUAGCUCACCGGAGUGAACACGGGGUACUCCUCGUCUGCCGCUGCUCUGGAGUGCGCGGGGGACGCGACCGGCGGGAGGCGGAUGAUGGCCGGGCUGCGGCUGGCGCCGACGCCGGCGCGGGCAUUGGGCGCGCCGCGCUGGAGGAGGGCGGCGUGGAGCUGGCGCAGCUCGACGGCCUUGGCGAUGGCCGCCUGCACGUCCUGGCGCGAGGGCGGGGCGUGGGACGGCGAAGGCGCCGCGGGGUCAAAGGCCUCGGCGCCGGCGGCGACCACGGCCAUGGUGGCGACGGUGGAGGGUCAAAGGCUGCGUGCACCUUUGGCUCCAAAGCUGCUGCUGCUGCUGCUGGGAAGUGGGAAGUGAGGGGCUUCUUUGCCUUCUUGGGAAUCUGAAACGUAGUGGGAGCGGAGGCGGAGCAGGGCGAGAACCGAGAAGGAGGCAAGGAAUGGGCGAACUGUAGCCGAGGCCGAGGCCGAGGGAGGGAGGGAGGUGGGUGAAGUGUGAAGUGGUGGAGGGAACAGCACAUUUGAAGAGAUUGACAGUGCCUGCAGCGCCAUUUGGGCAAUUUUUUUAAAAAUCCCUUCUCUCUGGACUACGGCUUGCUGUUGUUGCGAGGUCCGUGUGAUAAGCUUCUCUAGUCUCGCAAGGACAACACAAUUCUUUUAUAUUUGAACAGUAUGUAAAAAAUGGAACUUUUUUGGUGAUUACACAAAGUAACCUUAUGUUUAUGGUUAGUACUUUCAUAAUUGUGGAGUAGUAGUUGGCAGUUGGGGGUGGGCCAAGCAGUGGUCAUGCUUCUCUCUUCCGCAUUGGUUAUAUGACCAGCUGAGUUUAAUGAACCUGCUGUUGUGAUGCCCUGCAGGCUCUCCUGCUCGGCUGCCUGCCUGCCUGCCUGGCUGUUUUGCUGAUGCAGGUGGUCAGCCAAUUACGGUUGCUGUUUUGCUGAUGCAGGUGGUCAGCUCUCGAUCGUCUUAAGUAAAAGUUUGGAUUACAAAGUAGUACUAGCAAAGUACUCUUGCUUACAAAAUCUGAAAGACAUUUGCUUGAAUCUGGCACCUGGUGAAGCUCACCAUUUGAGAGGCCCCUGCAAAUUGCAACCACACAUGCCACACUGCAGAGCGUAUUGCAAUUCUGUUCUCCAUGAUAAAACAAGUCCGUUUGACAGACAUUCUUAUUGUUCCUCAAAGACCUCCAAAGUUCACUUUUCAUGAUUUGUCUAAUAGAUGGGGAGGAUCUCAAGGAGCCUGUUCUCCCUGGCACUGUCUUGAGCCUAGUGAUUAGUCAAAAAGGUUAACUGCAAAAGGUUAACAAGAUCCCAAGCCAUCAGUAAGUUAAAUUAGAACCUUGGAACAUGGUAACUAGUUCAUAGCAGAUGCGAAGCUCAAGGUCCUAGCCUCAAAGCUAGCUGCAUGCUUGGCCAAUAAUGCAAAAGAAGUUUCACGAAUCACAAGUCCGGAUAUGUUAAGGUGGUAGGUUAAUCAUGGUUACCUUUAGUCCUUUACCACCAAUGCAAAAUAAAAUCUGAGCAGUUGUAGACAAACAUUAUCAGAGAUCACCGAUUUGGAAAAGCUCGGUUAGAGACAACAGAACCAACAAAAAGGUGAUCUAUCCUUUCUCUUUCUCUUUGCAGCUUUGAGGGCUUUUCCAAUGGCCCCUAGCUAGAUGGAUCUUACUAGCGCUAGCGUGCAUGGGGAGAGCAGGAUGGGACGUCUCUUUGUCAAGCCACACAGCCCAAAGGGCACUGGCACUGGUAAAGGCUAGAGCCUAUAGGCCCUAAACCAAACAAUUUGGGUGUAAAUUGUGGUGCAGUGAACUUUCAUGCUUAAUUGCUUGCUAUAUUUGCAUGGAUUUAUGCAUGCUGUCCACCAUUUCCUUUCGUUUUAACUACUCCUAUUUUUCUUAUUUAAGUUGUUGAGUAGUAAGCUUUUUGCCCUUAACUGCAGAACUUUUUUUUUCAAUAGACAUCUACUAGCACUGAUUUUGCCCUUAACUGUAGAGAUAAGCCUUAGGGGCUAUAAACCAAAGACCUUUGAGCGUAUCUUACCCUUUUCAUACUUUGAUGAUGUGGACCUCUUUCCUUGUCUUUAUGUCCCUUUUUUUAUCUCCAUUUUGCUCUUUCUUUAAAGGUAUAUGCAAAGAGGGCCAGUGAGCAAGAAAACGAAACCAGGUAGGCAGCCCCAGCUAAGGAUGCCUUUGUCCGGGCACAAAGCAAGGAACAAAAUAACAGCUUGGAGAGCAGGCAGAGCCAUGCGGUGCUGCAGAAUGUUCAGAGCAUUCAUAUACCUGGCUGGAAGGAUGUCUGUCUGUUGUUCCAGGACGAUGAUGCAAAAUUGUUUAAUUCGUGUCCACUAUACUCGAAGAAUUCUUCGUUUCGGAGAGGAUGUAGAGUUUACAGGGGUGACGGCGUGACGCUUUUGCUGAUCUUUUACAAAUCACAACAGGAGCAUAUAUAUAUAGUCUAGAUAGCAAAAAGCCUAGAAUGCAGUUUUUGUCUGGGCAUGUUGUUCAAGAUCACAAGGUGUGGUACGUAUUAGAAGGUGGCUUAGCCCUUAAAUUAAUCGAGCAUAUCAACAGAUGCAUGUGAACUCAUAGUCCUUUCUGUCCACCCAGGUUUGGGUUAGGUUAGGUUACGUUAACCUGAUCAUCCCUUGCUCCAAUUAAUCAUCGGUGUUGCUGGCUGCAGUAGUAGCAGCUCCAACGGCUAAGGGGAAAAAAAAAGAGCAUCCGUAUUGCAUACAAGAAUCCACGAAAGCACAAGUGCUGAACCGUCUGGCGUAGCACGGACCACAUGGAAACAGAGCCUAGCCCGAAAACGAAUGCUUGGAAUGGAACGUGUGGAUUUUUUUGCAGCAAGGAAUAUGAAUAACAGCAGGCUCAGCAAGACGCUCUUGCACAGGACGGGAAAACUUGCCGAGCAGCGUUGUGACCUGACCACUCACUGCAGAGUGCUCGGGCUGCUCCUGCAUGGCCACGGGCGCGAAGUCGAGCGGGGAGCCGGAGCAGCGGCUGUCCGUAUGGCACACGGACGCGGGCAUCACACAGCACAGCAUCAGAUGGGGAUCAAUCGGAGCGGUGGUGCCGCGCCGUGCCCGUGCGGCAGGCGGUACCACGCCAUGGCAUAUGGUGGACUGGUGGUCACGCACGCAGCGACGCAUCGGCGAUCGGCAGGAGGAGGCCGGCGGCUGACUGGGUGUGCGGAGCUUCUUUUCCGUGGCGCCUUUCGCGCGGCCACGGAGAGCUGGUCCAGCGGAUGCAGCAGUAGGAGGCACUAGCGGGCGCGGGAAGUUGCUCAGAGAUUGACGCCAAAAGAAUUUGACGUAGAUGCCUGUCUUUUUGCGGCCACAUACGCCUAGGCUACUGUUGUAGGAGUACGUACACUAGGCUUUUUCUUGGAUAGAUUCAUAGAUAGUUGGAUGCAACAACAUUUUGCUUUGCUUGGAUUCCACACGCACGGCACGGUCGUGCUCCACGCCACGCAGCAUCUCUCGCGUCCGCUUUCGCUUCGCAGUGGUUGUGUGUCUCAAGGACGAAGGUUCAGUGCUUUAUUGAAAACCGUGAGGCUAUGCAGGUCACACGCUGGAAUGUCUUGCCGUUGACUGUUGCCAGUUGCCACUACCCAGUUUCUGAGGUCACCGCAUCUGAUUGUGAAUGACUGGUGCUGCUUCCCAGUAUUAAAGAGACCACUCACCAGCAUCUGAAGGAAACUGGCAUCGUCAUCUAUCUACCCUCGCUCGAACGUGGGCUAUGCAGCCUAUGCAGUGGCGAAGCCAGGCCUAUGCAGAGGCGGGAUCAUGAGCAAGGUCAAUAAUAGAGCUAAAUGUUUGACUAUAAACCAAGUGAUUAGAACCAAGUUAUACAAUAAGUUGUCUCAUACUUGUCUCUAAAACAUAUUCUCAUUCCUAUUUCUUCUCACAACACUUGCUAUUUGAGCUCACUACUACCUAUGCAUCUGUGUCCAGCUUGAUGCUUACAUAAGACCAUCCUCAAUGGAAAUUUCAUGACACAGUUUCCAACACAUCAAUAUUUUAGAAACAGUGCAUAGAAGUUUCAUUGGGAUGAAACUCUCUCUACUCCCAUGAAACUCUUAUCAUCUCUCUUCAUUAAUAUAGCGCCACAUCAGCAUAUUUAAUGUGCAUGAAACUCUAAUGAUACCCCCAUUGAGACUGGCCUAAGAGCCAAGCUAUCAUCUCUCUCCUCUCUUCUCUCCUCCACAUCAGCAUUAGCUUGGCUAUAAGCCCAUUAUUGUACCGGCUCUAAGGAGCAAUAACAAUCAUGUACAGUCAUUCUCUUUCCGUCUUUCAAAAUUCGUCAGGGUCAACGGACCCCAAUGGCAAGGUAGCUUCGCCCUUCAGCCUACGGUACAAACCAUACUAUGUCUAUGUUUAACCUCACUGAUCACUUCAUUAGUCAUACUCUAGUACAUACCUGAUAACAAAGUGUUGAAGUUUCCCUAAAAAAACGAAAUGUUGGAGAUUUAAAUUGGAGCAAAGUUCCUUAAAUUUGACUAUAUAGAAAAUAUCAUUAAUAUUUACAACUCCAAACAGGUACUAUAAACAAUAUAUUUUAUAAUCAAUCUAAUCUAAUGACACUUAUUCAAUAUUAGGCUAGGAUUCUUUUAGGACGCAGGCCGUCCCCUAAAAUGUCGCUAUGUGUCCGUGCUAGUAAAUUUUCUUAAAUUGACUAGGUUUCUACAAAAUAUUAGCAAUAUUUGAAUCUUCAAUUAAGUUCAUUACAAAAACAUAUUCAACGAUUCACCAAUUAAUAUUUUUAUAUAUAUUUGGUGAAAGUUAGAAGUGUUUGAUUUUCUAGUGAAAACGGCCCUUUUUUAUGGAAUGGACAGCAAGGUCCAGAUACACUGUGGACAUGCACCUGCUCGGUCCACAUGGAACUUCAUGUACAGGACAGGCCGCCUAGUACAAGCAGUGCCAGUGAUUACAGGCAACUGGCAUGCAAAUGGGCAAUGUUUUAUUCUUCUUCGUACAGAAACGGUAUGUGGUUGGUAGCCCGUGGCCACAACAGUACGUCUACCUUUACAGUUUUAAUAUGACAUUGUGGCAGUGAGGACGACACCCUCCAAGGCUCCAACCUCUCAACUUUGAAGAAUCAGAUGAUAGCAUGAUGGUCGAACAACGCAUCGUUACAAACGGCAUGUAGGCAAUUUCAAUAUUUUAAUCACUGUGGUAAAAGUAAAACUAACAAUGGCCAUCGGUGAUGACAUCCAUUGAAAAGCGGACGUCACCUGAAACGAAGGGUCCUGUCAGGUUACUUUGGUUGUCUGCAAACUGAUUCUGAUAAUAUGGGAGAUAUAUAAGAAUUGAAGCUAUGAGCCGCCUGAGGGCUGAACUGCUGCACGCCACCAAAAGCUAACCGAGAAACUGGUGGAGAGAGAUCUGACGUAGUGCCACCAUUUUGGAGGGAUGUAAAGCAGGUCACCUUCCUCCAAUAUACAGUCCAUGAAUUCCAGGUUUUCAGCCCUUGGAAACUCCUUGAAAUCAAUGUUGUCAAGAUCUACCUGCAAAACAACAGUGCAUCUAACUACAUUGAGCAGAGCCCAACGAGAUCUGGAAAUGAGAAUUUAUGUGGAUACUUGUACAAUAAACUGUAGAAGAAUAAGGGUGAGCAGUCCUGGAAAGUUAUCACUGAUUGGCUACAAAAAGUUGUGUUCAUAUUGACCUAACUAUCAGAGGUUGUUCAGAAUACAUACAAAUACACAAUAGGAAAAAAAAUUCUGAAAAGUUCUGAGAAGCAAGAUGAAGAAAAUAAUGACCGAGAGAUUGGAAAGUGGAAACCUUUAAUACAUAAAACCAUCAAAAUGCACUAGCAAGUAGGUCCAGUCUGCAAUGCAAUAUAGAGUCGCGAAGAGAGUAUUGACAAUCAAAAUCUGGAAAUUCGUUAUUCAAAUACUUAGCUGCCGAAACUAUAUGCAACAUCAUGACGAUCCACAAUGGUAAUUCCGUAUAUUUGCUUGGAAAUAUACAACUACCAGAAUAGAUAUAUGUACCUGACUGGUAUUGCAUAGCAUAGUCUCUGUGUGUGGAUACAAGUCCUCAGAUAUAAAAGCAGGAUAGAGUCUAAUAUACUUCCUGCCCAAGACCUGUAAAAAUAUGUGUUAACCAUUGCUGAUAAAAUUUACUUAAAGGAACAGAUGACAUUGUCACAAAAUUUUAAGUAGAACGAUGGAUACAGGCAGUAAACAGCAAAAGCCAUCUGCCAAGAUCUUUAACUGACAUAUUUAAUUGACUGUAAGCAGCGAUUAUGACCAACUUAAUGAUCUAUAUUUAUAUGAGCACUCAUAGAUGUCACAUUGAGAUAACAUCUAAUUCAAAUUCACAAAAGAUCAAAUCGGUAUAGCUACUACUAUACUGAGAACUAAAAUAAAGCAGAGUUCACUCGUUAACAUAGUCAGAUAACAGAACAGUCAAACACUGUAUACAUAAGAUUUUUUCAACAUAACAAAGUUAAUGGUUGGAGGUAUCUCCUUGCAAAACUACAGCUUCACAAGUUUACAUUUGGUCAUAGCACAAAUUCUAAAUUACGCAUACACCACCAAGUUAAAUACACGUGUUUUACCUGAGCUAAGAUGUUGUGAUGUGGGUCAUGAUGCAAUGGUGUCACUGUCCCCUGUGGACCAAACCAAGCAUUAAGUGAUUGGAGUUCACCUCCGCCAGCAUAACAGUAUUCGGGAACAACUAUGUCUUCACUGAGCUCUUUUAUCUGCCCAAUCCAAUGAAGUAAAAUGCACAACUGAACAAAGGCAAUCUACUGAGAAUCAACAUUGAAAAAUCAGCUACCUGCUCAAACAAUGGAUGCUGAGCUAGAUAUGUCAACUUUGAUGGGCAGACAGUUGACCACAUUCUAUCCAGGAACUGAGAAAAUGUGACAAGCUCCUGCUUCCAGUCACUACACACAUAGUUUUUUCCAACCUGACAAGAAACAACUUCAUAAGUGGAUCAAGAAUUAUCAUAACACAAAACGAAAGAUGCUGUUCAGUAAAUUCUUCAGCUAACAAGUAGUCCUAAAUCAAUAAGAAGCAACCAUAUGUUACACAAUUCAAGAGCAUGUGGUGCUCGGAGUUGAAAUAUCUCUGUUUUGCAGUUUAAUAAGUAGCACGUCUGUCCUUUGGAUAUUGCAUUAGUGAACUACAUAGCUUUGAGACUCGACCCACAUUUUUUUGAAGAUUGGUUCCAUUGUGUGCAACAGCUAGAUACUUAAUAUGGUUAAAGAAAUAUAGCAGUAUAUACUAAUAGCAAACUAAAGCUAAUUGAACAUGUUGAAAUGACGUGAUAUCAUAUUACUGAAUUCUUUCAGUAUAAUAAGUAUCUACAGCUAGAGUUUCAAUAACAUGUUGAGACUGAAAUGUAUAUACACGAAGAGGGCAGUUUAGGAAUUGAGCCUAUUUCAGUCAGUGAGAGGUUUUCAUGUACACCUCCACUUCCCAAGCUCAAGUCCUCUUAGCUCAAAUUUGGGUGCCUAUUUCUUCUCAUUUACAACAUCACCUAGUUCAUCCUAGGUUAGCCAACUUCUUUUCGAAGAGAGCAAUAUAAAAGAGUUACAAUUUACCUAGUAUUUGGACUGCCAAGGCAAAAGAUCAAUAUUACAAACCUGAAUAUUAGUACAACCAAGACAAAAUACUGUUACUUAGGCUGAUUGAGAUAAAAUGCCAAUUUAAAUACCUUGUACAAACAAUGAAACAAGUAAUACUUAGAGACACUUAUUUGCUUUAUAUUUAUUAGCUUAAAAGAGAAUGGGCGUUGAAAUGAGCUGUAAUUCUACUAUUUAUAUUUCCUUGAUCUUUAUAUUCAUUUGUGAAGCUAAAAAAUGGCAAAUACAUACUCAAAGUGACACAGGAAUUAAGUUGAUGGAAUAGAAAAGCCUGUUUCCAAAGUCUUUGAAUGUUUAGUGUAAAGAGAAGCAUUUACUUCAACAGGAACAGUACGAUCUCCAGCGAUCUUCUUGAGGUAUUUAAUGUCCUUCCAUUUUUCCCUUGCAGGCCAAUGAUCGAUGGCGCCACUAAUUAUGACAGGGGAGUCGCGUAAAAAGUAAUUACAUAUAAACUCCUCCAAGGAGAUGCAAGAUCGCCUCUCGACUUUCUUACAGGAUAAAGAGUUUGCUGGAAGAACUUUGAGUGCCUGAAACAAAUUAUUGUUAACAAAUGCAAGAUGUGGAACAAGAAAUGAAAUGCAGGUUUUUCUAUCAGCACAACUUCAGAGAGAGAAAAAAAACUAAGCAUUCAUUUAACUAGAAAUGAUAUUUCAUUUUUCAGAUAAAUAUUUCCAUUCAAUGCAUACAAUACACUGCAAUUACCUUUCUAUGAAGAAUAAUGUAGAAAUUUGAGCUACCCACAGUACUUUAGCCCCUAAUAAUUUAUGACAUGAUUCACCCACAGCUAUGCCAAAAACAAUCAGAAUGUAACAUCUCAUUUCCAACUCAUUCUACGAUAGUAUUGCUUGAUUCGUCUAGUUACACUGGGGUUUUCAAGGAAUCAAGCCCAUCUAGUACUCUAAGCAAACCCAAUUUCAUCCCCAAUGUUGUAGCUCACGGGGGCUAAGUCUAGUCAUACUCUAAGCAAAUAGUUUUUAAAAUGGAAAAAGUAGCCAUACUUCAGCAAGCCCCUAAAAAUGUCAGCGCAGUUCUUGUGCACGUUGUCUGGUAAGCACAGAAACAAACACGAACUCUUACGAAGGCAAUAACGAUCUCACAUCAGCGAUGUCUCGGUUCCUGUCGAGCGCCUCCUUCCACCUCUGGUCCUCCUCAUCCACGACCCCCGCGCCACCUUCGUCUCCGUCGCACGCUUCCGCGGAGAUGCGCGCCAGGGCCGCCUCGAGGUCGGCGCGCAGUAGGUUGCCCCCCAUGAUGAGGCCCAUGUCGAGCGCCCGGAGCGCGGCGGAGCGGUCGCCGUCCCCGCCCCCGCCCCCGCCGCUGGCCCCGCGGGUGCGGGUGCGGAGGCGCGCGACGUGGAGGCAGGCGAGCGCGUAGGCGUCCCUCCAGGCGGUGCCGACCUCGCUCCAGGGGCCCGAGUGGAGCUGCUCCCACGCCAUCUCCCGCGCCGCCUCCGCCGCGCGCAGGUCCCCCGCCCCCGCCUUCUCCGCCGAGGCGACGAAAGCGAACCCUCCCUCCCCCGUUAUCUCCCGCAGCAGCGCUGCCACCCGCUCGGCCUCGGCGGCGGCGGCCAUCAGGGAGGGCGGAGCGGCGUGGUGCGCUGGCGCUGCUGGGGGGAGAAAAAGCGCAAAAGCGCAGCGGCGGAGAUAUUUCUGGCUCUCGUUGCUCUGCUCCGGAUGCGUGUGCGUUUUCCCUCUUUUUGCCGCAAAUGACGCAGGCGAAACCUUCCCCAUUUGGCGUAACCGUGAUUUCCACUUCCCCGUUGGAGACCGCCUUCGGAUAUUUCGCGAUGAUCAGGGUUGGGUUGGGAUAUAUGGUUGGGCCGACUUGAAGCCCAUUUCAUUAUCCAGCCUUGAUGGCCAACGGUGGGCUUGCUUGAUGCUUGGGCCAAACACUUUUGAUGGAACUGGGAUCAGGCCCGUGGGGACUGAAAGAUUUUGAGACUUGUUUGAGUAUAUGCACAGUUUCUGAAUUGCACACAGAAAGGCCUGUUUUUGUAGAGCUGAAUCUUGGCUUCUUUUUUCUUUCUCUUUUCUAUCUACUAAUGGUAUAGGUCACAGGUCUCACAGGUGCUAGGUUGAGCAUACAUGCAACCAGUAUUCACCCUAACGUCAAGUGCUAAACAAUCAGCCUUAUUCGGACUAAAUGGCCAUUAUUCAAGCUACAUGGUUGUGUAAAUGAGAUAAAUAGGGUACUGAAUGAACAUGACCCAUCACUGUAGCAUUAAAAAUGGUUUUUUGGGCCGUCUUUGUCAGAGUUUCAAAAAUAAGAUGACGUAGCAUAGUACACAUGAAGAGAGACAUGAUAAUAGUUUUAUGGGGUGAAAUAAAUUUCAUGAAGAUGAAACUUGUCUACAACGUUUCCAACAAUUUGGAGUCUUUUGAAUCUUGAAAAGUGGUACAUAAAACCCCCACUAAUACUGGUCUGCAAUAGUGCGUACAAUCAUAGGCACAAUUAAUGGAACAAUUGGUGGACACACCAAAUACUAGGACUUUUCUGUAAACAAAGAAUGUUUUCUAUUAUGGCUCAUGCAUGCAUAUGCCAUAUGCACAAACAUUCAAUAUCACAUGUUAGUUGUAAGUGAAGUCAAACACUAACAAGUAUUUUGAGAAAGUGCUAGGCAUAGCUGCAUAUUCGUAGAACUAAAGCAAAAUAUUGUUAAGAGCAAUACUCCCUCCGCAUGAAAAUGCAUGUUAUUUUAGUAUUGUUCUAAGUCAAAUUUCUCUAACUUUAGUUGAAUUUAUAGAAAAUUUACCGAUAUCUAUAACAUGAAGGUAUAUAUUCGAUAAAAACUACCAUAUAUCUUGGUAUUGUAUUUUUUUGGUGUCUGGCCCCUAGAUGAAUUUUGGAUAACGACAAUAAAAAGAUAGAUGUUGGAUGGUUUUUUUGCUACUUAAAAACAACAUACAUCACUAACUUUCUAUUUUCAAAUUGUUAUUUGUCAAGAUGACACUCAAUACAAUAUUUUGAGGGGGUUUUCAAUCUCCCUUAGAAUUUGUCUCUAAGAUUCACAUAUAGCUAAAAAAGGUCUCAUAUUUGUUAGGAGGUAAUUUAAGUAUAUAUGUAUGCAAUAGCGCACACAUAAAUGCAAUGGUAGAUACCAUCAUAUAUAUCAACACUCUCUGUUUAGUUGAUUUAUCGCAUGUUAGUGUCCUACGAAAGGAUCCACUAAGGGAAAUGGUAGCCAUAACGUGUACUAAGUUGGUAUUUCAAAGGUGAAGACAAGUCCAAUGUAUCUUGUUCGUUUGACUGAUAAGCCAUGACAGAAAGUACUAUUGGCUGAUUUGUUCGUUCUUUAACCUACAUAAGGACAAAACAAACGUGGGACUGUGUUUGUACUUGUGUAAUUCGCAAAAAGGGUCGGAACUUCUUGCUUUCCAUUGCACUUCCCAUUGUUUUAUUUUCAAGGUAUUCUUUUCUAAGGAGUUCUGCCACACCCCAUCUUCACUUUUAAGUUUGAAAAACACGUCUCAAAAAACUUGAUGUUUUAGAAUUAAACUUUUGUAUCACAUGAUUCGAUAUAUAGAUUCACGCUAAACUUCUCCUCCUUCACCUAAAUGGGAAGAAAUUAAGGGUUAGGAGAAGGAUCUAGACAGAACUUGCAUCUGAAUAUCUGAUAUGGUUAAAAAUCUAACAGAUUUUAAAAAAAAAAAAUCUAUUGACUGGCAAAUAGCAAUUCCUGACCCGCGGUGACACUAGUUACGACGGUUGCCUAAUGGCGAUGAUGAAGACGACGAUGAAGCAUACGCAUCCGGUGAUCAUAUAAGAUAACUAAUUCAGAACACAUCAUCUCAAUCAGCCAUGUCGACCGAUAGAUCGCUAUCGAACGAUCAAGUACACCUAGAGCUAUAGCUACAAGCAACCAAACGACAGUCUCGUCGCUAAUUAAGAUUUAACAUCAUCCUUUGGUUGAUUUCUCGGCCUCACUAGUUCUCUCCCCCGGCCCUAACACUGGCUAGCUACUACCUGCAAGUUCUAUUCUUGUCUGGUCUGUUCCUUGAACCGAUGACGAACGACGACGAACACACCAUGCAUGCAUGCAGCAUGCGUCCAUGCAUGACUCAUAUAUGCAUGGAUGGACAUAUGCGCGCGGCGCGCGGUCAUCAGAGCCGCCGCCGCAGAUCGACGACGACGCCACUAGCUGUGGCCCUGCUGCUGCUCCUGCGGCGCCCUGGGGCGUGUGACCCAGAGCGAGCUCAGCGUGCGGAGGCGGUGGAAGUAGUCCGACAUGGCCAGCAGCGACCGCGCCAUUUGCCGCGUCGUCAGGAUCUGGUGCAGCCGAUGCAGUGUCUGCUGCCGAAGGUUCUCAGCCUGCGUCAUGCGUCCAUGAUGUUCAUCAGAAUGAAGCUGACAGGUAGUUAAUUUACUUAAAUAAAACAAAUUAACACCACACACACACACACACAUAAGGCCAGAACAAAUUAAAUGAUAUAUAUCAUUAUUGUCAGCACCGUCUGACGUUUUGCCAUCGUCACACAAGAAUCAGCCAGCACUAUUUGCAGUGACCUAAUUAAUUAUAACACAGUCCACACUCGUAAUUAAUAAGUAUAUAUGAGGACCGGCCCAUGGACAUGUAUAUAUAUUUAUAUCCAUUGAUCAACUCUGUUUCAGGCAGCCAUGGGCAGGUGAAGCCGGCCUAAACAAUGUCGGCAUCAAAGGUUACCUACCCAACAUGGAAAGCUGAAUGAGCAAGCAAAGGGUUGCUAGCACUGUCUUAUAUGUAACCUCUCUAUAUAUACACACAAUGAUGUGUCCAAUCUGUUAGCCCUGGAAAGUGUACAAUAAUGCUGGCUCUCCAAUUUUGGGAUGGCGACAGUUCGGUGCUUUUUAGUAGUAAUGUUAUAUUCACAACCUAAUCCAUGCGUCUGCUCUGCCGGCCUGCACCUGGCGUGCAUGCUCAAUAUAUCUGAACCACGGUUUGGUCUGACUAAAGAACUGCACUGUCCAUCUCAAAUAAUUAGGUAAACCAUCCAAGCUAUCCAAUGUACCUUGCUUCAACUAACGAUAGAUUAUGGAGUGCUACUAUAUAAAAUAAUGCUUGAUAAAAUCUUUGUUUUAGUUGCAGCUAUAACUAACCCAUUACAGCGACAGCGAAUUAGAUGGGAAGAGUAGUGAUGCUGAAUUGAAGCAAGCAGUGCAAGUUAGCAACAACUGAAUGGAUCAGAUAAGGUUACUUACUUGUCUGACGAAGCCCUCGAGCGUGGAGAGCUUGUUCAUGGCGGCGGCCAUCUGGCCCAUGUAGUUGGCGACGUUGGAGGGGCAGCUGAGCGCGUCGGAGACGACGGUGUCGGACAGCGAUUGGUAGAGCGCUUCCAGGCCCUGGCUCAGGGCCUCCUCCGUCUCCAGCGCCGACUGCUGCAGCCCGUACACGCCCACGAUCUGCUGCUCCGUCAGGGGCUCCACGUGGCUCAGCAGCAUCUGUAAUAAUAAUCAUAUAUACGUGCAAUUACUUUAAGCAUCUAAUAAACGGCAUGCAUGAUGCGCGACCUGGUAUAUAUGCAGAUGUGAUGGAUCGAUGAUGAGAUGAUCGAAUGUACUACCUCCAUCCAAUAAAGGAAAUGCAAUUCUAGUUCUAUAUCUGUGCUUAUCUAAAGUUUGACUAAUUUUAUAAAAACACAUCAACAUUUACGACACUAAAUAAGUAUAGUAAAAAACACCCCAUAACAAAUUAAUGGUAUUUAUUUAGUACCAUAACAUCAAAAUUUUUAUAAACAUAGUCAAUUUUAUAAUAGCUAGCUUGACUUAGUGCUAUGCCAGAAUUGAAUUAUUCUUUUCAAUGAGGUGUGAUGGUGAGGUUGAGGUGUGAGUAUGCUUCAUGGAGCACAGUCACUCCAAUUUAUGCUUCGGUGAAUAAUAUAUAUAAGACAAAAUUGUAUUAUAUAUGUUAGCUCACAGGUACAUAUUUAUGGUACCAAAUAAAUAUAGUCGAAUCUACCAUUUUUGUUUAGCUCAUUAGUCAUUAAUGUUGACAAUCUUCUCAGUAAGCUAGUCAAAGUUAAAACAGUUUGACUUACUCCGUCUAUUCCAAAAUAACUACACAACUAAUAUCUCGCUUUUUAAGGAAUUAAAAUUUUUAAACUUUAACCAAAUAUAUAUAAAAAUAUGAAUAUUUAUGAUGCAUAGUAACUAUCAUUAGAAUAACAGUUGAAUAUAUUUUCAUACCAAACAUAUUGGGAGAUAUAGAUGGCGAUUAUAUUUUCUAUAAAUUUAGUUAAAUGAGAAGUAUAGUUAUUUUGGGACAGAUGGAGUAUACCAUAGUUAGAAUAUUAAGUUCUUUUAGACAAAGGUAUAGAGUAUAGAAAUAAUAUGUUACAAAGGGGGGAAACAACAUAAAGGAAGGAAGAAACUCUAAUAAUUGUUGAAUUUAGCAUUGAUGACAAAUAAUAUGGAAUCUAGAAAGUUUUAAAAUUUGGAGGUGGAGGUUGGAUGUAAUGACACGACAAAUUAAUAAGUCAAAUUUAUUGUAGAACAUCUUUCAAUGUUGGUAUUCUCUAUUGGACACUACUCAAUAUAUUGUCUUUGCUUAGAAACAAUCUUCAAUUGUAGAAGAAUGGCUUUCGCUCCAGAAACCAUAGCUAUUAAAAUAAUUUUUUAGAAUGAAUGGUAGAGAAGUUGAAAUUGACCAUUAUGCCCUUAACUAUUAUACCACAACCCUUAAUAUGUACAAAAAAAUUCAUAAUGACUUUUGCACAUCAAGUUAAAUGAAGAUGAACUUUAUAUAAAAAAUACAGAGCUCAAUGAGAUAUAUGACUUUGUCGUUAACAAGUUUUUUAUUUACAAUUAUUUAUUACAUCAAAACUUAUUUUAAAUCCUCAUUUUUAUUCAAAUUUAAAUUUUUUGAAUAACCUUGGAUGUUGACAUGCUCAAUACAAAAUUAUUUAGAGGGCCAAAAAAUUGAAUUUAUCAACUAUGGAAUUAUAGAUCACAUUGAUAACAACUUUUGUAUAAACCUUGUCAAUAUUUGAGGUUGUCCAAAAAUUUUAAAUUUAAAAAUGUAAUAAAUUAAAAAGUUUUUUUUUAGAAAUUUAAACAAUUUCAAAUAAGAAACUUAUCGGCUACAAAAGUUGUAGAUCUUAUUAGAUCUAGAGUUUUAAUAUUUUCUUAGAUAACUAUUAGAAUGUCCCCAACAACUAGCUAUUUGGCUAGCUAUUCUGACAUGAACAUGAAAAAGUAGGAGAGAGUAGUCACUAAUGACGAACAAAUAAUCUAUCUAUUUUCACGUAGUCCAAGAAUUUGAGAGGAUGACAUGUGGGUCCAAUUAUACAUAUAUAAAAAUAAAAUAGCAUUUGCUUUUGUCUCUCGCCCCACAUAAGCUAGUUACAUAAUUAGCACCUUACAGACGCACAUAAGGAUUGUGGUAUAAUAGUAAGGCGCAUAACAGUCCGUUUUAACUUCUCUCCUAUGCACUCCUAAAAAAAAUAUUAUUUUAAUGGGCAUAAUGUCUAGAGUCAUUUGCCAUAGUUAAAGAGUUUUUUUCUACCAAAAAAAGUGUCCCGUCAGCAAAUACCAACAUUACAGGAGGUCAGGAAAACUCAACAAACUUAUCAUUAUUGCCUUCUCUGAAGUUAAAGCCAAUCAGACCCAUAAGUUGCCUUGUAUAUAUGGGAGUGCAGCUCUACUCUCAGCAGCGCAGGCAUGGCUUAAAAUCUCAGCCUCCAUUCCACAAAUAGGAGAAAGACAGAACGGCAGUUUCUCGUCUCCGCCUUCAAUAUGACCGUGGAUUUCACACCUACUACUACUCCUACUACUAUACUACUACUAGAUCGUCCGUCUCGGAGUUGCACAGUAGCAUGCGUGCGUGCAUACGCGCCGCGUAUAUGUCGGGGCAUGCCUGCACGGCGCUCGAUCGACAGAGAUUUGACGAGGGCCCCGGCGGUGCUUCAAUGCCGCGCGCGGAGAUCGCCCGGACGCCCCGGCCGGUUCGCUGGGAUCGGGAAGCUUUCAAGAGCGCCGCCGGCGAGAAGGCAAGGCUGCCACUGCCAUUAUCGGCAGCCCUACGUACCGGCGGGGGAGCCUUCGGCUGUCGUCACCCCGCGCUGCGGGAACGAAACUUCAUGAUUUGCUGCUACUUUUCAACCGCAGCACAGGUUGCUAAUACGUACUCCAUUGGAGCUGGGACAUAUAUGAUUCCGUUCGUUUGUCUUAUAAAUUGUACUUUUUUAGACAAAUGAAGAGGCUGUAUACAUAUACCAACUCUUCUCACACGGUUCUAGAUGUUUGGGGGCAUUUUUCUUAUUUUUGUGCAUGUUUAUAUGUGUGUCACAAAUUUACAAUCUUGUGAAACGGCUAUUGAUGAUUUGAUCUGAUUUAACAUGAUGUUGCAGAGCUAAGGCCAUACUUCGUUCUGAUAAGAAAAUUUAGCUUUUUGUACUUUGUAAAUCUAAAAUUUUAUAUUCUACAGUAACAUUCUAACUGUAGGACUGCGUGUUUUUAAUUUUUUUUUUUUGCUGUUUAAGUUGCAUAUUUUUUUCUACUCAGAUGUGUAGUCAUAUUUUGUUUAGGUCUUAUUAGACAAUCAUAUCUUUUGUUAAAGUCUCAAAAAAUCACCAAAAUUUCGCGAUUCCAGGGCUGGCUGAAAAAUUGAAUACUGAAAAUGGAUGCCUGUAUAGCUAUAGUCAUGUAUUGCCUGAAAUUGCAGCAAAAUUUCAGGGUUUUACAUGCAUAUCUCCAUCCACCAGUUUCUAGAGAAACAACCUUUUUUUUCCUCACACAUGUGUACCGACGUCGCUGUCAAUUGGCAUCGAGGUUCAAACACAAAUCAAUCACGACGUACGGCAGCCAUUGACUGUCUAGGGUUAGGGUUAAGCUAGCUAGUCGCGGGUUCGCUAGGAAUAUAUGCAGCGCUAGUAAGGGAGGGAAGGACACGUGUGGCACUGGCACGCACCUUGAUGACCUCGGAGGGGCGGAAGCCGCCGAGCCAGAGGAAGCAGCGCUCGGCGGGGCUCCUCCAGACGCCGGAGAUGAGGUGGAAGACGUCGCCCUUGAUGGCGCCCUCCUUGAUGCCCACCAUCUCGUCGUGGUGCGCCAGGCAGCUCUCCACGUACAUCUGCAGCUCCCCCUCCGGCAGGUGCUGCUGCAGCGCCGCCCGCAGCUCGUACAUCAGCCGGUAGUGCUCCUCCUGCCACCGCCCGUACUCCACGUCGAACAUCGCCGCCUCUGGGAGAUCCAUAAAUAUAUAUAUGGCCGACGUUAAUUGACAAGAAAAAGAAAAAAUUGCGAACUUAUCAAUCGAAUGGAAUGCGAGGAGAGGUGGUUUGUUGAUUAGGUACCUGAGCUGAGGCCGUCGAUGCCGCCGAUGGGGACGCCUUUGCCGGCGACACCUUGGUCAGCGAGGAUACCGCUGUUGGGGAAGAAAACUCCCUGGAAGCAGAAUACAUAUUUAUGCAGAGAUCAGUUAAAAAUUCAGCCUUCACCUUCAGGGAAGCCAAGGGCUGAGACAAGAUACAAGCACUACGUUUAAAUUUUCUUUUUUUUCUCCUUUGUGGUUAUUGUUAAUCGAUUACGUACUAAUCAUAUAUACCUGAGCUCUUGCAGUGUGCAGUUCUUGUUCGAGCUGAGCUAGCCUGAUCCUGCUGGACUCCAGUUGCUGGAUGUAAGCCUGUUGCAGCAAAGAGAAGGUAAAUCUACACGCUGACGUUGGAUGGUAGGGACAAGAAUUUGAACAUCAAUGUCAAAAAUUUUUAAAAGGAAAACCAUAUUGUUAAUCCUUUGAAAUUUUAAUUUUUUUUCUCAUCCAUUUUAAUCUGUUCCAUUUUCUUGGUGUAGGUUAUCAGCUGUCGACUCGCUCACCUUCUUCCUUAGCCUGCUUUUUCUUGCAGCCUCCCUGUUCUGGGCCAGCCUUCUCAGCGUCUGCAUGUGUUCAUUACAGCGUGAUACAGCGUGAUGCAUAAACAGUAAACCAAGUUAAUUAGUGCAACACAAAUUAAACGUGGAUGACUAGUAGUGUGUUCUUUCCAAGCAGUACUUAGAAUCAGCAGUUAAAUAAUACUACUAGCUAUCAAUAAUUGACACUUGAGAGUAUCAGAAUCCAUUACUUUUGGGUCGCGUUCACUGGUCGAUGUGCCUCUCCUAUGAUCCUUCUACAACACCAACCAAAAAAAUGGAGAAAAAACGUUAACAAAGCCAUGGAAUUAAAUUAAAACAACCACACAUACAACGAAAAUGACCAAAUCGAGAAAAGAAAACCAUUCAUCAAUUUAGUAUAGCCUGUAUACCAAAUUGGUAGCAGGAGUAUUCAAGUGGAGCACUAGUAGUUAACCACUCACCUUGGCCAGUGGCUUGACAUCUUUGAUCAUCCCGACGGGUGCUGCCGGCUCAGCAGCGGCAGCAGCGAAGGGUUGGUGCUGCAGGUGGUGGUGCUCCUGCUGCUGCCUCCUGCUCCCCGCCAACUCCUCCAUGGCCGCCUGCUGGUGCUGGUGAUGGUGAUGGUCGGGUGACCUAGCAGGCUGCUUGGAUCCCACCGGCGCCGGGGACAGGACUAAACUAAUCUCCCCCUACCAAUCGCAUGCAUAUAUCAGAAAUAUAUCAAAAUCGUGGUCAGGUUAAACAACCAAAUAAGUUGCAAUCAAUUAAUCAUCCAUGGCAUGCAGCAGCAGUUGUGCUGCGCAUCUGAAAAAAAAAAGACAUUGAGUGCUUGAAACAAAUCUGAGAUACAUGUUUGCUGUACCUUCGGCGACGGCUCCACAUGCAUGGGCUGGGAAGGGAAGAUGUUGAGUGUCUCUGCAUCCAUGAACAAGACAAGGAAGAAGCAGGCGAAGGCCUGGUGAGAUGAGUCUGUCUGUGGCUCUACUUGCUAGCUAGAGUACUCUAGAGAGUGGGAGGAGAGGAGACUAGGAGAGGGCCUUGUAUAUAUGUACUCAUCAGCCAUCACACACACAUAUAUAUGUCUACUGAACUCGAUCUGAGGAAGAGGCUGAAACGCUCUCUGGUGUCGCAUGCAGCACGCAGCAGGAGUUGCAGCAGUGUUCAAUCAUGGCGGUACUGGCUACUACUAGCUGGGCUGGGCUGGCCGGCUGGCUGGGCAGUGUUGUGUAGGAGUACUAGCUAGUAGUACAACGAGCAGUAGCACGAGAAAGCUGGAGAUCGAUCGAUACGGGACAGCAGGGAUUCGCACAGGCAGCCACAGCUAAGGCGUGCCUGUACUGAAACCGAAAGAUUGGUGGAUAGGAUCGAGUCAAACAUGCAUGCAUGUACACUUGCUUGCUUGCACUUGCGCACAGCAUCCAGGAAAGAGAGAGAGAGAGAGAGAGAGAGAGAGAGAGAGAUCGAUCAGAGAGAGCAGACGAGUAGCCUGUAGGCAGGCAGCCACCACUGGCGUACUGGGCGACGGAGAUCAUCCCGUCUGCGUGUACUGCUCUGCCGCGGGCACAUGCAGUGCAGCUCGAUCGCGGGGAAAUCAUUGAGCAGUCCGUUACAUGUCACAGUCCGACACCGGCCGGCCGGAGGUAGGGGAGAGAGAGAGAGAGAUGAAGAUGCAUGGGAAGAGAGAGAAGGGAGGACAAGCAACAAGAGAAACAAAAGGCCAAAAAGCUAGAGAGAGAGGCUAGCUAGAGCUUUUUGGCUUCGUGCAUGGACUUUGAGCUUGCAGCAUGCAUGUUCUUGCCGAUUCCCCUGGUGCGUGCCCUGGUCCGGUCCUCCUCCAAACCGCGCUAGCUAGCUGCAGAUUUGCAGCACAGCAUCCCCUGCUGGCCGGUCAAAUGGAGUACCUGAGAAUCUGCUGCAGGCGGCAGGCCGGCCGUCCGGCCGUAUCACCGUUCUUGAUCUCACAUGCAUGCCUAGCUAGCCCCGGAAAAGGAUGCGCGUUUAUUUCUGCACUCUAUCUCACUCUGCAUCGAUCGAUAUCGGAUCGGAGGAAUCCCUGCAGCUAUUGCUAUUGCUCCCAUCCACUACGAAACACAUAUGUUUCAGGGCCUAGCUAGUAUGCCAUUAGUAUUACCACUACUAAAUUAAAUGUAAAUGCAGCCAAAAAAUGCUAGUAGUACUAAUUAACUGCUAGUACUGCACUAGUCUACGAUCGAGUACGUACGUACGUUACUACUGCUGGUCAGUUGCAUUUGACUUCUUGCUGCAAAAACAAAAAACAGCUAGCUAGGCAUGCAAGAACACGGCAACUGCAGUUGAAUUUCGGUCGUCGGUCGUCAGAGGACGACGACGAAGUGCAUGCAUGCGUACACACUAGCUACUUACGCCUUUGAUGCUCUUGCUGCGUGCCGCCAUGGACAUGGCUGCUGCCGUGAUCCAGGUACAUGAACAACGCCUGGUCCAGUUCCCCCAGAUGGUCAUACGCCCCUGACGCCUCCUUGCCGCUCCUGCUUGUGAAACAGAAAUACACACAUGUAUACUUAUGUAACGACACUGAUGUGACACUGAUAUAGACGCUUUUGCACGGGGUUUGAGGACUGAAAUAAACUCUGAACGAAGGCCGGCGCUACUACCAUACAUCAUCAUGAAAUCAUGCUGCUCUAAGCUUAGCCUAUGUAUGUGUGCAUGACUGUGUAUGAUGGCUAUAUAUUUAUCUCUGGUACGGUCCAACCCUCUGCAUGCAGGAUGGGAACAGGAGAAUAAUAUGGAAUCUUCUAUAGCCUGUAGCAUUGAUCUGGCAGCCCAGAAAAAUAUGGCUACCUACACAUGUAGUCUCGAAAUUUCAUGUGUGCAAGCAACCUAUAGCCUCAAUGCCUCUUUGAAAGAAAUACAAAAAUAUAGAGGUAACAAUAUAUCAGCUGCAUGUCCUAAUUAAUAUAAAUCAAUAUUGUUUUUGGUCCUUGUCCUCAAAACAAUAUAAUUACUGCACAUAGCUUGGAUCCGAGAUCUAAAAGAAAGACUAGUUAGUGAUUUGCUAAUCAAUUCACUGCAACUGAACUAUCUGGCUCCAUUAUAACAAAUUUAAAUGAAAGCACACCACCAGAUUUUCAAAUCGAUAGUUGGUUUGGUCACCAUCUAACACACUUUUGUCCUCUUGGGAAGUAGGAAGGAAGAACAAGACACCGAAGAAUCAAAUCCGGUAUGUCAUAUCAAAGUCAGAAACAGUCUAACAAUCACACUCAAACGUAUUUUUAAGGUACACCAAAGUCAGCAGAUAUAUAUGGUUUUGUUGCAGAAUCAAUAACCAGACAAGUUCUCAUAUGAUAAAAAAGAAAAGGGGAAAAACCAAACAGGGUCAUCAGUGCAAAGGCAACAAGUAAAUGAAAAAUUCAGUGCUGCAACAGGAAAGAGGAAAGACGCAAUAAAUUAAAUCAAUUUUUACAUCAUCAUCAGCUAGCAUAGGCAAAAUCAUCAGCAUGCAAAAUUCGAUGCCAUAUCGUCAGAGGUCGGCUCCUUACCUUCCUAUCUAGAUAGAGGCAGCUGCCAGUGAAUUUGCCAAGCAGAAAGCGGAAGGAAAGAGAUCGAAGAAAGCAAGCUCAGAACCCAGCGCACGAAACCGAAGUCAGGGAAAAAGAAAGACGAUCAAAGAAUCCACAACCCAAACCAGAUCAAAUCCAACCCCAGCCGUCCAAACAAACCGAUCAAUCGAUCGAUCAAGAAUUCAAAAGAACAACACCUAGCAGCAGAAACAGCACAAACAGACUAGCUAGCCGAAUCAAAGAAAUUAAUUAAACCAGCAAAAGGUACACAGUGGAGUUAAGAGAAAAACUUUACAUGAAGCUCGCAGCGGCGGCGUGCAUGGAGGAGGAAGAGGAGGAGGACGGAGGCUGCUGCUGGUGGUGGUGGUUCAUCAUCCCGAAGGAGAUGUUCAUCUCGUGCUGCUGCUCCUUGAUGCUGCCGCCGCUCACCAUGGACGGACGACGGACCGGUGGACGGAUCGUCGCUGCAACUGCGCGCGGCAAGCACUACAGGCUGCUGCUAGGUGCUGCUGCGGCCGCUGCUGCAGGCGCACGCCGACGACACAGCAUACACACACAGGCGGUGGUGUACGACGUGUGUAUAUAUCCCCGGGGCCGGGCCGGCUGCCGAGACCUAGAAAUACGGUUUGACUCUAGGGACCGCCCGGGGGUGGGGAGGGGAGGCCGGGCUGGCUAGCGGCCAAGCAACACCUCUAUCCCUCCACACUAGCGAACCACCCCAUGACCCAAUCUUUCUAGGACGCUAGUCAUUUGUGGUGACCCCUUGGACCCUAGCUAUCUAAUACUAACAACAAACCACUAACUAGUUGUUGUUGUGUUCUAGUGCUCUUCCUUUGAUCUCUCUCUCUCUCUCUCUCUCUCUCUCUCUCUCUCUCUCUCUCUCUCUCUCUCCUGUGUAGACUGUAGUAGUAUCAGUCUAUCUCUUUCUAUCAAUCUAAUGAUAUAUCCAAGCCCGGCCUUGCUGAUGCUAUCUAUAAAUGGGGUUUCUCUUGUGCAUCUGUAUCUAUGGGUUCCAGGAAAGGGAGGUGCUGGGCCAUUAAUGGCGAAACAGACUUUCAGUUUGGCGCCAUGCUCACUGCAUCUAAUGAGGCGAUGCAAACAGCCCCGGCUUUUCUCCUGUCUUCCUCGCCGUUUUUCGCUUUAGAGAGAGAGAGAGAGGGGUAGAGAGAGAGAGCAGGUGGAGAAGACGUUGCUGCCUUUAUUUCCUCUCUCCCUUUUGCACCGAAACCCCGCAAUUUCUCUUCAUUUCGUUUCCCAUCCGAGCAUAUCCAGUGCACUCUUUAUUUUUAAAAGAGGCGUCUGAAUUAUUGGAAUUUAGAAAUACCAUAGAACACGCAGGCCACAUAAUACUGUAGAGAGAGAGAGAGAGAUAGGGGGAUAUAUAACAUAUUAAUAUCCUGCAAGAUAUAAGGCCAUUCUUUUUUUUAAAAAAAAAAGAAGGGGACGGGCCGGGGUUGGUCCAAUUUUUCACUUCGAUGCAGUGGUGAAAGUCAGCCUGUGUUCUACGCAGCAGAACAGUUUCCAGUCGGCGUUUGCACAAAAAGGUGCCUGGAAAGCCAGUCAGAGAAGGCACCUAGCAACAAAAAAAGGCAGUAGGAAGGCACGGUGAGAAGUAAACGAGCAGGACAAAGCGGUUAACUGAUCGAUCUCGGCAGCUUGACUGCAUGCCGACGGGCCACGACAAGAACCGCCCCGCGCGCUGGCCCUGGCCCUGGCCGGCCAUGGUCCUGAACCGAGAGCCGCACGCGCCUCAGCCAGGCAGCAGGCUCAGAGAGAGAGAGAGAGAGAGAGAGAGAGAGAGAGGAGAGGGGAUCGGUGGGGAGUUUGUAUGUGAAUGCUUCUGUUGUGUGCAGCGCUGUUGCUUUGCUGCUCUCGAGGCACGCAUACCGUCCCACCUCCCAAAAUCAUCAGUCUGUGUGUCUGUUGAAUCAACCCCCUCCCCACCCACAAUUUACGUUACGUGGCCGCCCAUCCUCCCAUUCUCGCCCCCCACCCGUCUCUGCUCCAGAUUCCCCCACAAAUCCCCUUCCUGCUAGUGCAUGGAAUUGGGAACAAGUGCGGCAUUUCACAAGAAUUCAGCAAGGAUCAGUUCAAUUCCCUCAAAAUUCAGGGGGGAUUCUCAUGGUCCAGAGUACCCUCCCUUCUCCUUCAACGUCUGAAGUCUGAACCCACCGUUCAUCAAGGGGAAUAAAGGAGAGUAACUUUUACUAAUUACUAUCAUAUAUAUACUCCUACAUGAACUUGGUAUAAAAGCGAAUGGAGCCAUGCUCUCUAAUGUAUUUCCCUGGCAAGGCAUACAUAUGGAGGUGAUCAGAAUAACUGAUGGGCGAGAAAGAGGAAUUCUGAAGGAAUUUAAUGGGCGCAUGACAUCUUGACAUUGGCGAUCUCGAGAUGCCAACUCCUCUGCGACUAUAUAACUAUUCUUCGCGCUGGUGUAGAGGAAUUGAACCUUUCUCAGUCGGUUGAAUGGUUGCUUGCUGCCCAUGUCAGCUGGAGACUUGCGACAGUCCCUCAGUCAGUCCGGUGUGUGGUCACGAACAGCCUCUUCAACUUGCUGCCUGAUGCCGAGGAAACAGCAAAUUCGUCAGCUUCCUUGCUUGCUAGAAAAUAUCAUUAUUAUAUAAGCUGCAGAACAAGUUAAGAGAACGUUGUACCAUUGUGUUCGCGGUGUUUUUUUUGGGUGCCGAAAAGAGUUCUCCAAAAGUUUACAACCUGUGUAAUCAUAGUUGCAAUGGAUUAGAGACUGACCUGACUUGUAACAUGCACGUUGCUGGUGCAGAACUUGUAACAGUUCAGACUGAGAAUUAACUGGUUCAGUAAACAGUUACUAAAAAAAUACCCGGUUCAGACGUUCAGUGAAACACGGAGCAGUUACAGAGAAGUAUUGAAGCCUUAGUCUGACUCUUCAAACCGGUUCCUUCUUUUGCUAUGUAAAGGAUUAAAAAAAUAGUUAGUUGAACAAGUCCCAAAAGGUACACAGCAUUAUUCAUCUAUAAAGAAUUAUAUAUACAAGAGUUUCUGAAAUUACCAAGAACUGUUGUCACUGGAGGUGAAAAAAGGUUCCAGACUUCCAGUGCAUCCUUGGGUCAACUUGUUUUCUGCAACAAACAAAACAUAGCAUGCAAGUAACGACGGCUGUCGACGCAAGCCAGUGCAGUACAAUAUUUUCCCAGUAAAAGUCAAACGGGUGCCUGACAUCCCGUUGCACAGUAGAUAUUCUGCUCACCAGAGCUCUUUUUCUGGUCCAGUCUUUCUGAAUUCUGAAUCCCUGACGAUGAUAUCAUGAGAUGCUCCAGGCCUGCCACGCAUGUGACAGACUUGCUGCAAAGGGAUUAUGAUUAGAGGACCCCACAAAUAUUGGCUCCUGCCAAUUUGUGCACAAGGAGGCAGCCCGCAGUCCAACAACCCCCAUGCCAAGAGAUAUGAAUCUUGUAUCUUUCACACAAAAGAACAUAGCAAAAGGAACAAAAGCUAAAAACACCCAAAUCGGACUGAUUCCAGUUUCCAUAUCACAAAUUACCAACAGCAGUAACACAGAGGGAGACAAACCAGGCUCAAUGGUACCAAGUAAACAUCAAAUGCAUGAGCUAAGACUCGAAGCUGCUGAAUCUAACACUUCACUUACAAAUUGAUAGACUGGAAAAGAUAUAUUGUUCGCCUCCAUAAGUACAGAAAAUAUCUCUCUGUCAUCACAGUUACUGCUCCAACAUGGCCAAAGAUAAUUUUCCUUUGACCUUUCAUGAAAGCAAGCAGAAUCGUCUAAAAAGAGUAACAAUCACAAUCAUGGCAUCGCUUGAUCUCUAUUUUAAUUAUUGAACAAGAGCCAUGUCAGCUUAGUCACUGGAUGUAGAGACCACGACAAUCAGUAUUUAGAAAAAUAAAAAUGGCCGGUUAUCAGAAGAGAGUUUAAGAGUUUAUUUACACUCAGCUGAUGAUGAUGGUAAAGGUUUAGUAGUAAACCAAGCAAUAUAAUUCUUGUUUACUUGAAAAUAUAUCAGUUGCAGAUCACCAUUUGUCCUGGCAUUUCUUUACAAAAUAUUAUUCCGAUCAUUUCGACUUCAAACACCUACUCCCAACUUUACUUUGUCCUACUGUCGCAAUCAAAGUUGUUAAAUGCUAUCUGCUUAUGUUUGGAUUAAUGUAUAUCAAAACUGAAGAAACAUCUACUUGGUCCAAUCCAUUGGUUACAGUUGGAUUAGGUGUCUGCACCCAAAAAGCCAAAGACUUGAUGGAAGCAACAUGGUUAAUUUUAAAAUGUCUCAUCUACAAUGUUUAAGAAAAAUUGAGAAGGUAAAAAUGUACUGCUUCAAGUUUGAUAUGUACUCAUUUAAUUAGGACGAUAUGACCGUAGCGGAAAAAUGUUAGAAUAACCAAACUGAAAUCCAGGAUUGACUAUUGUGCCCAUUUUAGCCCUACAAUUUAAGAAGUUAUUGAUGAUGUGUUUCCACAAGUGUGUGAUCCAUAACUGUUGCAAUAGUGAUAGCACCUGUAGAUCAGUUUAGUUAUUGAUGGUGUGUUUCCACGAGUGUGUUGUCUACUGUUUCUACAAUGUAUAGACUAUUAUCAGACAAAGACGGCAUACAUCUUAGUUCUGCAACUGUUGAUCAGUUUAGUUACCAGGUUUUUCAAUAGUCAUAAAUUUGACAUUACACCUGGAGCUCCCAUAGACACAAUAACAUGUUAGCACAUGUUUGUGGAAUGUACAUUGAUCUGCAGGAAAGAACAUGACAAAAAGUUAUGGAGGGUAAACAAACAAAAUAACAAAACUAAGUGAAUGUAACUGUAGUUUAAGUAGAACAGAUAAGCAUCAUCUCUGUCAGCGAGACCAGUGGCCAGGAAACUUACAGAUAAGCCUCAGAGGAGACACCAAAGCAUUGAAGAACGCUUAUACAGUUAUACUUACAUGGUACAUCACUCAGGGAAGCCAGGAUGCAAGGUUUUCAGUAAGUAAAAAGCCACUGGAACUUUUAUCUUUCUUUUUGCAUUUCUUGGAGACAAGUCAUGAAUAAUCGAACACACCGCCCAUACAAAUUAACGGGAUGAUAUGGCGAGGUCGGCGAGGUGUGCGCAACUGCGCAAGGGAGAUCACAGCAGUAGAUGGGAUUAAGGAAGAGACACGAGAGGGUAGCGUGGCAAUGACCGGUUGUCCUCCACAGUGGCUGGACCGAAGAGGAUUCCUGAUGAGAGAGUCUUAUUCUUCUUCGAUGGUUCUCCUAAUACAAACUAUGAGCCUUUAUAAUCCAGGCCUUCCACAAAUAUCUCAACUCAUCAAAACAGAUCUGAUCUUUCCUAACCUCUCCCUAGAUUAUGUAGAGGAUUCCUGUUGUCUCUUUGCGCCUGUAGGUCUGGCCCACAAAGGACAACAGGUAUGAUGUCAUGCUAAUCAACAUCACAAGACAAUUCACAUCCUGAAUGUCAUGCAAAUAGAAGGUUAUUCACCAUUUACAUUUUGACAUGAGAUAAAUUAACUGGAUAGUCAACAAAAACAUAUAUAAGCAAAGCUGAUAACGAUGUACCCUAGUACUCCCUCCAUUUCUUUUAUAUGGCACAAAUGUAUUUAAAGAUUCAAACCUCAUAAUUUCCAACAGUCAAUUAGUCUUACAUGACGUGAUUUUUGUUAUACAAAAGUGACAUCAUUCGAUUUGUAAAUGAAAGUAUGAUCUUAUUGUUAUAAUUUUGUUGCUACAAGCAUAAGAGAAAUCAUGGGUCAAAUUCUAAUUUUGGAGACCAUAAUGUGGGGAGUAAUAGGAGCCUACCUGCUCAAGAUGGAUGAUCUCUUGUCUUAAAUCUAAACCAGCUAAUUAGUUCUCUGAUCCAAGACCUUAGCUGGAGAUUUUAGGAUAAAAAAACAAGAACUUCAAAAUCUGGUGUCGAAGUGUCUCAAUUGAGAAAAAAAUGUGUCAUUUAAUAUUCUUAGGGCUUCUGAGUGUGAGAUAGUCUGAAUGCACAUCCUUUGAAGUUUGAACAAGAAACAAUUGGUAUGGGUCCUUUUUUUAAUUUUGUCAAAUACACAUGAGAGCCGCAUAUCUUUGCAUUAAGAGAAAUCAUAUUUACAAAAAGCCCAACACACUACUAGUUCAGGAACACAUGAGCAGAGUAUACAUGGCAGCAGCCAUAAGCUGCUCCAAGCACCUAGCUCCAGCCAUGCACUAGCGGUAUUCUUCCUCCCAAAUUCAUCUAAGGACAAGCUGGACUCAGUGCAGCACCCUUAAAAACAGAGUCAUUCUGAUGCUUCCAUCACAUCCAGGCCCCCUAAAGUCAUCAGCAAGUUGAGACCCCAUUUCCAGUUUCCAAUGAUCAAACUGGUUCUCGGCCAUCAAUCACAAAACACAUUGUCAUUUCCUUGUGAUUGGGUCCUAGAUUGGCGAAUUCAGCAGACAACAUAUUUUGAGUGCUUGCAUAGUAGCAAAAUCUUCCAAAACGAUUAGCCAAAUAUAUUAAACAAAAAUAGUGUUGUUACCAUUGUGCAGUUUGUCACAAAAGAUUAUAAGAGAAAGAAGGCGCCUAGAGACAGAGCAUAAGCUUACGGGAGUAAGAGGUCUAAAACCACACUUUUGAGUGUGCAAUAGCAAGAUUGCCAGAUAGAGAGACCCCCCCCCCCCCCCCCCAAAAAAAAGUGAACUACAUGUGUUAUGUGGCUGCUGGGGAUCGAGGGAGAUGGAUUGAGAUCGAAGGAGCGGCGCUGAUGGCGUGAACAGUACCCGCGGAUACUGUUCACAGGGAGGCGGCUGUGAGAGCGAGAGAGGAGGCUAGGGUUUUGGGCGCUAGGAACGCCAGCCGCGGGGCUCUGCCCACGGCCGGCAAGAGAGAAGGGAUUUCCUUCUAAUUUCUUGCUUGAUUAAAUUGAUACAUCUCCUCUAUAUAGAGAGGUUUACUUGACUUACAAGCAAGACUUACUUGACCUCUAAGCAAGCGACUAAUUAACCCUAAUGGGCUAAGGCCCAAUAGGUCCUUGACUCUUCUAACACUACACCCCACCUGGACAUGCAGCUCGUCCUCGAGCUGCAACUUAACAACGACACUAACAAUGACUCCGCAAGACACAAACGUAACACCUAAAAACAAGUCUUUUACAUCUCGGCUUGUUUUAUUAUUCUCAACUAGAAAUAGAUUGGGACUCUUUAAUUUUAACCCCUGCACAUAAGGCGGACACCAUCCACCUGGAUCCCAUGGAGACCAUCUGGAUGAAAGAUGUGCUUGUGUGUGGCCUCCAGGAAGUGGUCGCAAUAGGGACCAGCGAAGGCGCCCUCGCGGUGGUCGGUGGCGGAAUCUGGCGACACUAGGCAGUGCGCUCCCACCGAUGACACCAUACCUUCUCCCCGCUGGACGGCUGGGCUUCCAACUGCCGACGCCGAAGACUUUGAGUCCACCCGCAGGAAAAACAGCAUGCACGCUGCCCGUGGGCGGAACCGCAAUCUGAAAAUCCCCGACGCAGCGGAUGAGAUCGCAGUCCUCCACGUGGUGGAGCUGCAAAUAGGUGCAGGGCUGAAUCAGCGGCAGAUCACGCAUCUUUCGCACCCGCCGACGUGCAAGGAGGCCACGCGCAGCAGCUUGCAGCCGCACUACCGCCGACGCCUGGCAGCGAAGCGUCUUCUCCGCCAGCUCCGUCGCCAUCGGCUGCUCGGUCUGCUGCAGCAUCUUGCCCUCAUCUCGGACCUGCUGGAAGCUGGUACCCCUAUAGAAGAUCCCAUCGGUGAAUGGGUGCUGGAUGGUUGGUACACCGGGGAGGACAACAGCAUUGGUGGAGGGUGGUGGAGCAACUGUCGUCGUGGCCGCCGGGGUGCUUGCCAUCGUGUGCACCAGCCCCAUCGUCGAUGCUAGAGCAUAAGACGAAAUCGAUGGAGGGGGCGGCAUCCAUGGCUGCUGGAUGGGAACCAGGGCAGAUGGAUGCACGCCCUGGAACGAAAACGUCGUCGUCCCGUAACCAGGCAUCCCGUGCAGGAAAACCUGUGACACCGGCUGCUGCUGCUGCGACUGCAGCGUGGCGAGAUAUGAUUGGAUCUCGGCAACAGAAGACUGGAGCUUGAGGAUCGCCGCGGUCAACUGUUCCGGCGUCAUCGCAGCGGAUGCCGAAGAAGACACCAUGGCAGCAAAGGAUCCUUGGGAACCUGACAUCUCCGAUACCAGAUGUUAUGUGGCUGCUGGGGAUCGAGGGAGAUGGAUUGAGAUCGAAGGAGCGGCGCUGAUGGCGUGAACAGUACCCGCGGAUACUGUUCACAGGGAGGCGGCUGUGAGAGCGAGAGAGGAGGCUAGGGUUUUGGGCGCUAGGAACGCCAGCCGCGGGGCUCUGCCCACGGCCGGCAAGAGAGAAGGGAUUUCCUUCUAAUUUCUUGCUUGAUUAAAUUGAUACAUCUCCUCUAUAUAGAGAGGUUUACUUGACUUACAAGCAAGACUUACUUGACCUCUAAGCAAGCGACUAAUUAACCCUAAUGGGCUAAGGCCCAAUAGGUCCUUGACUCUUCUAACAACAUGUUUGUCAGAAAAGAAAUUUUACAUGACGAAAGAAGCACCCAGAGGCAGAACAUAAGCCUAAGAGAGUAAGAGGCCUAACUUUUGUACUGAAAAUCGUAAAUCUAAAAACACUGUUUCGAAGACUUCUAGUACAAUGUAUAGAUCCCUAAUAGAAGAAACACAAUAUCUAAAUUCUUAUUUAAAUAUGGAUGUGUUAUGCAUGAAUACAACUUUGAAGAACUACCAGCAUGGCAAGCAACUUUUCGUAGGCACUGAAUUUCUACCAACAGUCACACCAAAUGGUCGGCAAAACAGCCUAGCGUACAUAUCUUCAGGUUAUCUCAGCCAUGAUGCAGAUUUGACAUUGACAGUGUUAAAUAACACAAGAGAACAGUUUAGUUAUAAUAACUUAUUGCUACUACUUUGGGACAAAUCUGAACUUCAAUGCGCAAAGAUGGUUAUCUCAAUUUUAUAUAUUUUUAAAAGUGUAAUAACAACAAUUUUGCUGCACAACUACAAUCAGCAGAUGAAGCUAGUAGUGGACUUUGUUAUGCAACAACAGCAUUUCUGAGCGGACAUUGAAAUCAAACACAAACACAACAGAGAGAAUGGCAAAAGUAUUUUUUUUUCAUUUCUUUAUUUCAUAUACAGUGUUGGGUUCCCGAUGUUUUUUUAGAUGGCAAAAGCCAUAGCGAAAGAUAGGAUGACAAAGAGGAAAACAAUCAUAUCUUGAGGAUUCUAAAAUUAUAAAAAAUCCUUUCUACAACAGAUAUUAUCUCCAGAAAGAUAUCAUAUUUAAGUGAGGCCAUGUUCACCUUCCACAUGUACAAUUGUGUCACUGUAUGAUACAUUAUUGCCAAAGUAUGCAAGUCAUCACUCAGCAUACAACAGAUGGUUGGUCUCAAAUAACAAGACCGGCAACAAAAUGAGAAGUUUAGCCUUCCAUACUCAAGUUAGGAUGAUGACUCCGGCGAGACUAAAUGGAUGAAAAACAAAUGCUAGCAACCUCAUCCUGACCUGAAAACGAAAUGAAAAAAGAACUAAAUUACCAUAGAGAAAGAAGCAGCAAAUAAAAGGAUAUGUAGUGGAAUUACCUAAUGUUAUGUCCCCAAGUAUUCCAUUAAAUCAUCAUCAUGCAACAAGUCAUCAAUAUCUGGGAUUGGACUGCUGAUACUGAUAUAGUCUAGAGGCAAUCCCUCAAAGGAACUGCCAACAAACUUAUCUUGGUCACCAUAGAAAGGAAAAUCUAUGAGCUGCUGCAUAUCUCCAGGAACAGAAGUUGAACUUCCACCACCUAGUAUAUGAUCACCAUAAGGAAUGCUAUCAGUAGGUGCCCUGAUACCCAUGGGAACCACAUGAUGAUCCAUCAUGGAAAGUGGUAGUGAUUGUUUCGGAGGUAAGUUCUGAUAACUGCUGGGCAGAUUAUUUAAACCAGGAUGAGCAUCUACUGGAAAACUAUUUUCAGAUCUCGACCUUGUGCUGUCAUUAUUUUGAUAAGGUAAAGGCUGGUCACCCAUACAUAUGCUUAUAGGAGUAGGGUUUGCAGUUGGGGCACUAUUGAAGUUAUUAACCUCAGCACCAGGAAGGUGGACCUGUACUUGAGCAUCUCCUCUGUGUUGUAAAGCUUCAGUUGUGGUGUCCCCAUGGUCAAAAAUGACAAUCUGGUUAGACCUGCCUUGGAUUUCUACUUGAUCCAGUCUAUUCAUAUCAGGAAUCAAAUUUCUUGAGUUUUCUGGUGCAUCAACAACUCUGCGUGCAUCUGGCUCGGUAACAGUGGAGCUGCGGCGUGCUUUUUUUCUCUUUGGUGGUUCUUUUGCCUUACCAGGAACGAUCUGAUUAGGGUGUUUAUUGUAAGCCCUUUCCCUUCCUCUUUUUGGGACAUGCUCAACAGCAGAUUGUGUAACUGGAGACAGAUCUUGUUCAUCAUCUUUAGAUGAUGUAGAAACAGGAGCAUCCUCAAAACCAUACACAUCAUACUCAUUACUGCUGCUAUUUGUGUCCCCAUUUCUGUCCUCUGGCAUACUGCGCGGAGUAAUCUCUGAUACACCAUUGUCAAUUCUGUGAACAAGGCUUUCUUCUCUCUGUAAAACUCCCAGCCAAAUCAGGCUUUCUUUUGCAGUCAUUUUAUCCUGCAAACAUUUUGAUUUCCGUACAUGAUUUCUUAUCUUAUCAAAGUUGGGAGACAUGUGCUUGAUCACACCUGUAAGCACACCAGCCUUCCAAACCUUCUUAAGAUCAUGUGGUUUCUUGUAUGGAGGAAUUUGGCCGCUUGGAAGGCCCAAGGCAAUCCACCAUUCCUCCUUCCCUGAAGGCCACCAAGGGGGCGGAACACCCUUCUCCAAUGGGUACUUGCGCUGCGGUGGAUCACAAUGCUGCAUCAAUGAGGAAAGCAGUGAACCAAGAGUGGCAUCUUGGAGAUCCAUCAAGCUGUGCGGGUUCUUACUUCCACCACUCUGGGCAUUUGCGGUUACUAAGUUCUCAGAGUCGUAUUUCUCAAUUGCUGCAGGCCCAUUCUUAUCAAACUUCACCUUCUCCUUCCACCAAGCUCUGAUAUUAUCAGAAGCGCCACUGACAGGCUUCCCCUUGUCCGGGAUGAUCCCAUACACGAACCCACGCGCAUUGCACACCUGCAUCAGCUUGAGCAUGUACUUGAGGAUCCCGUCAUGCGCCCUUGACAUCUUCUUGCGCAUGGCCUGGUCGGAUAUCGGCUUGGGCCUCAACUUCUCCAGCUCUGCCUGCUGCAGGGCGAGCUUCUGCUGGCGCUCCUUGAUCCUCCUCAGCCUGACUCUGUCCUUCCACAUUCGCCGCGCCAGGUCCUCAGGCUCAAUCUCCUCGUCGCUGACAUCAUUCUCAGUGAGGUUCUGGAUGCCCUCCACCUCAAAGUCCGACGAGUCACCCAGCUCCGUCGCAAGCAUGGCAAGUUGAUCCAUGAGAACUACCACUUUGGUAACCCGAUUAAACUCAAACCUAGGCAACCUCCUGUGGCUAGCUGCGCUGCCCCAUCCAGCAAAGGAUCACGGCAACCUGUCCACACGAAAUUGGGCCCUACAGUAUCAAUUAACACCCCCAAAAAAAAUGUAUAGUCAGUACGCGAAAAAAAAACUGACGGAAAUGUCGAAACACGCAACUCUACCCUCCCCACUACUCAUUUGCUAAUUAUGUACCCUAAACAGGAAUCCGUACCUCCACGUUGACCCCACCCUCGCGAUUGAGGCGCCAAAACUAAUCCGUGUCAGACGACAGCCCUAAAACGGCAACGAAUGGGAUGAUCAAGCGAAAAAUCCAUCCCUCUAUCCCCCUUAAUCCGCGAGCGUACGGAGUAAGAACCCUAAUCAGAGCAGCAAUCGCCAACCAGAGGGGUGUCAGUGCGUGCGUACCUGGCGGCGAACGGGAGAGCCAGCCGGGGGCGACGGACGAUAAUUUCUCAGUCGAAUGGACGCUCGAACGAGCGAUUUGCUGGGUUGAUGGAGGAGAAGAUUCGCUUCUCUUCUGGUUAUUUAUUGUUUGAGAUUUGGAAAUCGGGAGUGAAAAAAAGAGAGAAGGAAGCAGGAUGGAAGGGGAGAAACGGGGCGAGCAGGAAUGGGCGAAAGCAUACACGAGGCCGCCGUUGGGUGUUUCGGUGGAUCUUCUGCUCCGUUUGGUCGUGUUGGUCCCAUGUGGUGUGGGAGAGCUGCUGAACGUGUUGGCCGCAUCCGGCUCUUCAAGACUCGAGAGUCAAAACUAGCGAAUUAACAAACGAAAUAAAAAUAGAAUCGAAAGGUACUGAUUUAAUUUAACAUGCGUAUUUAGCACGUCCACAAGCGUUAUAGCUUUUCUUUUUUCGAUAUAAAUUUUUACUAUAUACAAUCCUAAUUUAACUAAAUAUAUAUACAAAUGAGUAAUAUUCUCUCCAUUUGAAAUUAUUAAAUAUUUCGUCUUUUUCUAGAUACAAAGCUUCUAUUAGAUAUGCACUACAAUUAAUGCAUAAUAAAAGCAAUGGCCUAUAAAAAAGCUAAAAAGACAUAAUUUGAAAUGGAAAGAGUAGUAUUUUAUGAGUAUAAUAAAUAUUGCUUAGAUUAAUCAUGCAAUACAUUUUUAUAUGAUAAACCUAUUUAAAGAUAUAAAUAUUAUAAAAUUUUCUAAAAACUUAGUCAUAUUUAUGAUUGUUUAACUCAAUGGAUAUAUUUUCGUCCACUUUUGGGAUAUGGAUGAAGAUUGAAGUAUAUCUAGACAUGAUAUAUAUUUAGAAUGAAUGUAUUUAAUGGUGUAUGGCUGUUUUUUUUUCUUUGAUUUUGAUAAUGAAAAGAAUAUAGAUUGUUGCUACGCUUGAUAUUCCAUUUCCUUUCUUUAAAAAAGGGACACUCGCAAGUCGCAACCCUCCUCGUACCGUCUGACUUCUGUUUUCAAUUGCGCAGGAGAUUCGUUCUGACUUGUGUUAGAGUCUGUUUAGCACAAAGUUGUUGUGAGAUUUUUUUUGCUAAAUAUUUAUUUUUAAAAUAAUUUUAUAGGUGAAUUUGUUUUUUCUCCUUUCAUAGAGAUAUGAGUUGAGAUAAAACUAAAAAAAUAGUUUAUUAUAGCUCUCUCUUAAUUCUCUCUCUUAUCUAUGCAAAAGUAGUUGGUGAAGUAUUUUACCAAAGACUUUUUUUAAAUAGCUCAGCUUCAUUUAAAAAAAUUGUCCGUAAAUUUAUUUUCUAAAAAAAAAUCAGCUUUAUUAGUAAAGUUGAGUUGUGCUAAAUAAAAUUUUAGUUUUUUAUUUUCCUUCGCUAGCUCCUAGGUCAGCCCACAGCCGGCAUCGAUGAGAUGACUCAUCGUCGUGGAGCAUCCAGCAUCGGCAUCAGAUGAGAUGAUCGAUCAGUCCAGGAGAGCAGCUCUUUCGGCAGGGCCACAGCAAGUGCACCCACCACCCCCUCCGCGCAGGAGGAUCCGGUUCCCCGGUCAGCAAUGAUGCAUCGAUGCAUGCCUAUACCGUCCUCCCAAAGUGCGCCGAGCCUUUUUCCCGUUUCUGCCCGUGCGUCCGUCCCACUGCUCUGCUCAACAGGCCACUGAAACUUGAGCGCCGCCGCCACAUGCCCGCGUUUUGUUCGUAUACGCAGCGGCACGACGACGCAAGUGACCCGUCCAUGUCGCUUGCCGCUACUAAGUACUCCCUCCGUCUCAAAUUAUAAGUCGUUUGACUUUUUUACCUCAAGUUUGACCACUCGUCUUAUUCAAAAAAUUUGUGCAAAUAUAGUCAAAUUUAAGUCAUUCUUGAAGAACUUUUAUUAAUAAACCAAUAUACAACAAAAAAAGUAAUAUUUUGUACAAAACUUUGAAUAAGACGAGUGGUCAAACUUGAUAUUAAAAAAGUCAAACAACUUACAAUUUGGGAUGGAUUGAGUACAUUUGUGGCCGCACCGAUGCCGGGACUUCGGAGCAGUCAUGUUUUCUCUUCUGUACCCAGCUCUGACAUUUUUUCCUCUUUCGAGAAAAUUCGUUAUUCACCAUUUCAAAUAGUAGGUUUCACAACUUUAGGCUUGUUUGGCACAGCUUUACUAGUAAGGCCUUGUUUAGUUUCUAAAAAAAUUUGCAAAAUUUUUCAGAUUCUCCGUUACAUCAAAUCUUUAGACGUAUGCAUGGAGUAUUAAAUAUAAACGAAAAUAAAAACUAAUUACACAGUUUGGUCGGAAUUGACGAGACGAAUCUUUUGAGCCUAGUUAGUUUGUGAUUGGACAGUUUUGUCAAAUACAAAUGAAAGUGCUACUAUUCCUAUUUUGUAGUUUUUUUUUAACUAAACAAGGCCUAAAGCUGUUUUUUUUUUAGAAAAUAGCUUCAUGAGUGACUUUCUAGAUGAAGUUGAGCUAUUUUGAGAAAAGUGUUUGGCAAAAUAGCUUCACCAACUACUUCAUGCAUAGUUGAGAGAGAAACGAGAGAGAGAGCUGCAAUAAACUACUUUUUUCAGCUUUAUCCCAACUUAUGUCUUUCUGAGAGGAGGGGAAAACAGUUUCACCUAUAAAGCUGUUUUGAAAAUAAGUGUUUGGCAAAAAAAAACAGCUCACAACAACUCAAGAAGUUGUUGUGAGCUGUACCAAACAGGCCCUUUACCAAACAGGCCCUUUAUAUGUUUCUCCUAAUCUCUGCCAUGCGAAACGUCCUUUUUGCGUGCCAAAAAUUAGAAAAAAAACAUAAAAAAGCCACACAGAAGUUUUGCAUCUUUUGUAUGGUAAUUUUGUGAAGUUAUUGGAAAUUUGUGAACUCUUUAGAAUGAUAAAUAGCUAAUUUUAUCAUUGUGUAAUCUAAAAAAAACUAAUUUUCUCAUUCAGUCUUUCCUCUUCAUUCGCACAUCAACCAUGCUCUCCCGCGGGGCGCUGCUCCCGUACUAGGCCGCCACGUCAAGCGCCGCUCCUCCACCCCCACCCCUGCCCCGUCUUGUAACUUUCUAUGACAGCAUUUUGUCUUUCUAAAAUUUAAAAAUUUAUUAUUUAGAUAGUCAUUUGAGUAAAAUCGUGUUUUUAUGCCGCGAAGAGCCAAUGCAGAUUGAGUAUGCAGUCGUUUAAAGACACCCGCAAUAUUUAGAGCUACUCCCUCCGUCAUGUAAUAUAGGGUAUUCUAGAAAUUUUAGUACAAAUUAAGAGAAAUCACAAAUGACGCAUGUUCCCUCACUUUAUUUCCUAAUAAGACGCUAUCAUGGACACAAUUAGUAGUGAUUGAUUUACAAAUAAAAUGUAUUUAAUAUAAAACUAGUUUCUGUCUUCUAGAAUGUCUUAUAUUUGAGGAUAAAUUUUAAAUGCCAGAAUACGCUAUAUUACAGGACAGAGAGAGUAGUUACUAACUCCAAGCCAAUUUAUCCCAAUAAUCUAACUUUUAGCAUAGAGCUCUUUACAUGGAUAACCCCAUAUGAUAGUCUCAUACAACUCUAAGUUGAUUAAAAGCUAGCUUUACUCUCUCUUCUAUUACUCUCUCAGACUCCGAAUAUAAGGCACAUACUUGAAAAUUUAAACUUUGCUAUCUUUGACUAACAUAUAGCCUAAUUAUAUAAAAAGUUUGUAUUACAAAAAUAUUUAAGUUAUAUUUGUAUUUAUAAUUAUUUUCUAAUGAUCAUCCUUAUAAAUUAUAUAUUAUAAAAUAAACUAAAGGUCAAAAUAUGCUCCUCCGGACCGCAUCAAAUCAAAUCAUGUCUUAUAUUCGAUGACUGAGGGAGUAAAAUAUUAAAAAAAAUGCUUAGAGCUAGCAUCAAAGCUAAUUGUUAAAUCUGCCCGUACAGUUUUCCUUAAAAAAAAAAACCUGUGAGGCAGAGUAGUUCUCGGCUAGGUUCUCUGAACGGGCAGAUUCAUUGAACUUGCACCUCCUGUCAAACGCCGAAAGGGCGUCAAAGUUCCGUGCACCAAAAAAACAAGACGAAUGGGCAGGGGUGCCGUGUGCGAUUGUUGCGUUGCUAAUAGACGAGGAGUAGUUCUGCUGCUGGCCCAACCCAACUCCGACAUAAGGUAAGAAAGGUAACAACAGUAAUUAGGCCUUCUUCUCUCAAUCUUCGGUGAGCGAGGUCCAAUUUGAUUGAGCCCAUCAACGCGUACAGACUGGGCCACCGAAUUUGGGUCGCAGGCAGGCCAAGUCUUUUUCCGUAAUUAUAUACUUUUUGUAGAAAAAAAUGCCUGAUUCCCCUAAAAAAAGAAAAAAAAUUACCUGAUUAAAAACGUGCAUAAAUAUAUACUGCUACCGCCGGCUAAAAUAGUCAGAUAGGCAGAUAUAAACUUUUUCAAUACAAAUGACAACAUAUGAUUUUUUUUGACAUUUCGAUUGGCGAUGUAUCUGUUUAGUACGUAGGAAAAAAACCACUACUUUUCAUUUUUAUCGAAUGGAGAUAAAUAUAUACAAAAAUUAUACAAAAAAAUAGAUCUACACCUUUGUUAUUACUAUUAUUUUUUUAUAUAGAAAGUCACUUUGGUGCUAAAAUAUUCAACACAAUGUUGGGACAUAAAAACAAUUAAAGUAAUUUAAUGUUUGGACGCCAUAUCUAAACAUUGUAUCAAUUACUUAUUUACUCUGGCACCAAGAUGACUUUAAACAAAAAUAUGAGGGGCCACAAAUUGGUAGAUCAUUUUGAGCGGUUGAAAUUCUAUAAAUUUUGUAUAAUUAUUAUCUUUAAUUAUUCAUGUGCUAUUAUCAUAGGCAAUAUACGUAAUGGUGGGUAUAACGAUAUCUUCUAUAAAAAAUUGGCUUUUAAUUAUCAUAACCAAUGUACACUACUACCGGAUUGAUUAACCGCAACGAGACCAUUUCCACCUCCGUGGCGGGCACAGUUUUUGCCCGCCACGGUUAUUCAACCGCACACGUAUAAGCCCGGCCACAUGAAUGCCCGCUGCGGUAAAUGAUUAACCGUAGCGGGCAUCAUAAAGAGCCCGCUGUGGUUAAUAGUAUUAACCGAAACGGGCAACGUAAAGAGCCCGCUACGGUUAAUGCUUUUACCGUAGCGGGCGCGUUAAGUCGCCCGCUUCGGUUAACUGACAUUAACCGUAGCGGGCGUUUUAUGAAGCCCGCUUCAGUAGUUCGUUGGCUGUAUAAAUAGCAGCCAGCCGACCCCUUCUUCUUCCUCACGGCUGCUCUCUUCCAAAUCGUGGGGGGAGUGGUUUUGCACUAAAAUUUGUCCAAACAAUUGAAUUGUGGUUUAGAACUUUGAUUUGGUGUAGGACAUCAUAAGAGGUACAUAGGAACUCCCUCCCCUCUUUUUCUCACUUUUGAGCAUCCCUUUAUGUCUAGAUCUAGAUCUAGAUCUAGUUUCAUGGAGGAGAGAGAAAGCUAUAUUUUUUUGUCUAGAUUCUUAAUGGAUGCAUAUGAAACCUUCUUUGUUCGAUGUGUAACGGUUCGCAGGCACGAGAUGGAUAGGUCGGAAUGGAUGUAUGGGAUGAAUCGGGUGCUUGACCCGCGGUACCUUGUCGAAGUGAGGAAGUUUAUUGCCACGGCGAAAGCUCACCGUGAGAGAUCGAAGCGGACGACAACCAUAUGUCCAUGUUCUCACUGCAAGAACCUCACAGCCUUCACGAAAGACGGUACGGUGCAGUCUCACUUGAUUCGGUUUGGUUUCAUGGAGGGUUACACAGUCUGGACUCAUCACGGUGAAAGAGUGGACCCCAGUGGCGAUGCAUCUGGUUUGAGCUCGACGUCGACGACCAUGAACCAAGAACCUAGAGCGCCCAUGUCAUCUCCAACGACUGCAGGGCCAACCUGUGGCAACAAUGACAGUGCUCGUGAUUACACGGUGGAGGAUAUACUCGGGGAGAUGGCAGAUGGUGUUGCAGAUGGCGAGGCGGCUACUGUGCAGGAACCGGAGGAUAUCGAGGUGAUCGAGGGUUUAGUCAGCCACAUCGAUGAAGACGACGUUGUGUAUGGCUCCCCGAAGUGGUUGGAAAAUUUCAGGGAGAUGAAGCAGGCUGCACUUGAUCCACUGUAUAAGGACGGCGGUAAUUGUCCAAAGGAGUGUACGGUGCUCCGGUUCAACCUCCACAUGUUGAUGAUGAAGGCCCGGCAUGGCUGGUCUGAUACUAGCUUCAAUGAGCUGUUAAGUUACCUUGGUACCACGUACCCGACGGGUAACAAGGUCCCUGCAAAUACCUACCGUGCGAAGAAGUUGAUUCGUCCAGUUGCGAUGAAACUUAGAAAGUUUGAUGCCUGCCCCAACCACUGCAUCCUGUAUCGAGGCAAGGAGUAUGAGAAUAUGACGAGCUGUCCGCACUGCGGUGCCAGUCGCUACAAGAGGAAUGCUGGAUGUCGUGUGGACGAAGACGACGAUGUGGCCUUGCGAGGUGGUCCGAAGAGGAAGAAGGGGGCCAAGAAUAGUAGUGCCGCAGCCAAUCGCAUCUCAUCUCAGCAGGAUGAGGAAGAAGAGGGUUACACGCGGAGGAAAAGUCCAGCACUAUCGUUGUGGUACCUGCCUGUGACCGACCGCUUGCGUGCACUAUUCGGGAACCCAGAGGAUGCCAAGCUCAUGUCCUGGCAUGCAUCAGCUGACCGCAAGAAGGAUGAUGGCAUGCUACGGCACCCAUCCGAUGGCCAACAGUGGAAAGAUUUUGACAAGGCAUACCCGGAAUUUGGUAAGGAUCCUAGGAACGUUCGGCUCGCGCUAAGUACUGACGGGAUGAACCCUUUUGGUGAGCUUAGCAGCUCGCACAGCACCUGGCCGGGUGUACUCACCGUCUACAACCUACCUUCACAUCUGUGUCAGAGGCGAAGGUAUCUUAUGCUGACCAUGCUUAUCUCAGGACCGAAGCAGCCUGGUAACGAUAUCGAUGUCUUCCUAGAGCCGUUGAUGGAGGAAAUGCAGGAGUUAUUUGAUGUUGGGGUAGAGAUGAUUGAUGCAUCCCGCAAAGAGAAGUUCACCCUAAAAGCCAUCAUCAUUGUCACCAUCACUGAUUACCCCGGUCUCUUCUCACUAUCAGGGCAGAUCAAAGGGAAGACCGGCUGCGUAGUGUGCAUCGAUGGGACCUGCUACACUUAUCUCCAGGGAUCUCACAAGAUGGUGUACAUGAGGCAUAGACGGUUCCUCGUCAAGAAGCACAGGUACAGAAGAAGUGUUAUGAAUCAGUUCUUCGCUGAUGAGGAAGAGCCGCAGGGUGAAGCACCGGCGCAGACUAGUUGGGGCCCAAAGGUGUAUGAGAUGGUGAAGGAUAUGGAUCACAUAGAGUUUGGCAAGAAGAAGAAGAAGGUACCAGAAGAAGAGGGGACAAAACAAACAAGGAAGCGAAAGCGGGACACGAAGGAGGACGCCGCACCGCCUGUCCCUUUCAAGAAGAAAUCGUUUUUCUUCAAGUACCUAUCAUACUGGAAAACCCUGAAAACACCCCAUGCCAUUGACUGCAUGCACCUCGAGAAGAACGUCUUCGAUAGCACCAUCGGUGUCCUACUGGACAUCAAGAGCAAGACAAAGGAUGGCCUGAAGUCACGGUUGGAUCUUGUGAACCAGGGCAUCAGGAAGGACCUUCACCCGGGUCCGACUCAUAACGGCAAAGUCGAUCUACCAGGUGCGUCCUACAACCUAAGGCAUGACGAGAAGAUUGCUAUGCUCAAGUUGUUGAGGGGUAUCAAGGUGCCGACUGGUUUCUCUUCCAACAUCAAGAGUCUGGUGUCCAUGAAAGACCUCACACUAGCCGGCUACAACUCACAUGACUGUCACGUCAUGCUGACGGUGUUCCUUCCAAUCGUGAUUAGGGCUAUCGGUCCAGAAUACGUGAAGAUGGUGGUCACUCGGAUGUCAUACUUCUUUAACCGUAUCACCCAAAAGGUCAUCGGUAAGGCUGACCUGCCUGCCCUAAAGGAGUUCAUUGCAGAGACCCUCUGCUAGCUCGAGAUGUGCUUUCCCCCGUCUUACUUUGAUAUUAUGCCACACCUGAUGAUGCACAUGGUUGAUCAGAUCGAGCAACUUGGCCCCGUGUACCUACACCAGAUGUGGACGUACGAGCAGAAUCCAAGCAGAAGCGGAGGAGGGGCAACACGGGAGGCACCAGAGGGAGUUGACUGACGUGGUGCACGUGAUCCUUGAGGUGGGGCUAGAGGGAAACCCAGUGAGUCCGCAAGAGGUACUUGGCCGAUUCAGCAACCAAGUGUCCUGCAUAGUCAGGGAUAAGGUGUUGAUCACUUGGCCGAGCUGGCACCAGGUCCCGAAAGACAUCAAGGGCAAUGUAUGGGGUGAGGUUACCCGAAAGUUCAAUUAUCCCGAAGGCGCAGACAUGGAGAAGUGUUGUGAGUGGGCCAUGCAUGUGGCGUCUUGUGCCUUUCGCAACUUCAAGUCAAUGCUGGCACGGGAGUUUCUAAAGAAGAAGAAGUCACCCUGCCAGAAAUACACUAUGGUGAAGGAGCAUGUGUGGGAAGAAUUCUGCCGAAUGAGGACGACCGCUGAAGUAGAGGCAAAGAGCGCCAAGUUUAGUGCUUUGGCGAAACAAAACAAGCAUCCGCACCACUUGGGCAUGAUUGGCUAUGUCGGACAUAGGGCUCGAUGGCGGGCAGAAGAACAGGCUAGACAGGCUUUUGGGAUUCCCGAUCCGUACGAAGACGUCGAUGUCAGAGCUAAGGAGUUCAUGUAUGCCCGCGUUCCAAAGAAGCUAAAGCCAGGCGCGACCAAGUACAACGAGCCGCAAUAUGAGGAGUUGGAGAAGGCUCUCGUCCAAGGCGCCAAAUCUAAGGACAACAUCGAGGUCCACAGGGGCCAUGACUUACUGACCGAGGUCCUCGGAACCCCAGAGCAUCGCGGCCGUGUUCGUGGAGUCCAGUGCAAGAUGAGCUGGAAGUUGGUCGAGUCGUGGCAGGCCGACGCAUCCGCAUACAAGUCGAGGCAGAAGUACAAGGACACGUUGUAUCAGAAAGGCUUCGAAGAAGGCAUGGCCGAGGUGAUCAAACAAUCAAUAAAAGAAGCCUUCACGAGCAAUGAGCCUGAAAUGGUGGCGAUGAGGUCACAGAUGUUUCGAGAGGCUGGCCUGGCCACGGCUCCACUUCAACAACCGCAAGGGCUGCCGAUGAUCGAGGGUCAACCAAGGCACUGGACCGAGGACGUCCAGAAAGACACACACAUCCAACUUCUGAUCCCGUUCGGAAGAUCCAAGAAGAUGUAUAUAGCUGAGGGAAUGCUACAUCCCAAAAGCAUAGAUUUCAGCCCAGAGGAAAUCCCAGAAGGCUAUGUGGUCGUGACCCCACUUUGGAAUGUGCCAGAGCAAGAAGAGUACGAAUUGGACCUUCCAAACAUACAACACGUCAGAUUUCUUGGGCAGGCCAUUGGUCAUGAAGUUCUGUGGAACAAGGAAGACAUUGAGAUCAUUCCACCGACACCAACUCCGACACCAACACCAGGAUCGCAGCCAUCAACUGUUGGAUCACAACGAUCAGUGGCUGGAUCUUGUCCCCCCGAUGAUCCUGAUGGCAGUGGCGAUGAUGCUGAAGGCGAUGGCGAGGACAAGGGCAAAGGACAAGGUGAUGGCGAUAGCCAUGGCCAGGACAAGGAGAAGUCACAAGACAAGAAGGAUGGUGGAGAUAAGGAGAAGGCACAAGUAGAUGAGGGGGACAAAGACAUGGGUGCAACCUGUGCCCCUCCUACAAAUAGUCCGCCUCGGAGCCCAAGCAGACAACAAGAAGGAGGCAUGGAGGAGGCAACAAGGACUAAGACACCACCGCCAACAUCUACUCCUAUGCUUGAAGCCCCUCCUCCACCGAGCAAGGAUGCAGGCAUGACCGCCACAGUGCUCCCGUACACUACUACAUCUGAAAGGUACGAGACAAACAAGCAUAAUAUUCUCGUAACCUUUGUAACACAUGAAAUGGUAAUAACAUUUGUAACUAUGUUUUGCCAGGCCUACAAAUACUCUCCAGAUCAAUCUAUUUCCCGAGGCGGAAGACUGUCCUGGCCACUAUGAGCUUGGAAAGUUCAUGCUACCUAAGGCCCAGCUCAUCGACGAUGAAAAGUGGGAUACAAGGAAGUUCCACCUGUGGUAUAUGGAAGCGGCAAAAGCCGGGAUGAGAGGUUUCACCGUCAAGAUUCCCUCGGAGUUGUUCCACUUGCCCGGUGCCGAUAUUCAGCUGCCUGUGGACUUCCAGGACAUGUACAAUCUAUUGCGGGAAGAAGACCUUGACAUCGUCCAAAUCACCUUAUUCUCUCUGUAAGUGAUGAUUGCAACCGUCAUAGACCAAUCUCUAAAUUUGUAUUGGAGAACUAUAUGAUUUUUAGGACACGAUGACUUGUCCGUGCAGGUUGACGGUCACUAUUAGCAACAAAAGGCACCAUCCUAUCCUAUACCUCUCUCCAAUGCAUAUUGCUGAGAGAGUGAUCAAGGGUUUCCAGAUAACGGACCCAGAGUUGACCGUGCGGCAGAGGGAAAAGAAGUAUGAAGAAAACAUGAAAGAGGAGAAGAAGAAAUUGUCAAGGUACAUCUUUGAGGUAAUGAAGAAGCUCAACCCGGAUGGGCCUCAUUGUAUUAUGGCUGCCUACCACUUUGGGUAAGUCGAAAACAUCCAUGUCGAGCAAAAGUGGCUAGGGUCAUGCCUUCUCGUUGACAUAACCUAUACUUGUUUCAAUGGUGUAGAAAUGACCUAGCCGGUGGCCACUGGGUUGCCUUCCUCGUCUAUCCUCAAGAUGGCCGGGCUGUCAUAUUUGACUCAUUACAGGUACCGAACAAAAAGGGGUACAAGGCCUUCGAAGAGUGCUUGAAAAAGUAAGCCAGCGAGCUUCUUGAUCCGUUACGGUUAUCGAUCAUAUUCAAAUUGACGCUAACACUAAUACACUUCGUACAGCGCUUAUAGUGCAUAUCUCAAGGAUCCGCAAUGCUGGGAUCGGAGAACGGAGAAAUUCAAGAAGAGGCAUAAGCACCACCUCAAAAUCCGACGCGAUUUUCCCGUAAGUAUAUUUCAAAGGUAGUUCAAUCAUGCUUUUAGUAUAUAUGUGCUCUAAUGCUUUUGUAUUGAUCGUGCAGUGCGCCAAACAACCCUUGGGAUCAAAGGCAUGUGGCUUGUACACCUGCGAGAACCUAAGGGAAAGCAAGGAGUACACCAACAGCUGGAAGAAGCUGAAAGAAGCAGUGAAGAAUCGUGGAGAGACGAUGAAGAAUGAACGCCAAGCAUUUAAGCAAAUCAAGGCAGACAUCUGUAAGUUCAUCCUAGAGAAAUGCGUGCUCGAAGGCGAACCAUUCUUUGACAAUGAAGGUGAAUUGGCAGUUCGACCAGAGUUCGAGAAGCUUAGGAGAUGGGACACCAUGCUACGGCCGACCGAUUACACCCACGCAGUAGAAUUGUGAUGUGUAGCGGAUUCGCGGAUUUCAUAUGUGUAUAUGUAUGGAUGAUGAGAACAACUAAGUGGAUUUAUAUAUUAUGUUGUGUCUUAUGUAUUGAACUUUCAGUCAUAUGUGUAUCUAUAUAUAUAUAUCUUCUGUUUCUGAAAUGAAAUCUAGAUUCUGGAAUUUGUAUAUUGUUUAAAUUCAUUUGCAGCAAUGGUUCUGCAAUGUGUUUUUUUUUAUUCAAAAACACUUAACCGUGGCGGGCAAUAUAAAGUGACCGCUACGGUUAAUAGCAGUACCCGUAGCGGGCGACAUAAAGCGCCCGCUACGGUUAAUCCAUUAACCGUAGCGGGCGACGUAAAGAGCCCGCUGCGGUAAAUAGGAAUUAACCGUAGCGGGCGCUUUACGUUGCCCGUUGCGGUUAAUCGAUUAACCGUAGCGGUCCUGCUUGCCCGCCACGGAAGUGGCCACGAUUUACCGUGGCCUUAUGGCCGUGGCGGACGCGUUUGGCCGCUGCUGAAAAGGGAAAACGUCCACCAUGGUUAUUCUUUCUGUAGUAGUGGUACGUAAAAUCCAAUAGUUAUCUCGGCAGCAGCAAGUCACACCAAAGUCCAUUCCUGUGGUCGUUCAUUGGUUCUGGUUCCAGCGAAUGAUCCCAUCUGCACAAUCCCACACCGCACAACUUUUUUAAGCGCCUGACGUCACACCAAAAAUACAAUACACUUAUUUCAAAAUGUUUUAACUUCUAAACAGUUUAUUUAUUUUUAAUUCGGUCUGCAUCGAUGUGUUUUGUGCGCCGAGAUGAACAAAAUUAGACCACACUUGCAUAUGUUUUGAAUUUUUUAGUAGCAUGUGUAUUAAGUUAUAACAUAUAACUUAUCUUACAAUUUACGCACACAAGUUGUAUUGAAUAAUGUUUUGCUGGUCGAAUUCGUUCAAUGACAUGGCAGCCAUGGCUACACCCACACAGAUGUUCCCUUUUCUUCUUUUUUGUUUUUUUCUACGAUUAUUCUCUUUUCUCAAUUAUAUAUGUAUAAGUUAUACUGCAUAGUUAUUUUCAUACAUAGUUUUCAUAUUUUUUUACUAAUAUCUAUGAUAUUAAUUUGUACAUCUAAAUUCUUCAAUAUAAGUUGCACGUCUAACUUAAUAUCUAAGUCAUUCAUCGAGUUAUAUAACUAAGUUAUACAAACAAGUUUUAUAUAAAAGUUUUGUGUAUAGUUUUCGUAACUUUCUAACAAAUUAUGUUGACAAGUUUAUUCCAAAAAAUUAUAUACAUAAAAGUUAUGUAUAUAACUUUAUCACGUACUAAGUUAUGUAUAAAAAUUAUGUGUGUAACUUUGUCGCAUUGAAGGUAUAUUUUGAAGUCAUGUAUAAGUUAUACAUUGAAAUAUGUUCUAGAAGUUAUACGUAUGUAAAAGUUGUUUUGACGAAACUAGAGGAGCUUGAGAGCGCUCCUACAGAAAUUUAUUAAAAAAGGAACCAAGUUUUACAAAAAGACCAGAAACCAGAAACCGUGGCUCAAGAAACAAAGAAUGAAUACGUAUGUAAAAGUUAUGAGUGUAACUUUGCAAAAAAGAAAAGUUUUAGAUUUUUUUUGUGAAAAAUAAAAAAUUUUCUAAGGAAAGAAAGUUGCGGAUUUUUUUAUCAAAAAUAGGAAGUCGCAGAUGUUGUCUGAUCGUUCAUCAAAUUUGGAUCUCUUGAACAUUCGCUGUACAAAAGAGAAGUGAAGUGAAUGGAAUGUGUUAAAAGAGAAAGAGAAUGGAACCUGCAUCAUACAGAAAGAGGAAGAAGUGAAGCGAAAUAAAAAUAGAACUUGCGGUGUAAAAAAGAGAAAGAGAAAAUGAGUGAUUUUUCUAUUUACACAGUAUUAGCUGUUUGAACUUCGCCAAUCAGUGAGACGUCGCUAUUUAUACUGGGAACGGACGAACGGCAACAAGGUUGACGAGAGCCGUCUACCGUCUAUGUCUUAACGAUCUGUAUAUAUACUGUAUACAAGUACUACAAGUACCACAUCUACUUACGAUUUUUCCCCCAACCAGAGCUAGCUGCAUGCAUAAUAACAGGGACGAAUCAUGCACUGCACGUUGAGAUCGAUCGAGCCACAGUGCACCUCUCGUCGAUCUCACUGCCCCGAGCUUCAGCCUGCAGUAUGCACGCGCCGACGCGCGGCUAUACUGGGUAAUAUUGUCUGUCCAAGUUGAUGGGAGUGUUCGGUUGCAUGAGGUGUACGCUGACACAGCAAACAGUUUCUUUAUACAAUUAUACGCGUGUGGAUUCAUUCGCGUGGCCUUGAUUGGAUCGCCCUCGCUCCUCGAUUUUAUUGAGCAGUUGACUCGGAUAUUGCGGAUGCGGAGGUUCAGAUGUGCCAUCAGAUCGGAGAGUUGAACUUUCUUUAACUGGAAAGGACAGUGCGCAUUAGAGAGAGUUCAGAAUAUUCAGAUAGGAGUACGCCUAUCAGAGAGCCGAACUCCGCAUAGAAACUCUGUCGCUAGUCGCCAGACCGUUCAUUAAUGGAAUGUGUUAGGCGUAUAGCUCAACAGAGCGUAGGCGCUUUUCCGUGGGGAUGCUUUACAAUCUCGACAUUUGUACGUGAUAUCUUCCGCGAAACCUUCUCAAAUUUUUAUCACAUCCUCCAUAUAUAAUAUCAUGAUAUCUCCACAAGUUUUAUAAUUUUUAAACUUUGUUUGCUUUUUAUAAAAUUUUAAAACUCUCCGCUAAUAAGUUCAUUAUGUUUUGUGAACAAGAUGUUCGAAAUUCCGGAUACCUUCCCGGAUACAGCCUCAAACUACACCCAAUAACACAAAUAUUAUUUUUUGAAUCACUCAUAAGUUCAUGGUUAUUCGCAGUUCAAAUUUGUAUUUUCUAAAAAUUUCAAUUAAAUGAUACAAACUAACUAAAUAUAGUAAAAAGCCACAAAAAUAUGCCAAACUCUAACACGGAGUUCAUGGUAAUGUGGAGGGCUGCACAAAAAAUUAGGGGCUAAAAGUGAACUUUUUUUAUUUUGCCGAGUGUUAGGGCCUAAUACUAUGUAAAGAUUGGUCUUUGACGAGUGUCAAGGUCUGGCACUCGGCAAAGAGUAAGUUUGUGUGCUAAACGAUUGGCACUCGACAAAGAGUGACGGCGGGUGAUCACAGCUACCUAGUGCCCUUCGGCAAAGAGUGACGGCAAGUGACGGUGGUUACCUAGUGCCCCUCUUUGCCGAGUGCCGACGUUUGCCAAGAGCCGUGCACUCGGCAAAGUCUUUUUUUUGUCAAGUGCAACAUUCGGCAAAAUAACUCUUUGUCAAGUGUCUGACAUUUAGUACUUGGCAAAGCCUUUGACACUCUGUAAAGGCCCCGUUUCGUGUAGUGUGCCAAGUUAUAUGGCAGAUGCUAUUUUCUUAAAAAAAACAUUUAUUACCAACUUUCACAAUAGAAAUGAGCUGAAAUAGCCACCGCAAAUAUUAAACAGUGCCAAAACAGCAAAAGGACAAUUGAUCAGACUCUAUGCAUAGAUUCACUUGGGCCUUGUUUAGUUCACCCCGAAAUUCAAAAAGUUUUCAAGAUUCUAUAUCAUAUCGAAUCUUGUGGCACAUGCAUGAAGCAUUAAAUAUAGACGAAAAUAAAAACUAAUCACACAGUUUGACUGUAAAUCGCGAGACGAAUCUUUUAACCUUAAUUAGUCUAUGAUUGGACAAUAUUUACCACAAACAAACGAAUGUGCUACAACAGUGAAAUCCAAAUUUUUUUCACAUGGCCUUGGUUUAUUUUGGUUGAAAGGGACCGAACUGUACAUUACAUGUACGUUCGACUGACAUAGCUCGGCAGUAAGAGCUUUAUUUCCCCUCUAGCAGGAGUACGCACACUCAAACUCAAGAACGGACACCAAUGGCGACCCCAUAGACUACAACCAUACAAACCAACAAUCACUCUCUGCAAACAAAUAAUUCACCGUACCCGGCCGGUCACUCGGUCAGCCCCUUGGCAACAACGACAUGGCACGAGCCAACCAGUGGAAACGGACGAGAUGGACCCUCUCAUGGCCAGCGAGUGAGAUGGAUGAGGCCGAUCGACACCACAUCUAUCUCUUCAAGAAGUUCUGGAUCCAGUAGCUGGACUCCUUCCGGUAGCGCUUGAGGCCGUUGAGGCGGUCGAUGAAGAUGAGGCCGAAGCGGUCCAGGUAGCCGUCCCCCCACUCGAAGCAGUCCAUGAAGGUCCAGGUGAAGUAGCCCUUCACAUUCACGCCGUCCCUGAUGGCGUGGUUCACGAACUGCAGGUGCUGGCUGUGGAACCUGAUCCUGUGCCCGUCCCUGAGCGCCACCUCCAGCGGAAUCGUCCUGUUGUUCUCCUCCGCGAUGCCGUUCUCCGUGACGUAGAGCACCGGGCUGCCGUAGCGGCGGCUGGUGUAGAGCAGCAGCUCCCGGAGCCCCUGCGGGUACUCGAAGAAGAUGGGCACGAACUCCGGCGUGCCGAUGGGCACGCCGUCGCGGUACCCGGAGGUGUUGGCGCGGAUGUCGCCGUCGUAGGACUGCUCCAUCCCGUUGGGCGCCGGCUUGGCGGAGGCGAAGUAGGCCGUGUAGUAGUUGACGCCGAUGAAGUCGUAGGAGCCCUUGAUGAGCUUCGCCUGCGCCGCGGUGAACCUGGGCAGCCGGUCGCCCAGGUAGCCGAGCAUGGUGCCCGGGUACUCGCCGUGCACGAUGGGGUCCAGGAACCAGCCGUACAUGAAGUCCAGGCUGCGCUGCACGGCCUUGACGUCGGCGGCGGAGCUGGCGUUGGUGGGCACGUACCAGUUGGACACCACGGUGAUGCCGAUCUGCCCGCGCUGCGCCGGCUUGUACUUGGCGUUGUACAGCGCCACCGCCUCCGCGUGGGCGAGGAUGAUGUUGUGCGUCACGGUGUAGGGCUCGCGCGCCGAGUCGCCGGGGAAGCAGUUCUUGUUGACGUACGACGAGCACCGGCCCGGCGCCGACUUGCCGACGGCGUAGCCCUGGUACGAGUACGUCCACGGCUCGUUGAACGUGGUCCAGGCCUUGACGCGGUCGCCGAACUCUUUGAAGCAAACCUCGGCGAAGUCCACGUAGUCCUUGCUGCACGUGUGUGUACACAGUUGUUGUUUAGAUACAGACAUACGGUGUUAGUGUCCCUCUCUGUCUCCAGCAACCAUAUAAUAGGCAGCUAAUUGAUCGAUGACAUUGACAUGUGUUAUUAGUAAUGACUCAUACAUGAUGUUCUCGCUGAGGAAUCCUCCAUACUUGUCCUCCAGGGCCAGGGGCGUGUCCCAGUGGAAGAUGGUGACAAAUGGCUUCAGCCCUGGCCAUGAAAAUAUAUAAAAAUCCUUUUGUUAAAAUGAUAUCGAAUUACUUAUCGUUGACCCCUGGAUUUAUCAUUAUUAUAUUAUAUUGUUAUGAUAUACUCCGUACUAUGUGUGUGUGGUUGUAGAUAACUACUCUAUACCUACCUUUGGCUAUGACCUCGUUGAUGAGGUUGUUAUAGAAGGCCACGCCUUCUUUGUUGAUUCCUCCACUCAGGGAACCGUCUACAGAAACCACAAAAAUCUGUGUCAGUAAAUCAGCAUGAGCCGUAUAUGUGAAACAUAAUUAUUGUUUUUUAAAAUGGUAUGGCUAGAUUUGUUUCUAAAAGGAUGUUAAAACGUUUAUAACUUCGAUAUAUUCUGCAUAUGUUCGAUGUCAUUCGUCAAUGGUUAUACUCCUGUAGUCGCUGUGAUAAAUGACAGUUAGUAUUUGUGUUUGUAAUCGGAGGCCGGACUGUUUGCGUUGAAAGUUGAGCAUUGCUCACUUGGCAGGAUCCUGGUCCAGGCAAUGGAGAACCGGAAGGCGUCCAAGUUCAUGUCCUUGAGGAGUUGCACAUCCUCCUGCAAUGCAAACAAUCAUUUGGUUAGUUUCGCCCGCCGGUUGACCCAUCAUUCAUUCCGUCGAUCGGGUUCAGCUGAUUCAGCAUGCUCACCUUGUAUCGAUGGUACAUGUCAUCUGCUACGUCGCCGGUAUCGUUGUUCAAGAUCUUACCUGCAAUACAUCACGCACGAGUUUCUCUCUGUCAGUCAGAAACACACUGGGCGGUUCUGUGUGAGACCGGCCGGGAAGGAAGAGAAGACAGAGUCGCCCAGACCAGACCUGGGAUGUGAGUGAACUUGUCCCAUAUGCUAGGCCCCUUGCCUCCUUCGUUGUAGGCACCCUCAUACUGCAAGGCGCUAACUUUGUUCAGAUAACAGUCCAUAACUGAACUGCAGGCCGGUUUGCACAAAUACAGAUAGGAAUAUAUGAAGAUAGAGCCAAAAAUGUGCAGCAGAUCAGCGAGCAUCAUCGAUCACCUGAUACGCCGCGGAGCCUGUGCCGAAGACGAAGUCCUUGGGGAAGCUGUACCUGCUGAACUUGGCGUGAACGCCGAUGCAAGCGGUUGCUGCCAGAAGCAGAGCUGGAAGAAGCAGCUUCGCCAUUCCGUUCCCGACACCCAUCGUAGACUGGACAAGAUCACUGGAGCUGGUGGUAACCGGAAUGGCCCCAGUCUAGUACUGGAGCUGGAUUGGUGCUGCAACUCCCGUCCCUGCUGUCCUUUAUAUUUAUAGACGGGACAAGAUCACAAGAGGAAGGCCUUGUUUAGUUUCGAAAAUUUCAAAAAUAUUUUGGAUUUCGGUACGUAACAUGUUCGUUUUUAUUUGAUAAAUAUUAUCUAAUCAUAAACUAACUAGGUUCAAAAGAUUCAUCUCGUAAUUUACAGACAAACUGUACAAUUAGUUUUUAUUUUUGUCUAUAUUUAAUACUUUAUGCAUGUACCGCAAGAUUUGAUGUGACAUAGAAUCUUGAAAAGUUUUUAUUUUUGGAAUGAACUAAACAAGGCGUAAGGUCCCUAUCCCUGUCCCAAAUGAUCUGUGCAUUUUUACUAAUCCUGUUACGGCGACGACACUACAUUCUUCUCAAGAAGUAAGGAUUUUAUUAAUUCAUAAUUGUUACAUCGAGUUGACACAAUAAUUACAAAUUUACUUUUGGUCUUUGCAUAGAAGUAUACUCUAGAAAGCAACCCUUUAUCUCAAAUUAUUGGCCAUUUUAGGUUUUCUAGGUAGAUAGUUUUUAUUAUGCACCUAGAUAUGCAAUAUAUCUAGAUAUAUAAUAAAAUUUAUGUAUCUAACAAAACCAAAAUGGUCUAUAAAUUGUAAUGGAGGGAAUAAAAGUUUAUCAUUCUAAUGAAUAUCAAUCCUAAAACUAGAUCACUAAAUCGUCACCUAUGUACUCGGCAGAAAAACAUUGUGACUGGCUAGACCAAUUGUUGUGACGUUGCUGCAACCAAAGCCUUAAAAGUAAGCUUCCACGAGCGGAGCUAAUGAGGGCCUCCCCAUCGCUACACGCUGUCUUGUAGCUCCGACAUCUAUGUAUACACACUAUAUACAGAUCACGCAAGACAGCAGCCCGCAAUGUGUCAGUGCUGCCUGCAGAGGUACUGUAGGCUUCGGCUGACAAUUUGCAGAAGCUCCCAAAUAAGGGCACGUACAACAGAAGCAUACAGAACCAUUAGCCUCAUGUUCCAUGUUGACAAAAAAACGCCACUCUCUCUCUCUCCUAAGGCCACACCAUCACCUUGUCUCAUCGUUCUUGCUCCUGCAGAGAAAAAGAGAGUGCAUGCAGUACCUUUUCUCCUUUCUCCCCCUCCAAGGCCACCAUCCGGCCGGCCACAACGCAAGAAAAACAUUCUCUUCUGCUUUUCGUCGGGUGAGGAAGCGUUCUCUUCUGCAAGCUACUAUAGACAUCCGCGAGACCAACAAAUGAAGUGACAUGGCAUAUUGAUGCCACAGUGGAGAAUGGAGCAGCACGCCAUCCUGGCGUGUUGGGAAAGCCCUAACACGCGUUGAGGGUGGAUGAAACCAAACUCUAUACAACUUUAUUUCUGUAUAUCAAGAUAAAGAGAAAAAGGUGAAAGUGACGUUUACGAUAAGAGAAGAGACAUGCGUUGAGAGAUUGUUAGCUUCAUUUCGUCUUAGAAUACGUGGCGUGUGAUUUUUUUCUCGAGGCGUACGAUUGUAGUAGCUGUGUUGUGGGUGCCCUGAUAAUUGAAUGUAGCAAAAGAACAAGCAUGCUUCUUUUUAAAUACCAAAUUAUUUCUAUAUAACUAAAACAACCAAUGAAUAAUUGUCGCUCUCAAUAGCACUAUAAGGUUGAUGAAAACUUAAAGCAAUAUGUAUGUAAUGUAGCCACAGACUGCAAGGACAAGAUAGCAUUCAAAGAAGAGAUACUUAACACACACACACUCUCUCUCUAUGGGGCAAAGCAACUUACUUUGCUGCCUUCUCCAUUGCAUUUAGCUUGUCAGUUGCGUUAAGUUUGAACGCGGUUUUUUUUGCCCUUAAGGGUAUAUAUAUGCCCUCACUCUCUUAUCUAUUGGAUUCGCUUCGAUAAGUGUACAAACAUAUAUCUCAAAACAGUUUCACAUUGAGAUGUAUGUUUGUACACUUCUCAAAGCGAAUUCAAUGGAUAAGAGAGUGAUGACACAUGUCCUCGGGGGCAAAAUAAACUUUAGCGUUAAGUUUAGCUAAAUAUCUUUUAUUAGUAGAAUCACUUCUCUAUCAAGAUAAGUACACACAUUCAGCUUUCUUGAGAGGAAACACGAGAAGACAUAUAUUUCAGUAGGUCGGUCGACAUGCAGCGCUACUGACAAGGGACAGGCCAGACCCGGAUUUCAUCGCUCCCGAUGCGGCGAUCUCCAUGACCUGUGCUGAUAGCCAUGCGAUGCUCGAUGCGACGGUUGAGGUGGACGGCUUUUUUUAAGCACCAUGUGGUACACGUUGAUGCUCCAAAUAAUUAGUUUUAUUAUUCCCCGCGAGCUUGAUUUCAUAGUUUCUCUACCUAUUGCUGAAUGCAGCACGUCAACUGGAGCCCGGCCGGAGACCUGAAACGAUGUCCCAAACGGGGGGCAUUAUUAUCCGGUCGUCCCGGGCUCCCGCGAGACAACGCGCCAACUCCGAUACGGCGCCGCCGGUGGCCUGCAGCGAUGAGCCGGACACGGCCACGGUCCCAGUGUCGCGCGCGGUAGCCUUCGGUGACCAGCCGGCGGCCACGGUUCCGCGGGUCCCGGUUUCGCUGAUCACGGUCACGGCCCGUGAAUGAUUGGUGGGCGAGGUUGUGACUCUGAAAUGGGACAGUGCCUGCGUGUUUGUGAGGAGCCCCGCCGGCGCUGCCGGCAUGUGGCGCAGGGCUACCGACGGACGUCGACGCUGUGUGCCUGUGUGCCGAGGUGAAUGCGGCCAGGCAUGCUGCACUGCUGCGUUUGAGAUCUGGAACGGGAAGGAGAGACGAUGAUGGAAACUACUCCUAUGGAAUAGAUUAGGUGAAUUGGUGAAACUUGCCGAGAUUGUUCAAAUAAUGUGAAACGUACGGGCGCAAUCGAAACAAACUAACAAAGUCUUCGUCUUCGAUGGCGGGGUUGGUGGGGUGCGGUUGAUCGAGUUCGAGCAAACCCGGCUCGAUGUCGCCAAAAGCAAAAGGCACCUCAGUUUGCAAAGAGCGCACGCGCACAGAUCAAAGGGAAUAACGGAGAAAGGAGCUGGACACAUCUGAUUCGGAGGUUUCAGAAAGCAGCAUCAGAUGUGGGCUAACGGCACAACGGUCAUUUUGCUGCGACAUCACUGUUUCUUUCAAACAAGGACGCACUUAAAUCAAGAAGAGGGAGACGCUUAGGGCGUCCACAAUGGUGUUCAAAUCGAUAGCUAUUUGAUCUCUAAGAAAAAUGUUAUUGGCUCUCAAUAGCAAUUUACAAAUAGUUAGCUUAGAAAGUCGCUAGCUAUUGGGAAGAGUACUGUGAGAGAGUUAUUUCUAAAAGAUUGUGCUAGAUUAACUAUUUAUGAGUCGCUAGCUAUUAGGAAGUCGCUAGCUAUUAGGAAGUCGCUAGCUAUUUGAUCUCUAUCCUCAAUAGUCAAUAAAAGUGCUAUUUUUUAUAUGUCAUCUCGUUAGCUAUUUAUAAAGUGCUAUUGAAAACCAAUAGAAUUCCUUCUAGCUGCUAUUUGAUAACCAUUGCGGAUGACGGACAUGUACGUACAACAGUUUAGCUAGACGGCUUUUAUCUGCAAAGACAAGUCAGUGUCACACAUCGUAAAAUCUAGGAGUAUUUGAUUGCCUACAAAAUGUUUCAUACAUGUAUGUAUCAUCUAUAAGAAUAAACAAGAUCUCUGUAUAAAAUCGAUCAUGAAUAAGAUGGAUGUAAAAACAGAAACCCUUUAGGACAAGACUGUUUUUUAUCAACAAACUUGGCAAUCAAGCAUUCUGGUCACAAAAAACGUUGAGCUGUUCCACUUGGACCCUUAUAUCUCUCGCUCAUUCCAACAUCACAAUUCAUAGAUAAAUCAGUUUCAGGAUGAGAGGACGACAUAUUAAUCUUGCAACGUUCCAUCCCAAUCACCUUUUCUUACGAAUCUUCCAUCCCAAUCACCUCCGUUAGCUAUAUCUCUUGCCCAUACAAAUAUCACAGAUGAACCGGUGCACAAUAUCAGAGAUGUAACCCAUCCGAGUGGUAACGAAGGCUAUUCCGAUGCAUUUGUUUGCCAGUAGUUGGUUCAGUCAGUACACACUGGACACUUUAGUCAACAAAUGAUAUGAAAAUAAAAAAACAAAAUCAGUAGCAACAAGUUCAGAAAAAGUGAAUUUGGCUGCUACUACAAAUUCUUCGGCUGAUAAGUGAGUUUUGCACUGCAAAUUCUUCAUAUUUUACAAUUCAAAUUCCUAGAGAACAUCUAUUCAAGUUCAUGAAAUUUGUUACACGAGAAAAAGAAAAACAUUGAAAAUGCUCUCUUCUGCCAGCUGCAGCAGCCCACAAUAACAAGCGUCUUUGUAAUAUCUAAGUGUGUUGUAAGUGUCCCAACCUUCUCAUGUAUGGUACUGGCAUGAGUUGGUAAUGUACUUAGGCCUUUAUUUCCUCUCUAUAGUACAAUGAUACCUAGUUCUCCUACAUAUUCGAAAAAAAUAUAUCUAAGUGUAAUUCGUUUUUUAUUUUACUUUUUUUAGGGUAGUUGCAGAGAUGCUCUGUCUUUUCUUUAUACUCCCUCCGUCUCUGAAAGCUGCAACUUCUAGACUUGUCCUAAGUCAAACUUUUAAAAUUUUGACCAAAUUUGUAGAAAAAAACGCUAAGAUUUAUAGUACCAAAUUAAUACCAUUAAAUUUAUCAUUGAAUAUAUUUUCAUAAGAUACUCAUUUUAUAUUAUAUAUAUUUAUGCUCUUUUCUAUAAAAUUGGUCAAAGUUAAAUAAGUUUGACUGAUACAGAUUCUAGGAAUUGAAGCUUUCAGGAACAGAGGGAGUAGUUAUUAAGAAUUGAAACAUGUACAAUGAUUAAAUAGGUGCAUGGACCCAACCAUGUGAAAGGAAAAAAAAAAGAGAAACUAUAAAAACAACGCUCAAACAGUAAGGAAAAGAAAAGAUCAAGGCUGGCUAAGUUUCCAACAUCCCCAUCGCCGGCCUGAGCGCAGCCACUUCCUACCCUAUUAGAGCCACUAGUUUGUUUUUUUCCUGAGCGCCUUGUUGUCAUAUACUCGGCGACAUCCUUUCUUCCAGAUGUUCCAUGUCAUACAGAUGACGAUCUGAAUUUCUGUAUUCAGAGUCUCUUGAUAAUGUUCCACCCAAUAGAUGGACCACGAUAUUUUUAGAUUAGUGACUGAGGCCUUGUUUAGUUCACUCCAAAACCAAAAUUUUUUAAAUAUUUUCUGUCAUAUUGAAUCUUGCGGCAUAUGUAUAGAGCAUUAAAUAUAAAUGAAAACAAAAAUUAAUUACACAGUUUGUUUGUAAAUUGCGAGACGAAUCUUUUACGCCUAGGUACUCCAUAAUUUGACAAUCUUUGUCAAAUAAAAACGAAAGUGCUAUAGUGUCCGAAUUCAAAAAACUUUUUGGAUGUAAACAAGACCUUAUUGACGUGGUUGAAGGUGUUGAUGACCUGUUUGCUGGGCUAUGUGCUCCUCCCAAACUCUAUUGGAGUAUAAGAGGAAUUUGCAACCAUGCGUGUCAUUGAAUCCUUCCUUAUUCUGCACAACUGACAAACCAGGUUCGCUUGUCCUUCCCGUUUAAUUAUUUGAUCCACUGUCAGUAGUUUCCUCUGCAGACAAAGAGCUUGCAUUUAUUUUCCACCUUUGGUUUCUAAUAAUUUUUUUCACUGGUAGUCCUGUAUAGAUCCUUUGAAUUGCAAAGACCUUCGUUUUUUUAAUGAAUUGAUGUCACCUCAGUUUGCAAUUUGCAAAGAGACAGAUAGAGCUGGAUUAGCACACAAUGGAUUCGGAGGUUCAGAUAGACGCGUCAGAUGGUCAAGGCCUCGAGAGAUGUCUAUCGGUAUCUCACCUCAGUUUGCAAAGAGGCAGGUCGAGAGGAGCUAAAUUAGCAGGCAGUGGAGGAUCCGGAGGUUCAGAUAGGCGCAUCAGAUGGUCAAAGCCUUGUGCAAGGAAGAAAGAGAUGCGUGUCAGGGUGUUGAUCUCACAUAGAAAAUGCGAAACAUCAGCGGGUGACAAUGGGUCAAUGGAAUUGUUUAGGCGGGGUCGCAGAUUAUGAACGGCCGUCGAGGCGUCGACGUCACGAGCAGGGGCGUCGGCCGGUUCAGGGCGCAGCCACGAACUCAACGCAUGCCCAGUCACCCACCACGUCAGAAGACCGGGGGCCGUUUGGCUGCACGCCAUCUUUGGCCCAAGCUGCGUUUGGACUGCUGCCGAGAUUUGGCCUGCCUGAGAUAGCCACUGCAGAUUCGUAGUACAGUUGUUCAUUUUGCUCCGGCCGGCCGGCCAAAUCGGGGCGACCGAAAUGGCCGCCAAAUUUUGGCCAGGGCCAUACACCGGAUGAAAAUUGAAACCAAGGCCUUGUUUAGGCCGUGUUUAGUUUCUAGAGGACAAAGAUUUCAUGAUACUAUAGCAUUUUCGUUUGUUUGUGGUAAUUAUUGUCUAAAACUAACUAGAUUCGUCUCGUAUAUUUCGACCAAUCUGUGCAAUUAGUUUUUAUUUUCGUCUAUAUUUAAUACUUCAUGCAUACGUCUAAAGAUUCGAUGCGACGGAGAAUCUUGAAAUUUUUGAGUUUUGGGAUGGAAGUAAACAAGGCCUUAGUUACAAGAAAAAUACAAAAUAAAUAUUAUAGCACUUACGUUUAUAUUUGAUAAAUAUUAUUCAAUCAUAAACUAAUUAGACUUAAAAUAUCCGUUCUGCAAAAUUGAGACUCUCUUUUCUGCCACAGCGCAAAUUCGGCCUUGGCUAGCCCAGCACUACGCGUGGCCUGCGCACGUCCCGGCAAGAGGGAAGGUGGGCUACCAUAGCCCAUUUUUACGUUGGUUUUCUUCUUUUUUAAAAAAGUAUAUUUAUAUGAUAAAAUGUAUUGUUUGUGCCACUUACCGUGAUACCUAUAUAUAAAACUAAAUCCUCAUAUAUAUUUCAUAAAUAUUUUGUAUUGUAGAAAAAAGUUAUUCACAAGUUCUAUACAUAAAUUACUGCUAGAGAUUCAUUAUUAUAAGGUAAAAUAGGCAAUUCUGAGAAAUUUUAACUUAAAACCAGAAGUUAGUUAAUAGUGCUUUCAACCCUUUGCAUAGUCUAAUACAUCACUUAGAUGAGCUUUAAGUGUCAAGGGAACAAAUUUAAACUUUGUUAUUUGUAUAUACUCUGUGAGGUUAAGGCCGACUACAUAUAACAUUUAGAGUUGUCGCCGAAGAUUACAGAUAAUCUAACAUGUUUGAUACUGACAAUGGACCUUACCUUGGUUAACGAAGUGCUGCCUGUAAUAGAACCGCGAAUACAAUGGCGACAAAGAGCAGACGUGUAAGAACUGAGAACAGUGCGACGUGUCUCCGCUAGACGCGCUAGUUAUCAAAAUUUGCGUACGCGCCCUUGAUCGCUGACCGCCUACCAUGGUAGCCAGCCCUUCCACCUCUCCUCCGCGCCCGCCAGCGCCAGGGGAUCGCGGACCAGCGGCACGGGG